AAAGAGGAGAUUCAUAUACCCGAGGAGGUAGUCGAUCCUUGGCUUCCCAGUACACCUUUGCUGCUUUUUCUAGUUCUUUCAAAACUUUCCAGUUAUCGCUUGCCCUGAAAUCAGUGACAGAUUUGGAUUACAUCUAGGCAAGUAUAGAUUAAAUGCACUACAUCAUGUUUUACAGAUUCCUUCUUUUCAAGAACUUUUACAGACCUGUUGUAUCUUUCGAAAACGAGAACAAUUAGUGGACUAGGAUGGAAAGCAAAGCUCUCCCACUCAAGACAAUUGAUCUCCUUCACUAAACCAUCAUCGAUCUCUCCCUCCCAGUCAAUUUCAGUACCAUCUUCGCCUACGACAUUUUUUAUAGGAUGUUGCUCGAAAUACUCUGAUGCUCUGAUCCCCCACCCAACGUCAGCAUCCAGAGGCCAAUUGGGAUUCUCCUCCUCUACCAUCAUCUCAUUUCCUCUUGAAUCAUCACCUUUCUCUUCAUCCCUGUCAUCAUCAUCUUCAUCACUGUUGCUAUUGGAAUCAACACCAUCAUCAACUUUAUCUUUCAUUACUUUAUCUUUCAGAAUAUCCGAAUUCUGCUGCCGGAUUGAUUCGAAAGUCCGUUCAAGCGAAUCACGCACAAAAUCCUCAACUGCAGCUGCUUCACUCCGACGACCACGCUUGGGCUUCUUAGAGAUCACUGUAGGGAACUUCCUUCCAGAAUUUUUAUCCUCCUCUCGAGGAACUUCAGUUUUCUCCUGCCGAGCUCUUCCUUUUGGCUUCAAACUAGGACUCUGACUACGAUUCUUGUCGGGUUUUGCAUCAGAAUUCUUUGAACUGGAAAUGCAUACAAAUCGUUUUCCAGUGUAUUUGGAUUUCACAGUCGAUGGAAACAAGAGGAAAUUCGAAUGGCAACAAGAAUUUGUUGUUUCAUGGAGAGACAAUACUGACAAAGAAUGAACACCAGAAUUAUUAUGUAACGCCGAAAGGAACAUCUUUUUAUUCCUCACUUGGAACAAUUCAACCUGUGAUCUUCCUCAGAACACCAAAACUCUCUGGUCAAAUCUCAUGACAGAAAGACAGAACCUGUUGAAGUCGUCAGUAACUUUCCUUCUUUCUUCCGUCCAAGAGGCUGACAUAAGGACAGGGGAACACGUAAAUCAUUGAAAUUCGGAGCAAUUACAUGGACAACUUUCACUAAACAGACAUUAAGAAUAUAGCUGUAGGAAUUGUACGAAAAUGAAGCAAAAACUACAGGGCCAGACUAAUAUCAUUACGCCAAACAUUUCACUUAAUUAACAACAAGCAAGAAAGGAAAAAACAUCAAUAAUAUGAAAAAAGGAAAUCUAAGACAUCAGUUAAUGGAACCCACUUUAAGUACGUUUUUAAAUUCAAGAUUUACUUGUUAACGUUAACGAGAAAUUAAACAGUUCUUAAUCAGACAAAAAAUCAAACACCUGGCAUGCAACUAACAACGGAAUCAUAAAUGACAAAUCCUAACAUGGGAAAUUCAAGAUAAUCAAACUUCUCUUCGCAUGUAUACGUGGGUGCAUACAUUCCAUUUACACAGAGAUACAUACGGGGCGAGAGAGAGAGAGACACUUUUAGAAGUCAAAGCGCACAAAUAAUUUUUGAGUUUAUAAAACCCUUAAAUCACCAAAAUAGGGGCUUUCUAAAAGUACCUUAAAAGGUUCUAUUUCCACAAAUAUAGAAAGAAAUGGCAUUUUAGGAUCUUUUCUAUAUUAUAUGGAUUUCUUUUCUUUUUUUUCUCAAUUUUUCGUCCCAGAUUUAUGGGGACAAAAUUGUCCAAGUACUCAUCAAUUUACGAAUAUUAUUUUUAAAACUUGAUUUUUUUGAACUCGUACUCUUACUUAGUUAUUUGAAGUCUAACAAGACGAGUGUACAUAAUGAAGGCACGUUUCAUUGACAGAUUAUCGUAACUUCAUAUGUGUUACAAAAUGAAAUUGUAAUUAUUAAAAAAAUUAUUAGUUAAAUAGAAGAAGAAAAAAUCCCAUUAAUUAUCGAUGUUGAUUUGUUUCUAUUUUUAAUUUUUACAAAUACUAGUGCAAUUUAAUUAAAGUACUUCCAAACACCCUGAUAGAAAUGCAAGAUGAAAUUACAGUUCUACCCUUAUUAUUAACAAAAGGAAACACUUUGAGUUAGGAGUCAACUGCCAUUAAAUCAAAUGUCACACUAUUUUACGCCAAAUUUUGAUCCAUUCACAUUAGGGACUUUAGGGACCUGGCUUUAAUGGGCUUUCGGGCCCUCUUCCUCCUACUCUCGCUCUCGCUAUUCUCCUCGUCUUCCUCAUCCUCGAUAUCAGAUUCUUCAAUGUCAAUUUGAGAUGAUGAUGAUUGUGCCAUUUCAUGUUGUUGAUCGAUAUUUUUAGACACGUCUCGACUACCGCUAAUCUGAUUUUUCUCGCCUCUUUUUUUGCCCCAACGCGGUCCAAAACCCGAGUAAUAGUAGAAUUCGUGCGGAUUAGAUGACGAACCCACCUUCCUGGCCCGGGGACGCCUAUGAGAGUCAGCCGCCACCUUAUCGACUUUCUUGGCCACCGGUGGAGCCCAAUUAUUGUAGUUCCUUACGAGAGAUAAAUGGUGCUUGCAUAAGGAAUUCCCUUCAGCGGCCUCCCUCUUGCAUUUCCAGCCCUUCCCAUCAGUUUUGCAGCAAAAUAUAAUCUCCCUGUCUUUCUUUGGGACCCCUUCCUCCGCAUUGCCGAUGACGGAGCCGCCCACGAUGACACUGUCUGAAUAUUCCAUUUUCAUAGCCUCGAUCUCCCCAUCAUCCAGAGCCAUUUUCAUCGACACGGCACUGUUAAUAAAGAUCCAGUGGACAACAUUACUGUUCAGCUCAAAUUUCGAAAAAUCAAACUACAAAUAGAAAAAUUCACAAAUGCUGAUUUAUUGCAGAACCCUAAAUGCUUCAACAUCAAUAAAGAGCUGGAGAUUUUGUAAAACAGCCCAAAUUAAACAUAGAAUAGAAAGAUUACCUAUCAAAAGUUGCAAUAGAUUCUCCGAAGCUCCCAUUUCUCGCGAAAUCAUCAUUUUCAUUGACCUGCAGAGAAAUUAUUCUCUGUCGAAAAAAUGGAGCCAGCCAAGCUAUAAUAAACCAAAACAGUGAAAACCCACAAAAGAUUUCAAAUUCCCAAGCCCGAAUAAACAACAAAAACUCUUUGAUUCACAUUUUUUAAUCAACCCUAAUGGUGGGUUUUUAGAAAACCCUAGAAGAAAAAAGAAUAACAGCAAAAAUGGAGGGACAUUUGACAAGAAUCAGAAAUGGGUUUAACAGAUCUGUGCAUAGAAACAAAGUCGAGUCAUUAUAGACUAAAUUAAACUAACCUGGAACGACGGAGGAGGCAGUGGUGGCGAAGGAGUUGAUGGUGGCGAAAAACUCAUAACAUCCCAAGGGGACUGAUUCAACUGGCAAACAUGGGUUUGAAGCACGGUUCCAGGUUUCAAUGAAGAUGCUGCAUAUGUCAAUGAACAAAUUUUGGCGUGCUUCCGUAUUCUCAUGGCGGUUCUGUGGUUUUUUGGGGGAGUUUUUUAGUGGGUAGUCGGGGCAGAAACGCAAAAGAGUAGAGAAGCUUUGUUGGGGGUCCGGGGGUGUGUGUUAGGGGGGUAUAUAAAAGGUUGGGGUGCGUGGGGUUGGCAUGGGUGCCGUUUGCCACGAUGAAAGUAGAUCCAAAAAGGCUUUUUCUUUUUCUUAAAUUUUUUUCUUUCUGUAUGUGCACAGUUCAUUAGUUGUUUUCUGUUUGUUUGGUCAAAAGAAAAAAAAUAUAUAUAUGUAAAUAAGAAAUUAUAAAUAGGUGUGUGACAAAGAAUCUUGUACCAUUUUGGCCCACCAUAACCCUACCAUGAAAGAAAAUAUUUACUAGAAUACAUAAAUUCGUAGACGUUCGAAAACUAUUCAUCUAUGGUGUCGAUAACUUUCAAUACGUUAGGGGAGAUAUCGGUGUUAUAUCUAACUUACUUUGAUAAUCGCGGGUGUGGAUUCGAUUUUUGCUAGACAUUCAAAAGAAACUUUAUUUGAAUUCGAUCUUCAAUAAUUGAAUGGAUACUUUUUAUAACCAAUCAAGACAAAUGACACUACAAAAGAGAAAACACCUUUUUUUGUAAUAUUUACUAAUAAAAAUAUUAACAUGAGUAGAAACUAAGAGAUGUACGAAAACAUUAUUAACAACUACUAUCUUAACACACAGUUGUUACCAUGAGAUAAUAAAGAAUAUGUACGUAAAUCGAAAUUAACUUUGCAUUAUGAAUGUCAUCAUCGGCAUGGUUCUGUUUUGUCUAUUCUUCUAAGAAUGUGUACGCAUGAGAGCAAGUUCAGUACACUCUAAAUACGUAGAAUAAUGUCACUCGACCCUCACAGAUGACACCCCCGAUGACUGCGCCCUUACAUGGAAUGCGUGGGUCCCGUGCGAAUAAAAUAAUCCGGACCCCCCAUAUGUUUGUGCGUGCGAUCAUCCACGUGGAUCGUGUAGCACAGUUGUGAGACGUGUAUAUAUCGAUGUUGUAAAAAUAAUAAUAAUAAUGAUAAUGAUGAUAAUAAUAAUAAUAAUAAUAAUAAUAAUAAUAAUAAUAAUAAUAAUAAAAUUUAAUUUACAGAAAAAUACCUACAUAUAGCUAUAAGCCUAUAAGUGACAAAGAAAAAUCUAACGGUAAAAAGGACUUUUCUAACAUGUUUAGUAGGCUCCAAUCUUCGUUGCUAUUUAGCCCAUGUUUGAGCGACAUUCUAGGAAAAAAAUGUAUUAUUCACGUCAAAUUAAUGAAAAAUAUAUUGUUAAAAAAUAAGAAAUUUUUUUUAGAUUUACAUGUAAUAUUAUUUUAUUGAAGAAUGUGUUGUUGAAAUGAUAUCAAAUCACUGUUGAAAAACAUAUUUUUUUGAAAAUAAUGUGGCUCAAAUAAGGUAGAAUACCUUAUUGGCGGUUGUUGCAUUAAAGUUCAAAUGUCAUUAUAAAUAACUUGUAGUUUCUGCAGAGAAAAUUGAUCAAACGGGCCCUCAAAAUUCUUAAACGAGAUGUCAUGAUAUAAGAAUUUAGGUAAAUUACUAUUUCAUCGCUUACCUUUUAGCAAAGGAGCGAAUUUGCUUUAGAACUUCUAUUUUUUUUUUUUUUUUUUUCCUGUUUUUUUUCCUUAACCUUUUUAAAAAUUUGUAAUUUUUUCCCUACAGGUGUAUCCAUCCAAAAAUCUAUCAAAUUUGUGUAACAUGAAGAUCACACUUUAACAUAAAUAAAUAAAUAAAUAAAUAAAGAAAAAAAAACUUAACAAAAAGAAUUUAAUAAAAAUAAACACGAAAAAAUAAAAAGGAAACGAAAGAGAGAGAAAAAAAAAUUUCUUUCUUCUCUCCUUAAGGGCGUUAAUAGAGUGAGUCAAGCUGUUAAACUGAUCCAUGGGACGAGCCGAGCACCAGUGGUGGGGGGCAAGUGGCUUGCCUAUUUUAUUCUACUAAAAUUGUAUAUUUCAUUCACUAUGUCAAAUGGGCUGUGACCUAACUCGUACAACUCACUCCAUCUAACAUCCAUACUCCAAGCACCUUAACCUAACCUCAAGGUUGUACCAUCUAACUAUGGGAAAACUCUCUCAAUUUAUGCAAGUGGUGGAAAAAUCAAGGAAAAAGCCAAUGGAAUUUGCUUCUGUUUUAUCGCCAUUGUCAGUAGCGGCUAUAACUAAGGGAAAGACCCAGUCGUAUACACAUGCCAUCGACCGUUGGAAAUGGUUUAUUAUUAGUGAAGUUGGUUAAUUUUGAGCCCCAAAUUUAGUGGGACUCGUAUUUCAAUUUUAACGGAACCAAGCAUAUUCAAGUUCUGCUCUGUGAGAUGAUUAACGUGAUAUAUUUAUUUAAUGAAAAUCAUUUAGAAUUUAAUGAUAUAUUUGAUGUUAAAGUAACUCACUUAAAACUAUAUACUAGUAAAAAUUUUGAUUUAUUAAAAAUUGCUAAACAUUUAUCUCCCAUAAGAAAGUUAAGAAACUUUGAUGUGGUUAUAAUGGAAGUUUGAAAAUUAGAUUUGGGCUCCAAAGGGUACCAAUAAUCUUUGAAAGGGAGAGACCUAUAUCCUAUUAGGUUCCGUGCCCAUGUUCUAGUCCGGUUUGACUUGUGUUCGGGUGCAAGGUGCGAGUACGGUUGGAUCCUUGUACUAUAUUAAUAUUUUUGACAAAUUUAUUUAAAUUUUUUGGGCCAUUUUAUAAUUAAUCAAAUUCUUGAGUAGUUAAUGAAAUUAAUUUUGAUUAGCUUAUUUUCGGGUAAUAGUUUGGUUUGGAUUGUCUAUUUACCAACGUAACAGACUUCCGUUAACCGUUUUAACAGAUGCAAUACGGAAUAGUGCUAUCAUUCGAGUUUGAAGGUUGUCUAAACAGUAAUGAUUAUUCUGAAAAUACUUGAAGGAUGUUUGAAUGGCUAAGAAUGAGUCUAUAAAUAGCAUGCACUACUAUUAGAAUAAUUAUAUCAUUUUCAUCGUAAACUUUUUCUACUCUGAAUCUCAUUUUCUCUCUCAUUCUAAUAUUGUUCUCUAAGUGAAAGCACUUCAUUGAAUUCAUUCGAACUCUUGCAGAUUGAUGUGUUGCUUCCGUGGGAGACGAAAUUCGUUAUAUCCUAGAAAACGAUUGUUGCACACUUUUAGUAUAUUUGAAGACACCAAAUUCGUUUUAAGAAAAUAUCGGGAAGUGGAUGGGCUCAAAUUAACAUUCUGAUCAUGUUGAUCAUCUUAUUACAUUGUUUAAAUUACAAUACGAUAAUUUUGACAGUGUAUUAUUUUCAAAUUAUUUGAAAGAGAAUCUUAUACUCCAAGAAUAACAUCAUCGGCAUGGCAAAAACCAUAGGAAAAACCCUCUGUUACAUUGGUAAGGUUUAAGUGGAUGAAAUUUUUUAGGUUUGCCUUUCUAGUUUUUAUUUAUUUAUUUAUUUAUUAUUUUUUUUAUAUCAUGUUUGGAAAUUGUUUAAAAACGAUUUGUUUCAUAAAUAAAUAGAAAUGAGUGAAAAAUAAGUCCAUAAUACUUGUAAUUCUCUAAAAAUGUAUGGAUAAAAAUUAACUUGUAUGUUUAUAAUCAUGGACUUAAUUCCCCUCUUCUUCUUUAUUCCUUUUUCUUUCUUUUUGUUUAUUUAAGUUAAAAGCUAUCAAUUUACAGAAGUGUAAUAGACUUUUGGAGAAAAAUGACUAUAGGGAUGAAAUCUACUAUAUUAGUACAAAACGUCAUUAUCUUUCAAUGUUAUUGUACAAAAUGUUCAUACAUUUCGUUUUUUGAUAUUUUCAUCAUUACCUUCACCUUUUAUUGUGGAAAUCAUUAUUUUCAUCAAAUUUCUCAUGUAAAAUGACAAAUAUACCCCCUAUUUAAAUAAAACAAUAAAAAAAGAUGAAAAAAGUUAAAGAAUAAAUUGCAAACUCCCAAGCUUUUUUAAAAAGUGCAGAUGAGUCUAAAUAAAUUAUUAAAAUGGUAAUUAGCACAAAACGUUCUUACCUUUCAUUCUUAUUGUGCAAAAUAUUCAUACCUUUCUUUUUUGACAUUUUUACCCUUAUUUUUAUAUUUCACUCCAAAAAUCAUUAAUUAUAUACAUUUUCUCAAUUAAAAGCUGUAAAAUAACAAAUAUAUUAUCAUCUUUAAAUAAACAAAAAUAAAGACCAAAUUGAAACUAUAGUUCAAAAAUUAUCAAAAAAAGUACAAAUAUAAUUAUUUGUUUGGAAUUUAUUUAUACUUUUUUGGAAAAUUUGAGAAUAUAGUUGCAAUCUGUUCUUUAUUUUUAUUUAUUUGAAGAGGAUUGUAUAUUUAUCAUUUUACAACGUUUAAUUGAGAAAAUGGAUGAAAAUAAAAUUUUCGUAAUGAAAUAUGAAAUAAUAGUGAAAAUGUCAAAAAAAAGAAAAGUAUAGACGUUUUGCACAAUAAUAUUGAAAAGUAUAAACGUUUUGUGCUAAUUACCCUUUCAAAAAUAUUAUUAUAUAAAAGGUAAAAAAAGAAGUUGAGAGUAGAUCCGCUAAAAUUGGAGACGAAAGGGCAAUAUACCCUGAGAUCCUUAAGAACUACGGACACGAGGUUUCACGGAUAAUCAGGAUACCAAUUUCAAAAUAACAAUAAUAUAAAUAAAUAAAAGAAUUACAAAAUAAGUGCAUAUUUGUCAGAUCUUUACUUAAAAGCAAUAGGUCACAAUGAAUGUAUAACUAAGAAGUAUAUAAAAAUUAUGAAUCAUAUAGAAACUAAUCACUUCAGCAUAAUAUUGUUCACAUUCCAAUGGAUCUUUGAUACUAAUUUUAAUCUAUUUAUAAAUUCUUUCCAAACAAACGAUACAUCUUCAAAACGUCCUUUCACCAAAACUCUCAACUUCAGAUCGAACUCCGUCAAUUUCUCUUCCAAACAUCCCCCACAAUGAUUGUAGUCCAUAACGGCUGCAACAUCACGUUAAUUGCAGCUCAACACCUCAAUUCAACAUUGGCCACGUUAUAUGUAAAUAAACCAACAAAGGUGUCCAACAAAAAGGAGCCAAUCUUGUUUGCAAAGUCAAAAAUGUUACUUUCAAAUAAGUUGUUUAUUAAUAGUAUGUACAAUUAGCAAAAGUUUCUUCUAAAAUUAUAUAAUUAUUAAAUUACAGAAUUGUUUUAUUCUUUUAUAUUUCACUACGUUUUCCAGAAAACAAAUAAAAUAAAAUCAUGACAUAAAUUAAAUCAAGAAGAAAUUUAAGAUUAUAUAUAAAUAAUUUCGAAUGUAACAACAAAACAAAGAACCAUUGACAUGUCUACAAUACCCUAAAUGCAAAAACAGGAACUACAGUUAAACGAGAAUUUAAAAUGCUCCAACGAGUAUGUCGCGCGUGGAAGGGUAGUACCGUAAAAUCAUUGACCAUUUUGUAAGAACCGUACGAGUUGCGUCGGGUUGAAUACACCGGGUAUAUGGGCCCCAUCUGACUUCAACAAAUGGGAUACUUCCAUAUAUCUCUGAUAACUCUCAGCCUCGUUCUCGGCUUUUCUUUGCGGCUCACUUCCCAUUUUCUGACUCGAAGACUGCUUCUGAUUAAAUGUCGCGGCUGACAGAGGAACCACUUCGGCUCGAGCUGGAUCCCAAGGCUGACCAAAUAAGGUACCCUUUGUUAAAAACUCGUUGGCUAGAUACCCAGCCAGAAGGGUAUUAGUAUUGCUGGAAGCCGGCUGAUCUAACGGCUUUGUUGCUGCUGGUCUGUGAAGGCUCGGCUUGGCCAAUGUUUUAGUCGUCACUGUUGACGGUUUCUUCAGGACGUUAGGAGCAUCAUCUCUCCCUUUUCGCUUAUUUGACGGAAAAAAUUGACGGCGUGAGUUGUUCAUCAUCGUCGUACACGUGUCUUCCCUAACACGUACUCACAAUUGCAUAUCGCACAAACUCUCUCCCCACUAAAAUUAAACACAAAAACAAAUCAUUUUCUAAACAUGUGAAAACGACAUCGUUGCACAGUAAAACAUAAAGAAAAUUCGAAUAAAACAGAAAAUUGCUCAUAAUAAACGGGAAAAAAAAAUACAGAUUUAGAUACAGAUCAGAAAUUUAAACAAAAUCUGGUUCUACAGUGUGAAUUUCACACAAAGAAACACGCAAAAAUCACACACAGACACAUAGUAUAUUUGAAGACACCAAAUUCGUUUUAAGAAAAUAUCGGGAAGUGGAUGGGCUCAAAUUAACAUUCUGAUCAUGUUGAUCAUCUUAUUACAUUGUUUAAAUUACAAUACGAUAAUUUUGACAGUGUAUUAUUUUCAAAUUAUUUGAAAGAGAAUCUUAUACUCCAAGAAUAACAUCAUCGGCAUGGCAAAAACCAUAGGAAAAACCCUCUGUUACAUUGGUAAGGUUUAAGUGGAUGAAAUUUUUUAGGUUUGCCUUUCUAGUUUUUAUUUAUUUAUUUAUUUAUUAUUAUUUUUAUAUCAUGUUUGGAAAUUGUUUAAAAAUUAAUUGCUCUUCUUAACCCCACAAAUUAUCCAUUUUUAAUUAUAUAUUAGUAAGAGUUGAAUUUACAUUGCACCUUAUUUUGAAAUAUUUUAUAGGCUCUUGUUUGAUCGUUAUUAUUUUUAAAAUAUAUUUUUUAUAAUUUCUUUUUGAUUACACAUUUUUCAAUAAAAUAAUAUUACUUUUUUCUUAUUUUUCAAUCACACAAUCUCUUAAGGCUGGGCAAAAUUUUCGAAUCGAACCAAACCCGACUCAAACCGAGCAAUUCUUCUUAAGUUAAAUACUCGAACGAGUAUCUAAAUCGAAACCAACGAGUUCAAUUCAAUUCUCAUUUCUAAAUCAAGAAUCAAAUAAUCGAAUAAGAAUCUAAUUUCCUUAAUUUUUUAUUAAUUUAUUUUAAAUAAAUCAAAUUAUUUUAUUUUUUUAAAAUAAAUUUGCUAACUAGUUAAUUUAACUCAAACCCAAAAAUAUAAUUUUCCUAUUUCUAAUUUUUAGUACAAAUCAACUUAAUCAAAUUGACCUAACCGUAGUGUCGUUUCUACCGUUCUGAAGAAAUUGAAAUGAAGCUUGACAACGCCUCUAUUAAUUAUUGUGAGAUCACUAUCUUUCUCUUCCAGUAAUUUUAACAAUCAAAUUUAUGAAGAACUCGGCAAAGAGAGACGCAAAAGACACGAAAGAUUGGACUACGUUAUUUUAUAAGAGUUAAGAUUGAACAUUUCAUUAAUUGAAUUAAUGUAACUUUGUAAAUAUUAAAAAAUUUAAUUAUAAUACGGAACCUGAGAACUUAAUAGAACCGAAUCGAACCAAACCGAAAUGAAUUGAAUAGAAUCGAAUCCCAACGGUUCCAUAAUUAAAUUUGGACCUGACGAUUCUACUUACUAAGUAUCCAAAAGUUUCGAGUCUGGUUCGAGAAUUGUUUUAUUCUUUUAUAUUUCACUACGUUUUUCAGAAAACAAAUAAAAUAAAAUCAUGACAUAAAUUAAAUCAAGCAGAAAUUUAAGAUUGUAUACAAAUAAUUUCGAAUGUAACAACCAAACAAAGAACCAUUGACAUAUCUACAAUACCCUAAAAUGCAAAAACUACAGUUAAAUGAGAAUUUAAAAUGCUCCAAUGAGUAUGUCACGCGUGGAAGGGUAGUACCGUAAAAUCAUUGACCAUUUUGUAAGAACCGUACGAGUUGGGUCGGGUUGAAUACACCUGGUAUAUGGGCCCUAUCUGACUUCAACAAAUGGGAUACUUCCAUAUAUCUCUGAUAACUCUCAGCCUCGUUCUCGGCUUUUCUUUGCGGCUCACUUCCCAUUUUCUGACUCGAAGACUGCUUCUGAUUAAAUGUCGCGGCUGACAGAGGAACCACUUCGGCUCGAGCUGGAUCCCAAGGCUGACCAAAUAAGGUACCCUUUGUUAAAAACUCGUUGGCUAGAUACCCAGCCAGAAGGGUAUUAGUAUUGCUGGAAGCCGGCUGAUCUAACGGCUUUGUUGCUGCUGGUCUGUGAAGGCUCGGCUUGGCCAAUGUUUUAGUCGUCACUGUUGACGGUUUCUUCAGGACGUUAGGAGCAUCAUCUCUCCCUUUUCGCUUAUUUGACGGAAAAAAUUGACGGCGUGAGUUGUUCAUCAUCGUCGUACACGUGUCUUCCCUAACACGUACUCACAAUUGCAUAUCGCACAAACUCUCUCCCCACUAAAAUUAAACACAAAAACAAAUCAUUUUCUAAACAUGUGAAAACGACAUCGUUGCACAGUAAAACAUAAAGAAAAUUCGAAUAAAACAGAAAAUUGCUCAUAAUAAACGGGAAAAAAAAAUACAGAUUUAGAUACAGAUCAGAAAUUUAAACAAAAUCUGGUUCUACAGUGUGAAUUUCACACAAAGAAACACGCAAAAAUCACACACAGACACACACGAAAGCGAGAGAGAGAGAGAGAGAGAAGGGGUACAGGGGUUUCGAAAUGGGAUGAAAUGGGAAAUUUAUAGAAAGAAGGAUGAUUAAUUGCCCCUGAAGUAAGCAAAAAUUACGGGGCAAGGAAAAGCGGUUGUUAAAAGGAUAAAAGUCAACCGGUCUUAAAUGUCGAUUUAAUUGCUCUUCUUAACCCCACAAAUUAUCCAUUUUAGAGAGAGAGAGAGAGAGAAGGGGUACAGGGGUUUCGAAAUGGGAUGAAAUGGGAAAUUUAUAGAAAGAAGGAUGAUUAAUUGCCCCUGAAGUAAGCAAAAAUUACGGGGCAAGGAAAAGCGGUUGUUAAAAGGAUAAAAGUCAACCGGUCUUAAAUGUCGAUUUAAUUGCUCUUCUUAACCCCACAAAUUAUCCAUUUUUAAUUAUAUAUUAGUAAGAGUUGAAUUUACAUUGCACCUUAUUUUGAAAUAUUUUAUAGGCUCUUGUUUGAUCGUUAUUAUUUUUAAAAUAUAUUUUUUAUAAUUUCUUUUUGAUUACACAUUUUUCAAUAAAAUAAUAUUACUUUUUUCUUAUUUUUCAAUCACACAAUCUCUUAAGGCUGGGCAAAAUUUUCGAAUCGAACCAAACCCGACUCAAACCGAGCAAUUCUUCUUAAGUUAAAUACUCGAACGAGUAUCUAAAUCGAAACCAACGAGUUCAAUUCAAUUCUCAUUUCUAAAUCAAGAAUCAAAUAAUCGAAUAAGAAUCUAAUUUCCUUAAUUUUUUAUUAAUUUAUUUUAAAUAAAUCAAAUUAUUUUAUUUUUUUAAAAUAAAUUUGCUAACUAGUUAAUUUAACUCAAACCCAAAAAUAUAAUUUUCCUAUUUCUAAUUUUUAGUACAAAUCAACUUAAUCAAAUUGACCUAACCGUAGUGUCGUUUCUACCGUUCUGAAGAAAUUGAAAUGAAGCUUGACAACGCCUCUAUUAAUUAUUGUGAGAUCACUAUCUUUCUCUUCCAGUAAUUUUAACAAUCAAAUUUAUGAAGAACUCGGCAAAGAGAGACGCAAAAGACACGAAAGAUUGGACUACGUUAUUUUAUAAGAGUUAAGAUUGAACAUUUCAUUAAUUGAAUUAAUGUAACUUUGUAAAUAUUAAAAAAUUUAAUUAUAAUACGGAACCUGAGAACUUAAUAGAACCGAAUCGAACCAAACCGAAAUGAAUUGAAUAGAAUCGAAUCCCAACGGUUCCAUAAUUAAAUUUGGACCUGACGAUUCUACUUACUAAGUAUCCAAAAGUUUCGAGUCUGGUUCGAUUCUCGUUAGAAUCAAACCGAAUCAUAUCCAGUCCUACAAUCUCUAUCAAUCUACUAUUCAAAAAUAUUUUCCACAUAUAAAAUGGGGCUCAAAUAGGCUUUAUGUGCUUGUAAAAGUAACAUUUGAUAUGAGGAGCCUUAAUUUUGAUAUGCUACAGCAUUAGAAGAAUAUGGAAGAAAACAAAAUUUAGGAUAAAAAUUUAAGAGAAGAAAGUUGUACUCUCUCAAUUUGAUUCCAAUUUUUUUGUGAUAAUGAAAUACUACAAAUGAGCAACAUUUCUAUACUACAUUUGGUACAUAAGAAUUAAUGGCUAAUACAUGAAUUUAAACAUCCAUUAAAUUCCCUAAAUAUAUGAAUAUAAAUAAAAAUCAUCCAUGAUAACUCUGGAUUUACAUAGAUCAAGAUACAUCAAAUCAAAAGUCAUUGGGUCUAGAUUAAUAUGAAUGCUAAUUAAUUGAAAAUUAAUAAUACGAAAUUCAUACAUGAUGAAGGAUUGUGUUUUAUUUAUUACAAAUUGAAAAACGAAAAAUAAAGUAUUAUUGAAAUAAUUGAAUUGUAGUAGAGUUAAAAUCGUCCAUAAAAAUGAUUUUCAAAUGCAUUACACAUUAUUUUGAAAAUACUUUAUAAAUGCUGUAAAAAGUAAUAUUUGGCAUACUAAGCCUUGAUUUUGAUUUGCUGCACAAUAAACAGAAUAUGGAAAAAAAUAAAAUUUAUGAUAGAAAUUUAAAAAAAGAAAGUUAUACUCUCAAAACUCGGUUUAAUUCAAAUUUUUUAUUUUGAUGAAAUACUACAAAUGAGCAACUUUUUUAGACGAUACUUUGUACAUAAGAAUUAAUUGUUAAUACAUGAAUUUAAAUAUCUAUUUCAGCCGCAUUCUUUUAAAAAAAUACAUUUUCAAAUAGUGAUUUGACAUCAUUUCAAUCACAUAUUUUUCAAUAAAAUAAUAUUACACAUAAAUUCAAAACUUUUCUUUCUAUUUUAACCACAUAUUCUUCAUCAAUCUACUAUUCCAAAAUACAUUCUUCCAAAAUAAUGUGGCUCAAACACACGCUAAUUUUUCUAGAUAUGUGAAUAUAAAUAAAUUCAUCCAUAAUAACUCUAGAUUCAUAUAUAUUAAGAAUUAUUAAGUCAAAAUUCAUUAAGUUUAGAUUCAAGUAAUUAUUAAUUAAUUGAGAAUUAAUAACACGAAAUUUAUACAUGACUAAGAAUCUUAGAAUUCGUUUGAUUACAAAGAUGGAAUUUGGGUGAAAAGAAAACAAAUUUCAAAAAAUUGAAUUGCAUAGAAAUUAUUUUACCGGGAAUUCUCAAUUAUUGUGUUUGAAUAGUAUAAUUUUUUAUGUGAAAAAUGUUGAAAUAAAAGUGUUUUUUUGUGUUUAUUUGAUUUUUUACAUAAAAAUUAUCAAUUAAAUGAAUAAAAUUUACUGGUAUUGGGGAUAUAAUUUGUUUCCAUUGCCAAAAAAAAGUCAAGAAAAUCAUCUAUCUUUUGGUAUUCAUUUGACUUUAUUUUAUAUGAAAAUUAUCAAUCAAAGGAAAAUAUUUUUUUAUAAUUAGAGAUAAAAUUUGUUUUCAUUGCAAAUAAUAAUAAUAAUAAUAAUAAUAAUAAUAAUAAUAAUAAUAAUAAUAAUAAAAUUGACAGCCUACCUAGAAAAACAAUUCCCAUCAUAUAGGUGGGAAUUGGUUUUCCUUGAAAACUAAAAAAAAUCAACACUUUUCAAGAAAAUCAAUUUCAUGGAAAAAAAUAUACUAUCAAAUAAUCAAAAAGUGAAAGUUGAAAUUUGAAUUCUAUUUUCCAUGGAAAAUAAUGGCCAAUCAAACAUGGUCUUAUAGUAUUUAUUACAUAUCGAAAAAAUGAAAAGUAAAAUAUUAUUGAAAUGAUUGAAUUGUAGUAAAAUUAUAAUUAUCAAAAAAUGGUUCUCAUUUGAGGUGAUACUUAAUAUAUUAUAGAUUUAACGAUUAAUUGUUACUUUCUUAGGUACGCAAAUUCGAUUUUUAUAGAAAAAGUUACACUAUAAUUUUCUAAUUUAUAAAACAAUUUGAUUUUCGAUCCCUUUUUCUUAGCAAUAUGAUCUCCAAUUUCUAAUCUGUAGUAUUAUUGGCCCUCCUCAUAAAUUACUUAAACAUUUGAAAAUGCUUAAAUUGAAUAUAUAAUUAGUUAAUAAAUGACUUUUGACCAAUCAGAUGUACAAUGUUAAACAAUAUCAAAAUUGGACUAUUUUUCAAAAUUUUAAAGAUAACAAGUCACUCAGAUUAAUGUUGGGGAAUAAGCUUACCCGUUCCCCCGUGACAAAAGCAAGUAAUCAAUAGUUAAAAUAUCCAUUAAAUUGUGAAUAGAUUUCGAAAAUUUUGACAUCAUAGCUAGGUUUGUCAAAAUAACAAUGCUAGGUAUACAUCAUUUGGUGUACAUCCCGGCUAACAACCAUCUAAUAUGGGGUGGGGCCUGCGAUAUAUUAUUAGAGGACUGUCAAAUUAAGUCAAGCAUUGAUGUGUGAACAGAAAUUGUACGCUCAGAAACACUACAGAACAGACAUAGCACCGAGGGUGGGUAAUUUUUUGACCUUUUUUUUUUUUUUUUUUUUUUUUUUUUAUCACAACUUGGGGUACAGACAAUGUAAAAUUUUUGGUGCAUUUCUGUGAAACAAUUUUUUGUACAAAUGAAAUUGCUGAAAUAAGUCUACACCAAAGGGUGCAUUUUUCUUGUCAAAAUGUGUGAGCUGUCUAGACCAAUUCACUUGUAUGUAAGUUCGGCUAUUGGCACAUGAUGACUUGAACUAAUCUGUUGAUAGACUAAUUUAUCUUCAAAAUCUUAGGGCCUGCUUGCCGCGAAUUUACUAAUAGUGUGGACUAGCCCGGUCUGAGAUGGGCCAAACUUGUUAUUUUUUAAUCUCUAAAUAAGCACUUUACACUUAUAAUACUAAUACUGGUGCAAUAUUUUUUUUAAUAAAUCAAUCCGAUCGGGGCUCGUCCUCAUGAUGCUCUAGUUUGAAAAACUCAACCGACACGACCUGCCAUUAUUGGCAAACUAACUCACGAGCUCACGUGAGAUGAACUCGAUUGAUUGAUUUGUAUGAUUUGUUAUCGAGAUGGGUCGUUUUGAAUUUUGGCCUAGAUAGGUUGCCUAUUUUAACACCACUAGUAUUGACAAACAAACUGCUAGCUAUGUCAUGACAAUUUUUUGGUAUAGUGGUAGGAUUUUUGAAGGGCCCGGCUGGAUAGGAUGAAAAAAUCUCUACUUCUUGUUUUGUUUAAAUAUUUAUUUUUAUUUAUUUUUCAGGUACUAUUUAAAUUUAAAAAUUAAAUAAAAGAAAAAUAAUACCCCGCCCUUGUUCCAUUACGAGGCGACGCUAGCGGGACAUCUGCCAUCCUAACAACUUAAAAAGUUAUGUAUUAAAUCCUUAUUUGAGUCACAUUAUUUUCAUUAGAAUGCAUUUUUGAAUAGUGUGUGGAAAGGCCUGACGGGAUAGGAUGAAAAAACCUCUACUUCUUGUUUUGUUUAAAUAUUUAUUUUUAUUUAUUUUUCAGGUACUAUUUAAAUUUAAAAAUUAAAUAAAAGAAAAAAAAUACCCCGCCCGUGUUCCAUUACGAGGCGACGCUAGCGGGACAUCUGCCAUCCUAACAACUUAAAAAGUUGUGUAUUAAGCUCUUGUUUGAGCCACAUUAUUUUCUUUAGAAUACAUUUUUAAAUAGUGUGUUGAUGGAAAAUUUGUCAAAAAAUAAGGAAUUUUUUUGAAUUUAUGUGUAAUAUUAUUUUAUUUAAAAAUGUGAUUGAAAUAAUGUCAAAUAACUGUUUAACAAUGCAUUUUUUUAAAAGAAUAUAGGUCAAACAAGGUGUAAGUUAUAUCGUAUUUAGUUCAAUAUUAAAAUAUCGAACAUUGUUAAAGGAUUAAAAUAUAUCUUUAUGUGUUGAUUAUUCAUUUCAUCUUUAUUCAAUGUAUAAUUUAUUAUUUAACAUGAUCAUACAAAAUGGUGGCUCAAUUGAAUAAGUCAAUUUUAAAAUAUAUUUGCUCAUUUGACAUUCAGAUCAAACUGUUCAUUUUAUUUAGGAUAAUUCUCCAUGUAUAUUAUGAUAUCCAUAAGGGUAUCCAUAAUGUACACGUGAAAUUCCAUGAUUGAAGGGUUUAAAAACUAUUUUUCAAUCCUCCAAUGAUGUUAUGCCACUUGCAUAUUAUGGACACUCUUAUCGACACCAUAAUGUACAUGUAGUAUAACCCUUUUAUUUAACGGUGGUGCUAUUGGUACGUAGGGGUAUACCUAAGCAUGUAUGCCCCUCUCACAUAGGGUGUGGGAUCCACCCGAAUAACAUUUUAUUCGGAUGGAUUCCACACCCUAUGUGAGAGGGGCGUACACGCUUAGAAACAUCACAUUAUGUAUCACCAAAUUAAUUGUUUAUUUAAUGAGCUCUGAUAGAGUUUUACUUUUAUAUAUUAAUAAUUUAUUUUAACUUUAUUUGAUGAAGGAUUUAUCGCUCAACCAGUCGUGUCACUAUAUCACCCACCUUUUCAUAAUCACAAAAUUAGGGGUGUACUGCAUGACAAAUGUAUCACGAUUAGCUGAUCUUAAUUUUAUGAUCUUAUUAGGGUUUUUUUUUUUUUUUUUUUUUUUUUUUUUUUUUUUUUUUUUUUUUUUUGUCACUAUAUCACCCACCUUUUCAUAAUCACAAAAUUAGGGGUGUACUGCAUGACAAAUGUAUCACGAUUAGCUGAUCUUAAUUUUAUGAUUUUAUUUGCUGUUUUUUUUUUUUUUUUUUUUUUUGGGUUUUUUUUUUUUUUUUUUUUUUUGGGAAUUUUCAUUUUAUUUUAUCAAGGUUUAUUAAGCCCAUGUUUGACGUCCAUUAUUUUGAAAGUGAGUUUUAAAUAGCGAUUUUUUGGAAAAUAUGUAGUUAAAAAAAUAAAAGUAUAGAAAAGUUUUGAAUUUACAUAUCAAAAUAUUUUAUUGCAUAAAUGUGUAGUUGAAAGUGAGCACAAGAAUAAAAAAAAAAUUAUUUUAAAAGGAGAUUAGCAGGGACUAAGUUAUUGAUUUCAUUUUAUUUCUUGCUUUUGUCAUGGGCAAGCUUAUUUCAAACAUCAUUAUUAACGUGGAUUGACUUGUUAGCUUCUAAAAAAUUAAAAAGGAGCCCUCUUGAAGAGGAUAUUGUCUAGGUCUUAAUGGUCACAUUCAUUACAAGUAUAUGGUCCCAACAUUUUUAAUCAAUACAUUUCACGCUUAAUAAAAAUAAAUCGAUAAAUACAAGAAAUAACAUUUGUAGACAGUAUACAAAAUUAAGGUCAACUGAUAGGAUAUGAUUCUACUUGUGAUACAUACAUUGUAUCUUUAUCAAAACACGUAUUAGUGAACAUAACAAGUAUUGCAUGAUUAAGAUAAUUGAUUACAAAUUUCCAAUAUCGAAAAUUGUCUUUUGUAUACCAAUAAUACUAUAAUUUUGAGAUCAUCCCAUCAAAGAAAAUAGAUUGAGAAUCAGACUGAUUUAGAAGUUAGAGAAUAUAAUGCAUUUUUCAAACCAUAGAAUUUAGGUACCUAAACAUUAAUAAUUCAUCUUCCCUUAAAAACAUUGCUUUUCUAUUUUUGUCCAUGACUUGUUCCUUGUCUACACAAGUCUCAAUCAAACGCAAAGCUAUGUUAAAUUGAAUAUGAAGAAAAAAAUUUAAUCAUUUCGUCUAAUAUUAUUCACUUCAACAUGAAGAAUAGCUACUCGUCAGUGUGAAGUAGACAUACUUAGCGGGGUUGUUAUUGCUUGCAGCGGGCUACAAAUGUGUCCCGGUUGAUCAGGCCGGCCCAAAUGUUACUGGUUCUAUGUUGGGUCAAUUCCAAAAAGUGGUUCAAUCAAAUUAUAAUUUGGGUCAAGAGCUUACUUAUUUUUAAUUCUAAUAUGUUGCAACUCUUAGUGGAGAUCUUUCUUUAAAAGUAACCUUGGUUAUAAAAAUAUUUGGUUUAAUCCUGACAAACCAAUUUUUUCUCAUAUUUCCUUUUUCAUUAAUUGUAUUCAAUAUUUCCGAAUCUAAAAAUAUUAAAUGUGCUAUAAAUACAUGAUAUGAAAUAUAUAACUUAAACAAUAUGAGCCACACGGGUUUUUCAUGGGCCUAGCACAACUCGCUUUUACAAUUUUUUAUGUUACAUUUUUGUUAAUUCCUAAGGAAAAAGUUUGAAAGGCGACACAGGGCAUUUUUUGUCAUAUUUAUCAAAAUGUAGCGUAGAGUAUAUUAUUUAUUCCCUACUUUUGAAUAAAGUAGUAGACCUACGUUCAACAUUUUUUUUGUGAAUUUUUGUGCCUGAUCUUUGGAAAAUUAGUAGAUUUCAUCCAUAUAAUGCAAUCUUACCCCCUAACUUGAAUAAAACUUAAAUUUUAUUUUUAUAUGUUCUUUUGUUCUGUUCCUUUAUAUAUUUUUGUUUUUUAUGUUAAAAAAAAAAGCAAGUUUGCCAUUUUAUUUAAGUUUGACAGAUUUUGGGGGGGAAGCGGCUUUACUAAAUUUUCAAAGGUUAAGUGUAUGUCUGUUAUUUUGCUCAAAAGUUUGGAACGAAUAUUGCAAAUUACCCUAAAGUGUACCUCUCAAGAUCUUUAAAGUCGGGCACAUAAUCUAGAAGUUAGCUUACCCCUUUUUUUUUUCCCAAAAUUUUAUCUUUAUGGCCAUAGGAGACUCGAAUCUAGGCGGUAAAACUUUAUUCUUUUUUCGUGCUAAUGAUAGAUUGGUAAAAAUGUGUACACAAUAGGCUAUAUAAAGCAAAUAUAAGAAUUCACUUCAAUCUAAAACAAAUAUAUUUAGGACAUGUUCGGUAGUGAUUAUGAGAACCAAUUUUGUGAUCUUUAGGGGGAAAAGUGAAUCCUACUUGUGAGUAAAGAACUAAAAAAUGACAACAGACUAUUGAAACUAGUGAUCAAAAUAUUGAUUUUUUGGGGUAAAAAAUAAAAAACAAACGAGGGAUUAAUCUCUUAUUAAAAUACUAUCUAAAAAGUUCGUUAAAAUGUCACGUACUAUUAGUCUCCAUGAAGAAAUGGAUCAUACCAACAUGGAUUCGACAGUAUCUUAUGGCCUCAUGCUGGUUCAGUUUGUUAUUAUAUUCUCUUUUUUCCUUCACUGCAGUCACCUAAAUAAUUUAUAUUCUUUAGUUUUAUAAAGAUUCUUUGCGCUUAUCAGGCUUAUAAUGGUCUUUGUUUUGAAUAAUAUCAAAUGUAAUAUUUUAUUAAAUGUAAUAUUUAAUGCACAGUGAUUCCAUUAAUACAGGUUAUGACUGUUAGAGCCAUCUAUAUAAAUAACAUCUGAAGAUUCUCUGAGCAUUUCAAUGAUAUUUAACACUACUUAACAAAUUAUAGUUUGAUAUUCACAAGAUAGUAACUGUAACAUGAACUUCUGCUUAUGAGAACUUCAGAAAGUUCAGAUAUCUGCAUUUCUUGCUAGUUGCUAAUUCCUCUUCAUUUUUUUGUCCUUUUUAUAUUUUAUAAGGAAAGGGAAAGGCACUGGAUAACUAGUGUAUAAACAAUUUAUGACAUUGAUGAAUUGACAAAUUGUGAAUGGUUUUCUGAUUUAUGAUUUCAUCAUCUUUGCAGAAGCUGUUCAAUCAUGCACAGUUAUUCUGGACAUUGUUGAAUCUUCAUUACCAGCAGGCUUGCCUGAAAACUUUGGCGGUGACUGUAAAUUGCAGGAAACUAUAAACGAGGCUGUAGAGCUGCUUCCAGGAUUAUGGAAACUUGCUGAUUGUCCCAGUGAAGCUAUUUUGUCUUACCGUCGGGCCCUUCUACAUCAAUGGAACCUUGAUGCACAAACUACAGCUAAGAUACAAAAAGAGUUUGCCAUUUUUCUUCUGUACAGUGGAGAUGAAGCCAUUCCCCCAAGUCUGCAAUCCCAAAUGGACCGUGCAUUUGUGCCUAGAAACAAUACUGAGGAAGCUAUUCUUCUUUUGAUAAUUCUUUUAAGGAAAUUUACCCUCAAGAAAAUUGAGUGGAAUCCAUCAAUUUUGGAUCACCUUUCAUGUGCGUUAUCUAUAUCAGGUGGGCUGGGCUUUAGCUGAUCAAGUGGAAAAAUUACUGGAGUUUCCAUUUUUUAUCCAUAUCAAAUGUAACUAAAUAUUCGAAACAUCAAGAAAAUGCAUUAAACAAAAGUACAAUAUUACCCUUUCUAGGCAAAGGUACAAAAUUAUUAAAAACCAUACAUUUUUUGUUUUUACACGAGUAUUCCUUCCCAUCACAUUAGAGACAUUAGUGAACUUGCUUUAAUUGGCUUUCGAGCUCUUGUUCUCCAACUUUCGCCAACCUCCUCAUCUUCUACCUCAUACUUAAUCUCAGAUUCUUCAUUGUUGAUUUGAGAGAAUGUGGGGUGUAUCAUUUCACGUUCCUGCUUGACAUUUUUAGGGAUGUCAAGACUGUUCUCGCCUCUCUUCUUGUCCCAUCGUGGUCCAAAACCUGAAUAGUAGUAAAAAUCAUACGGAUUUGAUGUCAAAGUUGCCUUCUUAGCCCAUGGCGUGCGUUGAGAGUCAGCCACCACCUUAUCUUGUCUCUUCUUUGCUGGAAGAGCCAAGUAGUAGUUUCGCUCGAGAUAAGUAGAUCAUUUUUUAAGAGACUACCGUGCGGUUUUCGUGUUGUGUCUAAUUUACCUUCUAUAGAUGAUUUAACAAACAAAUUUGGCAAGAGAAUUGUGUUUUAAUGAACUCCUAACUUUUUUUUUUAAUUAUAAAUUCUCUAAAAAAUUACAUUUUACGAAAUUGAUUCUAAAAGAUACAUAUGAAAUAAAUCCUUUGUAAAAGUAGAAGUUAAUGAAAAAAAUACAUACAAACGUGUUAGAUUGAAUCUUGUAAUCAUUGAUUCACUCUAGAAUUACGAAAAUAUUUAGUGGAUUACGUGUAUCUAUUGAUCAACGACGUGGAUCACUUUUUAAGAGAGUACCGUGCAGAUCCAUGUUAUAUCUAGAUUACCUUCUAUGGAUAAAUUAAGAAACAAAUUUGGCAAGAGAACACCUUCUAUCUAUAAAUGAACAAACAAAAUGGACUCCCAAAUUUUUCAUUUUUAGUUAUACAUUCUAUAAAAAAUUACAUUUUACAAAAUUUAUUCUAAAAAAUUUUCAUCAAACAAAUCUUUUGUAAAAAGUAGAAGUUAAUGAAAAAAAUACAUGCAGAUGUGUUAAACAGAAUCUCAUAAUCUUUGACCUACUAUAUAAUUACAAAAAUAUUUAGUGAAGUACUUGUAUCUAUGUUAUGUUUUAUUUACCUUUUAUAGAUGAAUUUACAAACAAUUUUGACCCGAGAAAUUGUGUGUCAAUGGACUCCUAACUUUUCUUGUUUUUUAAUUAUACAGUCCCUAAAAAAUUACGUUUUACGAAAUUUAUUCUAAAAAUUUUACAUCAAACAAACCCUUGAAGGAUAUAUUGUUGCUGGAGGAGAUCAUGGGACAGGGUUGGGGUGGUGCUGGUUUAGGUUCGGGAUAUGAACAUGGAGUAGGAGGUGGUGGUGACGGAGGAGCAGAAUGUGGUGGUAGUGGGUAUGGUGGAGGUGGCGGUGGAGGAGAUGAAGUGUCGUGUUUUGAACUGAUAGAAAUGGCACUGAGUUGGAAGAAGUUAAUGGGCCAAGUCAUAUUUCCAUCUUUUGCAUCUGCAUUAAAUGAAAUGCUAUCUACUCGAUGAGUAAUGGAUAAUAAUGGAGUGAAGUUCAGUGGCUACAGGGAUGCUUUGAGAAGUUUGGUGAGUAAGCUGUGACACGGUGCAUAGUUCAGUCGGCAUUCAAACAUUUAACUUGUGGCAAAGAAUAUCAAGGUUUAAGACUAUGUUUAAAACUUCUGGAAUUCCACACUUGAUUUCUCCCCAUACAUACCACAACACGUACCUUACACUAAACAUCGCCAUCAUCACAGUGCUGGGACGGGACUUACACUUUUGCAUCGCACUCUCUUCCUAUACAAUAUCACCUCUUAAGAACGAAAUUUGUCAGUGUUCUUAUGCGAAAUCUCUCUCAAUGUUUAUAUCUAUCUGCACUAUCGGAUCAUGGAAAUUAAAGAUGUUGAGUAGGGGAUCUUUGGCUGCCCUGUACACCGUUGCAGAUGUUUUGAGCUCUUUUAAAGCAUUAUAGCAAUCACUUUCCCUCAAUAACCAUUGCUGAAUUAGCAUUAUUACAUCUAAUGAAGUAAAUUGUUUCAUAGGCAACUUAACAAAUGCAAGAUAUCUUGAUUCUUAGGCAACUCUGUGAAUAUUAGUCUAAAACGUUCGAUUAUCUUUGUUAGAUUCUUUUCCAGAAGAACUCUCACUUGCCUAUUGUAACUGUUGCGGAAACUCUCUUGAAAGAUCUUCAAAUCGAUGAUUUUCGGGCUCAGCCCAACGCACUUUUCUCAACCAACAACCAGUACAAUCGGCUCCAAACCACAACCAAUUAAUUCUCCUCGAUUGCUAUUCAAUCUUACCCACGUAGGAUAAGAAAAGAUGAUGAUUUGUGACCACAAAGGCUAGGAGAAGACACCACAAAGGUAUACUAUGAAGAAUCCACCAAUUGCACACGUUAAACAAGCGUUUUGAACACUUCUAGAGACCUUUAUUUCACACACAAAGGGGGCAGCCGGGAUUCCUCUAUUUAUCUCUCAAAACCACACAAAACAUGAAAAGAAAGUGGCUAGGGUUAUAUAUAUAUAUAUAUAUAUAUAUAUAUAUAUACACACACUCUAGGGUUAGGCUUUAAGUUGGACCUUUAAAGAGGUAAACGGGCCAAGAUUCAAGCCAUCCAAGAGGAAAUACAAUUGGGCCUGGUGUAACUCAUGGACUUGGUUGUUGGACUUAUUUCAUUCAUCGAUCUAUGUCUAUGAAAUAAUAUUAACCCACAUUAGCAUCAUAGCUCGAGAUUUAUUGGGUAUCAAAAAUUCAAUAGUAACGUUUGAAACAAGAACACAAUCUCAUCGCUGUAUUUGUCUGUGAUAUUUUUUACCAGGAGCUGCUCAAAAUACUCAAAUGCUUUGAUCAUCUGCAUCCAGAGGCGAACUAGGAUUCUCCUCCUCGACCAACAUCUUGAGUCAUCACCUUUCUCUUCGUCCCCAUCCUCUUCAUCACUGCUGCUUUUGGGAUCAAAAUCACCCUUUCAAGCGAACAAUCCUCAACAGCAGCCCAACGACUUGAUUUGCCUUCUUAGGGAUCAAUGCAAGAAACUACAUUCCUAAUUUUCAUCCUCAUCUUGAGGAACUUUGUUUUUCUUGAGCUGAAUUUUUCUCUUCAGCUUCUAAGUAGGAUCAUUGUUAGGCUUUUUUUUUUUUUUUUUUGUUUGGUCCAUUAGUAUAUUCCAAUUUCACAGUUGAUGGGAAUAGAAAGGUAUUUUUUGGAGAAAGGGGCAAAAUUGUUCAAUAACUCUAGUUAUGUUAUGAAAAUAUUAGAGUUCCUAUUUUUUAUCAAUAUCAAAUGUAACUAUAUAUUGAAAAAUGAAGAAAAUGCAUUAAAGAAAGGUACAAUAUUGCCCUUAUUAGUCAAAGUAAGGGCCAUAAAAUUAUUAAAAACAAUACAUUUUUAGUUUUUACACAAGUUUUUCUUCCCAUCACAUUACAGAUUUUAGUGACCUUACUUUAAUUGGCUUUUGGGCUCUUUUCCUCCCACUAUCUCCACCCUUCUCAUCUUCUACCUUAUUCUCGAUCUCAGAUUCUUCGUUGAUGAUUUGAAAGAAUGUGGGAAGUAUCAUUUCCCUUUCUUGCACAAUAUUUUUAGGAAUGUCAAGACUGUUCUCGCCUCUCUUCUUGUCCCAUCGCGGUCCAUAACCUCGAAUACUAGUAAAAUUCAUAAGGAUUUGAUGUCCAAGUUGCCUUCUUAGCUUGUAGCCCGUGCUGAGAGUCAGCCAUUACCUUAUCUUGUUUCUUCUUUGCUGGAAGAGCCGAGUUGUAGUUUCGCACAUGAGGUAAGUAGAUCAUUUUUAAAGAGAGUACUAUGCGGUAUCUGUGUUAUGUCUAAUUUACCUUCUGUAGAUGAAUUAACAGACAAAUUCGGCAAGAAAAAUUGUGUGUCAAUAGACCCCUAAUUUUUUUUUUAAACUAUACAUUCUCUAAAAAGUUAUAUUUAACGAAAUUGAUUUUGAAAAAUAUCUACAUUGUGAAAAGUAGAAGUUAGGCCCUGUUUGAUAGGGCCAAAUUUCAUUUUUCAUUUUCCACCUUUUGGCCUGUUUGAUUGCAAUAAUUUUCUAGGGAAUUCAUUUUCUUUCCUCUCCCCACAUAUGUGGAAUUUCCUUGGUUUUGUGGAAAACCAAUUCUCACCAAACCUAGGGAAAUUGGUUUUCUAGGUAUCUUUUUUAUUUUAUUUAUUUAUUUAUUUAUUUUUUGACAAUUGGAACAAAUUCUAUCCCCAAUUGUAACAAAUUUUAUCCCUUUAAUUGAUAAUUUCCAUGGAAAACAAAGUUAAACGAACACCAAAAGAUAGAAAAUUUCAAUAAUAUUUUCCACGUAGAAAAUUAUACCAAUCAAACGCAUUAAUUGACAAUUUUUAGGAAAACAAGUUCUAGGCAAUUAAAUUCCCCGAGAUCAAUUUUCUUUCCACCCAAAUUUCAUUCUUGCAAUCAAAUAGACCCUUAAUGAAAAAAAUAUAUACAAACAUGUUAAAUAGAAUCUCAUAAUCUUUGAUCCAUUCUAGAAUUACAAAAAUAUUUAGUGGAUUAUGUAUAUCUAUUGAUCAACAACAUGGAUUAUGUUUUAAGAGAGUAUCGUGCGGUACUUGUGUUACGUCAAAUUUAGCUUUUAUAGAUAAAUUAACAAACAAAUUCUGUAAGAGAAAUUGCGUGUUGUUGGACUCAUAACUUUUCUUUUUUUAGUUAUACAUUCUCUAAAAAAUUAUGUUUUACAAAAUUUAUUCUAGAAAAAUUUACAUCAAACAAAUAUUUUGUAAAAAGUUGAAGUUAAUGAAAUAAAUAUAUGCAGAUGUGUUAAAUAUAAUCUCAUAAUCUUUUACCCACUCUAGAAUUACGAAAAUAUUUAGUGAAUUACCUGUAUUUAUUGAUCAACGGCAUGGAACACUUUUUAAAAGAGUACCGUGCUAUAUCCGUGAUAUAUCUAAUUUACCUUCUGUAGAUGAAUUAACAAACAAAUUCGACAAGAGAAGUUGUGUGUUAAUGACUCCUAACUUUUCUUCUUUUGUAAUUAUACAUUCUCUCAAAAAUUACAUUUUACAAAAUACAUUCUAAAAAAUUUACAUCAAACAAACACUUUGUAAAAAGUAGAAGUUAAUAAAAUAAAAUAAAAUACAUACUUGUUAAAGAAUAUCAUAAUCUUUUACCCAUUCUAGAAUUAUGAAAAUAAUUAUUGGAUUAUAGGCAUUUAUUGAUCAACCGCUGGAUCACUUUUUAAGAGAGUACCUUUGUGGAAUCAGUGAUAUGUCUAAUUUACCAGAUGAAUUAAUAAACAAAUUCGGUAAGAGAAAUUGUGUGUUAAUGGACUCCUAACUUUUCUUGUUGAAAUACCCGUGUGAAAACCUUCGAGACGUGUAAUACGUAACUACUGUGAAACUGUUUCAAUUGAUUAUUGACUAGUGUCAAAGUGUUUCAAUUUAUUACGGAUGACAUCUGAGAUCCAAUAAGAAAAAGUCACAUAAAUUAUCAGAUAAUGUUGUUUCUAUUUUACCAAUAUCAAACGUAACUAAAUAAUCGAAACAUCACGAAAAUGCAUUAAAUGAAAGUACAUUAUUACCCUUGCUAGUCCAAGUAACGGCCACAAAAUUAUUAAAAACCACACAUUUUUAGUUUUACACAAGUUUUUUCUUCCCGUCACAUUAAAGACUUUAGUGACCUUGCUUUAAUUGGCUUUCAGGCUCUUUUCCUCCAACUCUCACCACCCUCCUCAUCUUAUAACUCAUACUCAAUCCCGGAUUCUUCAUUGUUGCUUUGAGAGAACGUGGGAUGUAUCUUUUCACAUUCUUGCUCGACAUUUUUCAGGACGUCAAAACUGUUCUCGCCUCUCUUCUUGUCCCAUCCCGAUCCCUAACCGAAUAGUAGUAAAAAUCAUACGAAUCUUAUGUCCAAGCUGCCUUCUUGGCCCAUGGCCUGUGCCGAGAGUCAGGCGCCACCUUAUCUUGUUUCUUCUUUGCUGGAAGAGUUGAAUUAUAGUUUCACAUUUGAGAUAAGUGGAUUAUUUUUUAAGAGAGCAUCGUGCGGUAUCCGUGUUAUGGCUAAUUACCUUCUAUAGAUGAAUUAACAAACAAAUUCAACAACAAAAAAAAAAGUGUAUUAAUGGACUCCAAACCUAUAUUUUUUUUCAAUUGUACUUUCUAUACAAAAUUACAUUUUACGGAAUAGUUUCAAAAAAAUAUACAAAAAAUAAAUCCUUUGUAAAAAGUACAAGUUAAUGAAAAAGAAGAUAUAUAGGGAAGUGUUAAAUAAAAUUUAGUAAUCUUUGAGCCACUCAAGAAUUAUGAAAAUACUUAGUGGGUUACGUGUCUGUGUUUAUCAAUCAUGUGGAUCACUUUUUAAGAGAAUAUGGUGUGGUAUUAGUGUUAUGUCUAAUUUACCUUCUAUAGAUUUGCUCACAAACAAAUUUGGCAAGAGAAAUUGUGUGUCAAUGGACUCCUAACAUUUCUUGUUGAAUUAUCCAUGUGAAGCCUUUGAGAUGUGUAAUAUGUAAUUAAUGUGAAAGCAUUUCAAUUUGAUUAUUGACUAGCAUCAAAGAGUUUCAAUUUAUUACUGACGAUGUCUGAGACUCGAGGUGGGUAAUAUGUAAUAAACAUGAAAGUGCCUUAAUUAAUUGGUGGCCACUCUUGAAAAUUCUUUAUUUUUAACUUUUAGUUUAAUUAAUUGAAUGAGAAAAAGUCACAUAAGUUAUCAGAUAAUGUUGUUUCUAUUUUUACCAAUAUCAAACGUAACUAAAUAUUCGAAACAUCACGAAAAUGCAUUAAACGAAAGUACAAUAUUACCCUUGCUAGUCCAAGUAAUGGCCACAAAAUUAUUAAAAACCACACAUAUUUAGUUUUUACACAAGUUUUUUCUUCCCGUCACAUUAACGACUUUAGUGAACUUGCUUUAAUUGUCUUUCGGGCUCUUUUCCUCCUCCAACUCUCGCCACCCUUCUCAUCUUAUACCUCAUACUCGAUCUCAAAUUCUUCAUUGUUGAUUUGAGAGAACGUGAUGUCUAUCUUUUCACAUUCUUGCUCGACAUUUCUCAGGACGUCAGGAGUAUUCUCGCCUCUCUUGUCCCAUCCCAGUCCAUAACUGAAUAGAAGUAAAAAUUAUACGGAUUUGAUGUCCAAGCUGCCUUCCUAGCCCAUGGCCUGUGCCGAGAGUCUGGCAUUAACUUAUCUUGUUUCUUCUCUGCUGGAAGAGCUGAAUUGUAGUUUUGUAUUAGAGAUAAGCAGAUUAUUUUUUAAGAGAGCAUUGUGCGGUAUCCGUGUUAUGGCUAAUUACCUUCCAUAGAUGAACUAACAAACAAAUUCAACAAGAAAAAUAGUGUGUUAAUGGACUCCAAACCUAUCUUCUUCUUUUUUUAAUUGUACUUUCUAUAAAAAAAUUAAGUUUUACGAAAUUGUUUAAAAAAAAUAUACGUAAAUAAAUCCUUUGUAAAAAGUAUAAGUUAAAGAAAAAAAAAUAUAGAGAUAUGUUAAAUGGAAUCUAGUAAUCUUUGACCCACUCAAGAAUUAAGAAAAUAUUUAGUGGAUUACGUGCAUCUAUUGGUCAAUCGCGUGGAUCACUUUUUAAGAGAAUACCAUGUGGUAUCAGUGUUUUGUCUAAUUUACCUUCUAUAUAUUUGUUCACAAACAAAUUCAGCAAGACUAAUUGUGUGUCAAUGGACUCCUAUCAUUUCUUGUCGAAUUAUCCAUGUGAAGCCUUUGAGAUGUGUGAUAUGUAAUUAAUGUGAAACCAUUUCAAUUGAUUAUUGACUAGCGUCAAAGAGUUUCAAUUUAUUACUAACAACGUUUGAGACUCAAGAUGGGUAAUAUGUAAUAAACAUGAAAGUGCCUUAAUUAAUUGGUGGCAACUCUUGAAAAUUCUUUAUUGUAACUUUUAGUUUAAUUAAUUGAAUAAGAGAAAGUCACAUUAGUUAUUGGAUAUUGGAUUUUCUAUUUUUUUAUCGAUAUCAAAUGUAACUAAAUAUUCAAAACAUCAAGAAAAAACAUUAAACGAAAGUACAAUAUUACCCUUAUUAGUCAAGUGAGGGCCACGAAAUUAUUAAAAACCACACAUUUUUCGUUUUUACACAAGUUUUUCUUCCUGUCACAUUAUAGACUUUAGUGAUAUUGCUUUAAUUGGCUUUCGGGCUCUUUUCCUCCAACUCUUGCCACCCUCCUCAUCUUAUACCUCAUAAUCAAUCUUGGAUUCUUCAUAGUUGAUUUGAGAGAAUAUGGGGUGUAUCUUUUCACAUUCUUGCUCGACAUUUUUUAGGACGUCAAGAUUGUUCUCGCCUCUCUUCUUGGCCCAUCGUGGCCCAUAACUGCAUUGCAAUAAAAAUCAUAUGGAUUUGAUGUCCAAGCUGCCUUCUUGGCCCAUGGCCUGUGCAGAGAGUCAGACGCCACCUUAUCUUGUUUCUUCUUUGUUGGAAGACCCGAAUUGUAGUUUUGCACUCGAGUUAAGUGGAUUAUUUUUUAAGAGAGCAUUGUGCGGUAUCCGUGUUAUGACUAAUUACCUUCUAUAGAUGAAUUAACCAACAAUUUUGACAAGAAAAAUAGUAUGUUAAUGGACUCCAAAUCUUUCUUAUUUAAAAAAAAAAAAUUUACUUGCUCUAAACAAUUAUGUUUUAUGAAGUUGUUUCGAAAAAAUAUACAUAAAAUAAAUCCAUUGUAAAAAGUAUAAGGUAAUGAAAAAAAUAUACAUGGGGAUGUGUUAAACGGAAACAAUUAAGUUUUGAACCACUCUAGUAUUAUGAAAAUAUUUACUAGAUGACGUGCAUGUAUUGAUCAAUCGCGUAAUCACUUUUUAAGAGAAUACUGUGUGGUAUCCGUGUUAUAUCUAAUAUACCUUCUAUAGAUUUGUUAACAUAUAAAUUUAGCAAGAGAAAUUGUGUGUCAAUGUAAUCCUAAUGUUUCUUGUCGAAUUAUCCAUGUGGGACCUUUGAGAUGGGUAAUAUGUAAUUAAUGUGAAAUCGUUUCAAUUGAUUGUUGACGCGUCAAAGCAUUUUGAUUUAUUAGUGACGAGAUCUGUGGACCAUGAUGGGUAAUAUCUAAUAAACAUGGAAGUGCCUUAAUUAAGUGGUGGCGACUCUUAAAAAUCUUGUUAUUCAUACUUUGAGUUUAAUUAAUUAAAUAAGAGAAAGUCAUAUUAGUUAUCGGAUAAUGGAGUUUCUAUUUUUUUUUUAUCAAUAUCAAAUGUAACUAAAAUUUCGAAACAUGAAGAAAAUGCAUUAAAUUAAAGUACAAUAUUACCCUUACUAGUCAAAUUAAGGGCCACAAAAUUAUUAAAGACCACACAUUUUCAGUUUUUACUCAAGUUUUUCUUCCCGUCACAUAAAGACCACACUUUUCUUCCAACUCUCGCUACUCUCUUCAUCUUCUACCUUAUACUUCAUCUCGGAUUCUUCAUUGUUGAUUUGAGAGAAUGUGGAAUGUAUCAUUUGACGUUCUUGCUCGAUAUUUUUAGGGAUGUCAAGACUGUUCUUACCUCUCUUCUUGCCCCAUCGUGGUCCAAAACCCAAAUACUAGUAAAAUUCAUAAGGAUUUGAAGAGCCAAGAUGUAGUUUCAUACUUGAGAUAAGUGGAUUAUUUUUUAAGAGAGUACCGUGCGGUAUUUGGGUUGUUUCUGCAGAUGAAUUAACAAACAAAUUCGACAAGAGAAAUUGUGUGUUAGUAGACUCCUGCUUUGUUUAAUUAUAAUUUCUCUAAAAAAAAUUACAUUUUACGAAGUUGAUUCUAAAAAAAAUAUGCAUUGUAAAAAGUAGAAGUCAAUGAAAAAAACAUAGACAGACUUGUUAAAUAGAAUAUUGUAAUCUUGGAUCCAGUCUAGAAUUACAAAAACAUUUAGUGGAUCACGUAUAUCGAUUGAUCAAUGGCGUGGAUCAUGUUGAAAGAGAGUACCGUGCCCGUAUUACGUCCAAUUUACCUUAUAUAGAUAAAUUAACAAACAAAUUCUGCAAUAGAAAUUAUGCAUUACUGGACUAGUAACUUUUUUUUUUCCUUUUUUUCUUUUUUUUUUGAGUUAUACAUUCUCUAAAAAUUAUGCUUUACAACAUUUAUUCUAAAAAAAUUUACAUCAAACAAAUAUUUUAUAAAAAGUUGAAGUUAAUGAAAUAAAUUUAUGCAUAUGUGUUAAAUAUAAUCUCAUAAUCUUCGACCUACUCUAAAAUUACGAAAAUAUUUAGUGAAUUACGUGUAUUUAUUGAUCAAUGGCAUGGAUUCUUUUUAAGAGAGUAUCGUGCGGUAUCCGUGUUAUGGCUAAUUACCUUCUGUAGAUGAAUUAAAAGAAAAAAAUUGACAAGAAAAAUAGUGUGUUAAUGGACUCCUAACCAUUUUUUUAUUUGUACAUUCUCUAAAAAAAAAAAAAAAAAAAAAAUUCAUUUUACGAAAUUGUUUCAAAACAUAUACAUAAAAUAAAUCCUUUGUAAAAAGUAUAAGUUAAUGAAAACAAAUAUAUAGGGAUGUGUUAAAUGGAGGGAUCACUUUUUAAGAGAACCGUGUGGUAUCAAUGUUAUGUCUAAUUUACCUUCUAUAGAUUUGUUAACAAAUAAAUUCCUCAAGAGAAAUUGUGUGUCAAUGCACUCCUAACGUUUCUUGUGAAUUAUCCAUGUGAAACCUUUGAGAUGGGCAAUAUGUAAUUAAUGUGAAACCGUUUCAAUUGAUUAUUGACUAGCGUCAAAGAGUUUCAAUUUAUUACUGAAAAAAUCCGUGACCCAAGAUGGGUAAUAUAUAAUAAACAUGAAAGUGCCUUAAUUAAUGGUGGAAACUCUUAAAAAUUGCUUUAUUGUAACCUUUUAGUUUAAUUAAUUAAAUAAGAAAAUGUCACAUUAGUCAUCGGAUAAUAGAGUUUCUAUUUUUUUAUAAAUAUCAAAUGUAACUAAAUAUUCAAAACAUGAAGAAAAUGCAUUAAAGAAAAGUACGAUAUUACCCUUAUUAGUCAAAGUAAGGGCAACAAAAUUAUUAAAAACCACACAUUUUUAGUUUUUACACAAGUUUUUCUUCCCGUUACAUUACAGACUUUAGAGACCUUACUUAAUUGGCUUUCGGGCUCUUUUCCUCCCACUCUCUCUACCCUUCUCAUCUUCUACCUCAUACUCGAUCUUUGAUUCUUUGUUGUUAAUUUGACAGAAUGUGGGAAGUGUCAUUUCACUUUCUUGCGCAAUAUUUUUAGGGAUGUUAAGACUAUUCUUGCCUCUCUUCUUGCCCCAUCGCGGUCCAAAACCCCAACUACUAGUAAAAUUCAUAAAAAAAUUGAUGUCCAAGCUGCCUUCUUAGCCUGUGGCCCGUCCUGAUAGUUAGCCAUUACCUUGUCUUGUUUCUUCUUUGGUGGAAGUGCUGAGUUGUAGUUUUGCACUAGAGGUAAGUGGAUCAUUUUUUAAAUGGAGUACCAUUUAGUAUCCUUGUUAUGUCUAAUUUACCUUCUACUGAUGAAUUAACAAACAAAUUUGACAAGAGAAAUUGUGUUAAUAGACUUAAAAAAAAAAUUAAUUGUACAUUCUCUAAAAAAUUACACUCAACGAAACUGAUGCUAAAAAAUAUACAUUGUAAAAAGUAGAAGUUAAUGAAAAAAAUUUACACAGACUUGUUAAAUAGAAUCACGUAAUCUUUGAUCAAGUAUAGAAUUACAAAAAUAUUUAGUGGAUUAUUGAUCAAUGGCAUGGAUCAUGUUUUAAGAGUGUACCAGCUGAAACCCGUGUUACGUCAAAUUUACCAUCUAUAGAUAAAUUAACGAACAAAUUCUGCAAGAGAAAUUGUGUGUUAUUGGACUCGUAACUUUUUUUUUCAGUUAUAUAUUCUCUAAAAAAUUAUGUUUUACAAAAAUUAAUCUAAAAAAAUUUACAUCAAACAGAUAUUUUGUAAAAGUUGAAGUUAAUAAAAUAAAUAUGUGUAGAUGUGUUAAAUAUAAUCUCGUAAUCUUUGACCCACUCUGGAAUUACAAAAAUAUUUUGUGAAUUAUGUGUAUUUAUUGAUCAACGGCGUGGAUCACAUUUAGAAGAGUAUCGUAUGAUAUCCGUGUUUUGUCUAAUUUACCUUUUGUAGGUGAAUUAACAAACGAAUUCAGCAAAAGAAAUUGUGUACUAAUGGAUUCCGGACUUAUUUUGUUUUGUAAUUAUACAUUCUCUAAAAAAUUAUAUUUAAGAAAUAGAUUCUAAAAAAAUUUACAUAAAAAAAAAACACUUUCUACAAAGUAGAAGUUGAUAAUAUAUAUCAUAAUCUAUGACCCACUCUAGAAUUAUGAAAAUAUUUAGUGGAUUACAUGUAUUUAUUGAUCAACUGUGUGGAUCACUAUUAAAGAGAGUACCUUGCGAAAUCUGUGUUAUUUCAAAUUUACCUUCUAUAGAUGAAUUAACAAACAAAUUCAGCAAGAGAAAUUGUGUGUUAAUGGACUCCUAAGUUGUCGAAAUACCCAUGUGAAAACCUUCGAGAUGGUAAUACGUAACGAAUAUGUAACUGUUUCAAUUGAUUAUUGACUAGUUUCAAAGCAUUUCAAUUUAUUACUGAGGAAAUAUGUGACCCAAGAUGGGUAAUAUGUAACAAACACAAAAAUGCCUUCAUUAAUUUAUGGCAACUCUUAAAAAUUGUUUUAUUGUAACUUUUAGUUUAAUUAAUAAAAUAAGAAAAAGUCACAUAAGUUAUCAGAUAAUGUUGUUUCUAUUGUUUAUCAAUAUCAAAUGUAACUAAAUAUGCAAAACAUCAAGAAAAUGCAUUAAACGGAAGUACAAUAUUACCCCUGCUAGUCCAAGCAAGGGCCACAAAAUUAUUAAAAACCACAUAUUUAUAGUUUUUACACAUGUUUUUCUUCUCAUCUUCUACCUCAUACUCGAUCUUGGAUUCUUCAUUGUUGAUUUGAGAGAAUGUGGGGUGUAUCAAUUCACAUUUUUGCUUGACAUUUUUAGGGACGUCAAGAUUGUUAUUGCCUCUUUUCAUGUCCCAUCGUGGUCCAAAACCCGAAUAGUAGUAAAAAUCAUACGGAUUUGAUGCCCAAGAUGCCUUCUUAUCCCAUGGCCUGCAUUGAGAGUUAGCCGCAACCUUAUCUUGUUUCUUCUUUGCUGGAAGAGCUAAAUUAUAGUUUUGCACUUGAGGUAAGCGGAUUAUUUUUUAAGAGAGAAUCGUGCAAUAUCUGUGUUAUGGCUAAUUACAUGCUAUAGAUGAAUUAACAAACAAAUUCGACAAGAAAAAUCAUGUGUUAAUGAAUUCCUAACCUUUCUUCUUUUUUUAAUUGUACUUUCUCUAAAAAAUUACGUUUUACUAAAUUUUUUCAAGAAAAUAUACGUAAAUCAAAUCCUUUGUAAAAAGUAUAAGUUAAUUGAAAAAAAUAUAGGGAUGUGUUAAAUGGAAUAUAGUAAUCUUUGACUGACUCAAGAAUUAUGAAAAUAUUUAGUGGAUUACGUGUAUCUUUGAUCAAUUGCGUGGAUCACUUUUCAGGAGAAUACCGUGUGGUAUCCAUGUUAUGUCUAAUUUUCCUUCUAUUGAUUUGUUAAUUAACAAAUCCGGCAAGAGAUAUUGUUUGUCAAUGGACUCUUAACGUUUCUUAUUGAAUUGUCCAUGUGAAACCUUUGAGAUGGAUAAUAUGUAAUUAAUGUGAAACCGUUUCAAUUGAUUAUUGACUAGCAUCAAAGAGUUUCAAUUUACUAUUGACGACAACUGUGGCCUAAGACCCUUACUAGUCAAAGUAAGGGCAACAAAAUUAUUAUAAACCACACAUCUUUAGUUUACACACAUGUUUUUCUUCAUGUCACAUUAGAUACUUUAGUGACCUUACCUUAAUUGGCUUUCAGGCUCUUUUCCUCCAACUCUCGCCAACCUCCUCAUCUUCUACCUCAUACUCGAUCUCGAAUUCUUCAUUGUUGAUCUGAGAAAAUGUGGGGUGUAUCAUUUCACAUUCUUGCUUGAGAUUUUUAGGGGCGUCAAUAUUGUUUCGCCUCUCUUCAUGUCCCAUCAUGUUCCAAACCCAAAUAGUAUAAAAAUCAUACGGAUUUGACGUCCACACUGCCUUCUUGUCCAAUGGCUUGUGCUGAGAAUCAAUCGUAACCUUAUCUUGUUUCGUCUUUGCUGGAAGAGCCGAAUUGUAGUUUUGCACUUUAGAUAAGUGGAUUAUUUUUUAAGAGAGAAUCGUGCGAUAUCCGUGCUAUGGCUAAUCAUCUUCUAUAGAUGAAUUAACAAACAAAUUCAACAAGAAAAAUAGUGUGUUAAUGGACUCCUAACCUUUCUUCUUCUUUUUUUAAUUGUAAUUUCUCUAAAAAAUUAUGUUUUGCUAAAUUGUUUCGAGAAAAUAUGCAUAAAAUGGAUCCUUUGUAAGAAGUAUAAGUUAAUAAAAAAAAAAAAAAAAUAUAUAUAUAUAUAUAGUAACCUUUGACCUACUCAAAAAUUAUUAAAUAUUUAGGGGAUUGAGCGUAUCAUUGAUCAAUCGCGUGGAUCAAUUUUUAAGAGAAUACCAUGUGGUAUCCAUGUUGUGUCUGAUUUACCUUCUAUACAUUUGUUAACAAACAAAUUUGGCAAAAGAAAUUGUGUGUCAAUGGACUCCUAACAUUUCUUGUCAAAUUAUCCAUGUGAAACCUUUGAGAUGGUAAUAUAUAAUUGAUAUGAAACUGUUUCAAUUGAUUAUUGACUAGCGUCAAAGAGUUUCAAUUUAUUACUGAGACAAUUGUGACCCAAGACCCUUCCUAGUCAAAGGGCCACAAAAUUGUUAUAAACCACACAUUUUUAGUUUUUACAUAUGUUUUUCUUCCCUUCACAUUAGAGACUUUAGUGACCUUACUUUAAUUGGCUUUGUGCUCUUUUCCUCCAACUCUCGCCACCCUCCUCAUGUUAUACCUCAUACUUAAUCUCGGAUUCUUCAUUUUUGGUUUGAGAGAAUGUGGGGUGUAUCAUUUCACAUUCUUGCUCGACAUUUUUAGGGAUGUCAAGACUGCUCUUGCCUUCGUUCUUAUUUGUCGCGGUCCAAAACCCGAAUACUAGUAAAAAAUCAUAUGGAUUUUGAAAAUUCACAGGGAACGCUCUAAUAACGCUUGAAAAAUCACCUAAUGCGUUGCAACAUCAAAUUCAAAAUUUAAGCUUACCAAGUUUACGUUCCAAUUAACAAUUAUUCGACCUUACUGCGAAAUUACUAAUAUAAGCAACAAGUCACUUAUUAUUAGUCGUCUAGGUGGUUAAACAAUCAAGUUCAAUUAAUUCCUAAGGUUGAAUUGCCGAUUUGUAAUGCAUAAAGUAAAUAAAACAAUAAAAAUAUAACUUACGAUAUGAUGAUGGAGAAAUCCUAACGUGGAUAAAACUCCGGAACCAAGCCAGUGACUUCCACUAUUCCAAUUCAGCAAGUGCAAGUUCCCAAAUUCCGUACCCAAUCAGAUCCGCUGUUCUAAUCUCACGAUCUACUGCCGUAGAUGCAACUAGCCUCUUACUAGAUUUCCCGAUCUACCUUCUGCAGCCCAAUCUGCUGUCUACUACAGCCUCCUGGUUCUUAGCUGAUUGUAUCACCAAGUGAAAUUUCAAGAACCGUCUGUUCUUGUCCAAUUCACUGCGCUUGUCGUUCACCUCUCUCAAUCCCCAAUGAGAGAGUCCCUUCCUUACAAAAUUAAGGAAGCACCGGUGUUUUGUCUUCAAGACCUUUGAUUUUUUCUACUGAAACAAUGGUUGUCGGAUCACAAGAGUGAUAUAGAUGGAACCAUCAAUUAAUUUAGCCUUGGAUCACUUCGAUAAUAAAAUGGAUGUUAUGAAGAUGAAAGCUCAAUGUUGCAACCACGGCCGCCGACUUUAUUUAUUUAAGAGUUCAAUUCCAGCUUCCUUAAAUUUAGUCGCAAAUUUGCCCAACUUGUGUGAGAACAAGAUUCAAUUCCCAGAUUUUUUAACUCUCUAGAUCACAAGAUGCUAGCACCAAAGUAUGUAUAUAAACAAUAUAAUUCAGCCCCCAGUCGGCAGUCCACUUGUCCUUCAAUUCUCUCAAAAUUGUUGCCAAUAAUGUUAUGUUUGUAUAUAUAUAAAUUCAACAGCUCGUCAGCCCUUCAAUUCUGUAAUUUAACCCCCCCAAUAUGUGUAUAUAUAUCUUAGAAUUCAGCAAAUGCAGCCUCCAAAAUUAGUCGUUUAUAUUUGUAUGUUUUGCUCCAGUUUCCUCUUCUUUCGGCCCAAAAAGAUAGCCUCCAUUUUGGUACGAAUAUAUAUGUUGAAAUUCAGUAGCUUGCCUCAAUUCUUGACCAUUCAAAGUAGCUCCAAGUGCUAUAUAUUGUGUUUGCAAAUUAUUCCGAAGGCCGCCUCAAAUUCCUUGUUCCUAAUUUUGUCUCCUCAAUAGCAACCGCCCAAUUUGAUUCACAAAAUUGUCUUUGCAUGCAUGUGAAUAUAGACAAUUAAAUUCAGUAGCUUGCCAGCCCUUUUCUGCCUCAAUUUUCGUGUAUAUUUAUGGCACAAUUUCAGUACCACCACUUUUUUUAAUUCCUCCAAAGAGCAGCCAGCUGUUCUUAAUUCUUCCAAGCUGCUGUCGGUGUAUGUAUGUGUGUGUGUGUGUGUGUAUUGGCUGCUCUCCCUUUUCAGUUCACCUGCAUGUCUAUAUAAAUAGACUUUGACUUAUGGGCCAUAAUUUUCCAAGCUCAAACCCUAGCCCAACUCAAGUUGCACUUCAUGCCUUGACUUUUAGACAUGUUUAAUUAAGUCCUAUUUUGUUCAUAGAAUGCUAAUUACAAUUAAAAACCAAACAAUCUCCCUCUUUGGCAUUCUGUGACAAUUAUACAAAUUCAAGUCAAGGGAUUACAAUCAAUUAAAACAACCUAAACUACCCAAAAUUCGAAUCACCGAGUCUUGCAUUCCUUGUUGUACCUAUUUCCUGAAAUCUAAAAACUCACAUACCCAGUGUACAAGAACGUGAUAUAGAAAAUAUAAAAACUAAAGCACUUAAUCACAAUUCAACAUGCUAGUUUGAGACGUGACAUUGAUACUAAUCAAAAUACCAACCGAAACACCAAUAUUACUAAACAUCAAAACUCAACAGCAAUGGAUAUGAUAUGGAAUGCAAUGCAAUGCAACGCUCUCCCUUAUUGCAAACUCUCAUAAAUGUUAUGCAGUAAAUCAAUGUAUCUAUGUCUUCUCCUCAGUUAUACUUUUCUCUCCCCUUUUUGUCACAAAUGCUGAAAGGUAUUGUGUCAAGUACAAUCUGAGCAAUAACACAUAAUAACUGAAAAACGUAGAUGAUAGCAUACAAAAGUCAAAUCAAUAAGUUAUAGACCUCCCCACAUACUCAUUUUAGAUCAGAAUGGAGUAAAAAGUGUACAAAUCCAAUGCAAGCAGGACUCCAAACCUUAAAUUUGUGAGAAAAGCCAUGCUAAUCAUUGCCAAUAAGUGUAUUCUCCUACUAAUGAAAGUCUAACCAUGUAACGUGUAGUAGGAUCUAUACUUAAUUAAUUUUUACUUAUCUCCCUCUACUAUGAGCUUUUAUAUUUUUCAGAUUUUCAUAUUAUUCCAGCUCUUCAUAUUUUUCUCAUUUUUCUAGCUCAUUAAUUUUUCAUCUUAAGUGCAGGUUCUUCUCCAUUAGGCAACUAAGAUGACCCUGUACCGAGUUUUAGGCCGGUUAACCCAAGUCAGUUGACCAUAGGCACCAGGUUUUAAGUGACCCCGCAGGCUUAAUUGCUCGAAUCAAAUAGGCCCAAUUGCUCGAAUCAAAUAGGCCCCGAAGAAAAACAUAAAAAUAUGAGCUUUCAUAUAAUGCGGGAAUUAUUUUUGGGUUUAGGUCUACUAAAUAUAGGUUAAUUGAUGUCCAAAGUCACCCUAUUAAUAUGUGACAGCCAUCCCAAAUCUCACACACACAGUAGAGUCCCACUAACAAAUUCAUAGUAAGUGCAGUACAGGUGGUACAUGAAGACACCUAUACUAAGUACUUCAUGAUGAUCUAAUCAAGCAAUGGAAAUAAUGCUACAACUUAUCCAUUUUAGCUCAUACACUGUCACAACAUACAAGUUCAGAAUUAUAUAUCAUGCUGUAGAAAUUUCCAUUUUUUUUAAUUUUUGUUUUGAAUAUUUUUUAACAUGAAUGCGCCACACAGUUGUGUCACUUGAAUUUUUUUUUUUUAAUUUUAUAUGAUGAGACUAAAAACAUAUGAAAAAGACAAAUGUAAACAAAAUAAACAUGCAAUGAAAUGAAUGCAAAAAGGAACAUUCAGGUGAGCUGAACAUGAAUGUUCCUAUAAAACUAGUCAAGGAGGUACAUAAAUACCAACAGCCUUCCUAAGUAACUCAAACCUCAUACCAUCUAAAGAUUUAGUGAAAAAAUCUACAAGCUGAUUUUCUGUAGCAAUGUGUUUAAGGGAUACCACAUUGGACUCAACAAGUUCACGAAUGAAGUGAUGACGAAUAUCAAUAUGUUUAGUCCUAGAGUGUUGAACAUGAUUUUUGGAGACGUUGAUAGCGUUGGUGUUAUCACAAAACACGGUCAUGGUGCCCUAAUUUAUCCUAUAAUCACUCCACAUUUGCUUUAUUCAAAGCAAUUGAGUGUAGCAGUUACCAGCUGCAAUGUAUUCUGCCUCGGCUGUAGACAGAGAAACUGAGUUUUGUUUCUUACUCAUCCGUGACACAAGAUUAGAACCAACAUAGAAGCAUCCACCCGAGGUACUCUUCCUAUUAUCGGCAUUUCCAGCCAAAUCAGCAUCAGAAUAGACUACGAGUUCAAGAUUUGACUCUCUGGAAUAUAAAAUCCCAUGAUUUACAGUCCCUUUUACAUACUUAAUGAUACCUCUCACUGCACUCAAAUGGGAUUCCUUAGGAUCUACCUGAAAUCUCGCACAUGCUCCAACACUGAAAGCUAUGUCAAGUCUACUGGCUGUAAGGUAGAGUAAGCUACCUAUCAUACUCCUAUACAAUGUCUGAUCAAUACUUCUGCUCAUAGGAUCAUGACCUAACUUAGCACUCGUGCUCAUAGGUGUCCUUGUGUGUUUUUACUGUCAGUCCAAAUCACUUAACUAGGUCUUUGCCAUACUUUGAUUGAGAGAUAAACAACCCAUAGUCAGUUUGCUUUAGUUGAAGGCCAAAGAAGUAACUUAGCUAUCCAACCAUGCUUAUUUCAAAUUCUUGUUUCAUACAUUCAACAAAUUCAUAAGCAAGAGAGUCAAUGGAAAAGCCAAACACAAUAUCAUCGACAUAGAUCUAUGCUAUAGUUAUGGUUUCUUCAAUAUGUCUAAUGAAUAGAGUUCUAUCUACACCACCUCGUGAAAAACCAUGGUCAAUGAGAUAUAAAGUGAGUGUAUCAUACCAAGCUAUAGGAGCUUGUUUCAGACCAUACAAGGCUUUAUUCAAUUUGUAGACAUAAUGGGGAAACUUAGAAUCGAUGAAUCCUUUGGGCUGUUCAACAUAUGCCUUUCCUUGAAGUAUUUCAUUCAAGAAGGCACUCUUGAUAUCCAUUUGAUACAGUUUGAACCCUAAAGAAUGAUGUGAAUGGACUCAAGACGUGCAACAGGGGCAAAUUUCUCAUCAAAAUCUACCCUUUCAUCCUGAGUAUACCCAUAAGCAACUAGCCUAGCCUUAUUUCUCAUUAUGGUACCCUAGUCAUCGAUUUUGUUCUUGAAAAUCCACUUAGUAUCUAUCAAAUUGCAAUCUUCAGGUCUAGGCACUAGAUACCAAACAUUGUUUCGAACAAAUUGAUUAAGCUCCUCAUGCAUUGCAUUCACCCAAAAUUCAUCUCUAAGAGCUUCCUCAACUUUCUUAGGCUCAAUCUGGGAUACAUAGCUUGUAUAGGUUAGGUUAUUCAGAACUCUCUUUCUUUACCUCAUACCUUCAUCUAGAUCCCCAAUGAUGUUGACCUUAGGAUGGUUAGAUUUGACCCUGGAUGAUGGUUCUCUAGGAAACUUAGUUUGUUUACUAGGUGAAGGAUCCUUAAUAGAAAUGUCUAUGCCGUUGGGGGACCGUGGAGAUUUUGGAAUUGAUUGUUCUUUAUCCUCAGUUGUGGGUCCUUGAUCAUCACUUAGAUAAGCUAAAUCUACCACAUUUUCAACACUCUCACCCUUAGAGAAAGCAUCAUCAUCAACAACAUUUAUAGACUCCAUGACACUCUGAGUACGCAAGUUGUAUACUCGAUAGGCUAUACUGUUCCUAGAAUAUCCUAGAAAAACCCCUUCAUCACUUUUGUAAUCAAACUUACCUAAGUUUUCUCUAUCCCUCAUAAUGAAACACUUGUUGCCAAACACAUGAAAGUAUUUAACAGUAGGCUUCUUACCCUUCUAGAUCUCAUAAGGAGUCCUAUCAGUUUUUAGUCUCAGGUAUACUCUGUUCACUAUGUGGCAAGCAGUGUUAAUAGCUUCACACCAGAAAUGGAUUGCUAGAUCCUUGUCGUGAAGCAUGGCUCUAGCCAUUUCCUGAAGCACUCUAUUUUUCCUCUUGACAACCCUAUUUUAUUGUGGACUGAUUGGUGAGGAGAACGCAUGCUAAAUCCCCUCUUCCAAACAUAAGUUUUCAAGAUUAGAGUUUUCAAACUCUUUUCCAUGAUCACUUUAAACCCUAGAAAUGGAAAGAUUUUGUUCAAUUCUGAGUCUUUUACACAAGGAUUUAACCAGAUCACAAGUCUCAGAUUUUUCUCUUUGUAGCUCAAUCCAGGUGUAUCUAGAAAAGUCGUCUACCACAACAAGAAUAUAACGUUUACCUCAUAGGCUCUCAAUCCUAGAAGGUCCCAUUAAAUCCAUAUGGAGAAGUUCUAAGGGUCUGUUUGUCAAGAUUUUGGAUGUUUGUUUAUGGUUUAUCCUAAAUUGUUUUCCUUGUUGACACGGCUUGUACACAGCAUUUUCAUUUUGUUCAAUUUUAGGUAAACCAUCAACAAUUUUCUUUUUGACCAAUUUUGACAUGUUUUUAUAGUUAAUAUGGCCGAAUUUUUGAUGCCAAAGUUCAGUCAUAUUAAUUUUAGCACUACUGCACACAUAGUUAGAGUUUGGGAAAACUCCAUAACAGUUAUCAGACGUUCUAACACCUUCAAGGACAACACGACCUGAAAAGUCAUAAAUAGCACAUCUCUUUUGAACAAAACUCACUUCAUAGUCAGCAUCACAAAUUUGACUAAUGCUCAAUAGAUUGGACUUAAGACCCUCUACAUAAAGCACAUUAGAUAUAGUAGGAAGUCCAGAUAUGUUGAUGGUGCCUUUAUCAUGGAUAGGUGUCGUAGCUCUGUCUCCAAAGUUAACUACACCAAUGUUGUAGUCAUCAACGGUCAAAAAUAAGGCCUUAUUACCACAUACGUGUCUAGAACAAGCACUAUCAAGAUACUACAUAUAUGUAUUUUGAGCCUUCUAUGCAACAUGAGCUACAAAACAAUUUAAAUUCUCAUAAUACCUACCCACAUCAGAUUUCUUGGCCCAAACUUUUCUAGAGGUUGAGGUGAUCCUAGUCAAUUUUAUCACCAUCUCAGUUUAAGUGACUAACCUGAUUUGAAAGGAAGUUUACUUGACUAGGGAUAUCCUGACUUCUAUUCCUAUUUGCUAGCUUAUGACACCUAGGUCUCGUGUGUCCUAAAGCACCACAAUGAUGACAAUUGGGUUUGAACCUAGGCUCAAAUGCAUGUGAUUUGUUGGUGCUGAAAUUUUGGUGUGGAAAUCUUACGGGCUCUAGUGAUGUUCAGUUCAGUGACACUCUUAUUUUUGGAUUCACGAUUGAUUGAAAUACUAGAAUUGUUGGAAGCAGGCAUGAAUGUGGUCUUGGAUGAACUACUCACAUUGCUAUCACUCUUUUCAAAUCCUAGACCUUGCCUAUUUCCAGCUGGUUUGUUCAUUCCUAACAGGUCGUCUAGUUUCUUAGUCCUACUCAUAAAAGACUAUAGUUGAGUAAUAGAUUUCUCUAACUCACAAGUUAGUGUCUUAACCUUGUUCUCUAACUUCUCAUUGACACACUUCAACUUACUAUGGUUUUUAGAUGAGACCUGAAGAUCACUAGUGAGUCUCUUUUUCUAUCUCUUUAGCUCGUCUACCUUUUAAAAUAGGGCCUUAUUUACAUUUUUUAAUCUUGAGGCUCUCCUUAAACAGAAGUUGAUAAGCCUCAUGUAUAUCCAUCUCAUCCUCAAUAUCGUCAUUAAACUUCUCACUCUCUACAUCCUCCUCAACCUUCUCGCUGUCCUUAUCUGACUCACUCUUAACUGUAGACACAAAAGCUAUAUACCCCUUUUCAUCUUCACUGUUAGAGGAAUCACUUUAAUCACUUGAGCUUGAAUCAUCACCAGUCAAUGACAAAGCUAAUGGCUUACUCCUUCCUUUCUUCAGAUUUUUCUUAAAGCUAGGACAUUCAUUCCUAUAGUGCCCAAAUCCUUGACACUCAUGGCACCUAACAACUUGAGAUUUCUUACUAAAAUUCCUAGCAGUUGGUUUAUCACUUCUCUUUUUGAAAUUUACUGGGGGCUUCUCUCUUUUUGUCUUGGGGCCAUCUCUUGCCCUUUAAAGCUUUCUGGAACUUCUUUACGAAAUAAGCUAUUUCCUCAUCUCUAAGGGUUUCUAUAUCAGAUGACUCAGACUCUUCUUCUCUAACCCUGUUUAGCGCAAUGGACUUGUUUUUCUUAGGUUGUGAGAUGGUGAGUUCAUAGGUUUGAAGGGAUCCUACAAGUUCUUCUAUCUUAACUGUGUCCAGAUCCUUACUCUCUUCAAUAGCUGUAACUUUAGGUCUAAAUCUCUCGGGCAAAGACCUAAGAAUCUUUCUCACAAUUUUUUACUCGAGAAUCUUUUCACCUAGGUUGAAACUAGAGUUUACGAUGUCAUUUAAUUUUGCAUAAAACUCAUCAAACGAUUCAUCAUCCUUCAUCCUGAUUUCUUCAAACCUAGAGGUUAGCAUUUGCAAUUUUCAAUUUUUUACGAUUUUAGUUCCCUCAUGCGUAGUCUCUAGAAUGUCCCAUACCUCUUUAGCAGUUUCACACAUUGACACUCUCCUAAAUUCUUCGGGAGACACGGCCAUAAACAAGGCAUGAAGUCCUUUGCUAUUCCAAUUGCAAUCAGCUAAUUCUUCCUUAGUCUAAAGUAAAGUAUCAGUUAGAUUGACAACAUUUGACACAGUUGUAGAAGGAGGUUUCCAACCAUUUUAUACACUCACCCAAACAUGUUCAUCUAAAGAUUUAAGAAAAGCACGCAUCCUACCUUCCAGUAGGCAUAGUUGCUUCCGUCAAAAUACGGAGGCACAGAUAGUGAUCGACUCAUCUAGACAACAAUGGGUUAGGACUCGAGUUUUGGCUCUGAUACCACUUGAAAAUUCAUGGGGAACGCUCUAGUAGCGCUUAAAAAGUCACCUAACGCGUUGCAACGUCAAAUUCAAAUUUUAAGCUUACCAAGUUUACCUUCCAAUUAACAAUUAUUCGACCUUACUGUGGAAGUACUAAUAUAAGCAACAAGUCACUUAUUAUUAGUCGUCUAGGUGGUUAAACAGUUCAAUUAAUUCCUAAGGUUGAACUGUCGAUUUGUAAUGCACAAAGUAAAUAAAACAGUAAAAACACAACUCACGAUAUGAUGACGGAGAAAUCCUAACGUGGAUAAAACUCCGGGACCAAGCCAGUGACUUCCACUAUUCCAAUUCAACAAGUACAAGUUCUUAAACUCCGUACCCAAUUAGGCCCGCUGUUCUAGUCUCACGAUCUAUGUCGUAGAUGCAACUAGCCUCCUGCUAGAUUUCCUGAUCUACCUCCUGCAACCCAAUCUGCUGUCCACUACGACCUCCUAGUUCUCAGCUGAUUGUAUCACCAAGUGAAAUUUCAAGAACCGCCUGUUCUUGUCCAAUUCACUACGCUUGUGGUCCACUUCUCUCAAUCCCCAAUGAGAAAAUCCCAUCCUUACAAGAUUAAGGAAGCACCGGUGUUUUGUCUUCAAGACCUUUGAUGUUUUCCACCGAAACAAUGGUUGCUAAAUCACAAGAGUGAUAUAGAAGGAACUAUCAAUUAAUUUCAUCUUGGAUCACUUCGAUAAUAAAAUGGAUGUUAUGAAGAUGAAAGCUCAAUUUUGCAACCAUGGCCGCCGACUUUAUUGAUUGAAGAGUUCAAUUCCAGCUUCCUUAAAUUCAGCCACAAAUCUGCCCGAACUUGUGUGAGAACAAGAUUCAAUUCCCAGCUUUUUAACUCUCUAGAUCACAAGAUGCUAGCACCAAAGUAUGUAUAUAAACAAUAUAAUUCAGCCCCCAGCCGGCAGUCCACUUUUCCCUCAAUUCUCUCAAAAUUGUCACCAAUAAUGUUGUGUGUGUAUAUAUAUAAAUUCAGUAGCUCGUCAGCCCUUCAAUUCUCUAAUUUAAGCUGCCAAUAUAUAUCUUACGAUUCGGCAAAUGCAGCCUCCAAAAUCAGCCGUUUAUAUUUGUAUAUUUUGCUCUAGUUUCCUCUUCUUUUGGCCCAAAAAGACAGCCUCCAUUUAGGUGCGAUUCAAAGUAGCUCCAAGUGCUAUCUAUUAUGUUUGCAAAUUAUUCCCAAGGCUGCCUCAAAUUCCUUGUUCCCAGUUUUGUCUCCUCAACAGCAACCGCCCAAUUUGAUUCACAAAAUUGUCUUUGCAUGCAUGUGAAUAUAGACAAUUAAAUUCAGCAGCUUGCCAGCCCUUUUCUGCCUCAAUUUUCGUGUCUAUUUAUGGCACAAUUUCAGCACCACCACUUUUUUUAAUUCCUCCAAAGUAGCUGCCUUUUUGUGAUAGUAUACGUGUAUAUAUCUUAGCAGCCGACCGUUCUUAAUUCUUCCAAGCUGCCGUCGACGUAUAUAUGUAUAUAUUUUGGCUGCUCUACCUUUUCAGUUCAUCUGCGUGUCUAUAUAAAUAGACUUUGACUUAUGGACCAUAAUUUUUCAUGCUCAAACGCUAGCCCAACUCAAGUAUACAAUAUUGCACUUCACGCCUCGACUUUUAGACAUGUUUAAUUAAGUCCUAUUUUGUUCAUAGAAUGCCAAUUACAAUUAAAAACCUAACAGAUUAGAUGUCCAAGCUGCCUCCUUUGCCCAUGGCCUGUGCUGAGAGUCAAUCUCCAUGUUAUCUUGUUUUUUCUUUGUUGGAAGAGCUGAAUUGUGGUUUCGCACUUGAGAUAAGUGGAUUAUUUUUUAAGAGAGUAUCAUGUAGUAUCUGUGUUAUCGCUAAUCACCUUCUAUAGAUGAAUUAACAAACAAUUUCAACAGGAAAAAUAGUGUGUUAUACCUUCUAUAGAUAUGUUAACAUACAAAUUCAGCAAGAGCUAUUGUGUGCCGAUGGAUUACUAACGUUUCUUGUCGAAUUAUCGAUGUGAAACCUUUGAGAUGGGUAAUAUGUAAUUAAUGCGAAACCAUUUCAAUUGAUUAUUGACGAGCGCCAAAGCUUUUUGAUUUAUUGGUGAUGACAUCUAUGGGUAAUAUGUAACAAAUAUGAAGGUGCCUUAAUUAAUUGGUGAACUCUUUAAAAUCUCUUUAUUUUAUUUUUCAGUUUAAUUAAUUAAACAAGAAAAAGUCACAUUAGUUAUCAGAUAAUGGAAUUCUACUUUUUAUCAAUAUCAAAUGCAACUAAAAUUUUGAAACAUGAAUAAAACGCAUUAAAUUAAAGUACAAUAUUACUUUUGCUAGUCAAAUUAAGGGCCACAAAAUUAUUAAAGACCACACACUUUUAGUUUUGCCACAAGUUUUUCUUCCCGUCACAUAAAAGACUUUAGUGACCUUGUUUUAGUUGACUUUCAGGCUCAUUUUCUACAACUCUCGCAACCCUCUUCAUCUUCUACCUCAUACUCCAUCUCGGAUUCUUCAUUGUUGAUUUGAGAAAAUGUAGGGUGUAUCGUUUGACGUUUUAGUCAUGCACCAGUUUUAACAAUUCUGGAAGAAUUGAAGGUUUUGUGAUCCACGGCAAUACAUCUAAGCAAUGCUUAGUGUGUGUCCCAAUGCACCAUGGAAAGGUGGUUGCUUAUGCUUCAAGAUAAUUAAAGCAAUGAUGAGUGCAAUUUAGACACUUAUUUAGACUAUUUUAUUAAACUUUUACGUCGUCAAAUAAUUUAUUUGUAUCUAACUUAGAUUAAUUUUCAUUUUGUUUUUAGUGACAAACCCGUUUGAAGCAAUUGGGAAGGAUGAAGAACAAAUUGGCUAUUUGACGAGAAAUUUGAAGAUCAAAUUGCACACUUUGAAAGUGGAGGACAUGAAGAAAAUAAUAAAUUAAAUGGGCCUAAGUUUUGAACUUAAAUUUGGAUUCAUAUUUAUUAACCAAUUGGAAUCCUGUUUUACCCGAGAAAGUGAGCUUGUCCAAUUAAUUUCACCAAGUUUAAUUGGGUUGCAAAAAUACAAAAAGGGUGCCUGUUUUAGUGUAUAUAUACCCACAGAAACACGUGAAAAGAAAAAAAAAAAAAAAACUGUCAAGCAAGGAGAGACUAACCUAUAGAGAACAAAAACCGGCAUAUAUACAAGCUACUGCCGGCAGGGAACGAGAAAAAGAAGAUCAAUUGGAAUUCCACCUCAAUUAGGGGACUUUAGGUGGCUGAAAGAUAAAGAUAUAUACAGCUUACGCACAAGAAAAGAGGGGAAUUGCUGGGAAGUUAAUUUGGGGCUGACUUUGAUUCGUUUGCCGAACAAUUCACGCACCCAAGCAGCCAGCUGAUGGAAAUUAGGCAGCUGCAUUGGAGUUUCUGGAAAGAAUACUGGGCGGCUACUGUUGGAAAAAUAAGGUGGCAGCUUAGGAAAUUAUUGAGAGAUACACACAAUUAAAAGGCAGUUGUUGUAAUGUCCCAAAAAUUCAUAAAAUAGAAUUUAAGUUAUGUGUGCUAUAUUUUAAUAUUUCAAAAAAGUUAGGGACUAAAAUGUAUAUAGCAAAUUUCAAUUUCAUUUGGGUUAAAAUGUAGAUAUUGACGGAGUAAUAAUUUGUAUAUGAAUAUUGGGUUCGUUGGAUAGAUCGUAAUUAAUCAUGCAUGUUAGGCUCAAGAAAAAGUUGAUUUGGAUAAUUUAAGCCUAAGAUAUUGACAUUUAAAGAAAUUAAUGUUUUAUAGUAUUUUAAUUAAUUUAAUGGGUAUUUGUCUUUGAGCCUUCCACUUGCUUAGUGUUAAAUCCAUCCUAAUCACAAAUAAUAUAUAUUAUAACUUUCCACCACCAGCCACGUUUCACGUUCAUAAGAAAUGUUUAACUGUCUUCGUAAAUUAUUUGGAUAAGUUUAUCAUUUGAGGCCUUUAUCCAAGUUCCUUGUGGCACACGUUUUCACCACUCUAGAAUUCUAUUUGCACCAAAAUACUCCACACAGCAUAUGUAAAUGUAGGACGUCAGUUUCAAAUUGGGGAUUGUUUCCAGCAUAAAUAAUGAACAAAAAGGGUCCCGAAAGACAGUUUUCACUCUAAGGCAGCCAAGAAAAAAAUUACAAGAUUUGGAACGUAAUUUUGGAUUUCUUCUUUCAAGAAUUUAUUCAAUCUUACGAAGUAGGAUUACGAUGUGCAAGUGGUUCGUCUCGUUUAAAUUAUUUCUUCAUGUUGAUAAAUGUUAUACUCAUGAAAAUUAUGAUAUGAUUAUGAUAUUUUGAAAUGGCAACCCGGUACCAAAGAGAUGAUAUGAUAUGAUAUGACAUGAGCUCUUACCAAUUCUAAAGAUAUGAUAUGACGGUAUGAUAUUUUUGACGCGUGAUUUAAUACUUUUAAUCGGGAUUGCAUGAUUACUCGUAUCCUACUGAGUAUUUCCAUGUACUCACAAUUUUUCCUACUCCUCACAGAUUAGAACGGGUUGUUGGUUGGCGGGCGGUGCGGUGGAAUUGUGAUGCCAGAAAUUAUGGAAUUCAAGAUAAAUAAAUUCUGAGUAACAUGAUUAGGAAGUUUUAUUUAUUUAUUUUUCUUUGCGUUAUUUCAGUUUUAUUUUCAUGUUAAAUUUGAAAUUUAAUGUUUGAAACAUGGUUCAGUUAAUAAUGUUUUCCAUAGAAUGUUUGACAUCAUUUAUUUAAUUAUGAAAUAAAUGUUUUUGGUAACGAUUCCAAAUCUUUAAAUUUUGGGUCGUUACAGUUGCUUGGAGAUUGAUUUACACACUAAUUAGGGGACAAAGGUGACGAUUGAAUUGGGCAUAAAUUUGAGAAAUAAACACGCAAAUUGAAGGGAAUUUUGAAGAAACAGCACGGCCACGACAGAUUCACUUUGAGAAAAUUAAUAAUGCUCCGUCAAUUGGUGAUCUCCUUCCACUUUUAUGUGUUUAAUUCCAACGAUAUGUUAGGCUAGAUCUUUUUAUGUAUUGGAUGGAUGACAAAAUUGUUUAAUUCUAAGUUUUAAUUCAAGACCUAUGUUUUUAUGUUAAUUCUUGCAUUGUGAUUUCAUUAAUAUUCAUAAUUAGAUUAUUUUAAUAUUUGCGCACCAUUAGGACAAUAAGUUGCUUAUUCGUAGUGUUGGAAAACUCACGGUAGGUAGAACACUGUUGAUGGAACAUACGGGCAAUAAAUGUUAGGAAUAAUAUUUGUGGCCUGUGCAAUCUUAUGUGAUAAUCCUAAAUGUCAAUGCAUGUUUGUCAUAUAAAUUCGGACUAGGAAUAGAAUCGUCUUGUGGUAACCAUAAGUUUAUUAUAUUUUGGGAAAGAAUAAUAAAUAAAAGUGGAAUUCUCGAUCGUCGCAGUUGCAUGAAUUAAGAUAAUUAUUAUUGGUUGGGAAUUAGAACUAAGAAUUGAUCAAUGGCGUCGGAAAUCCAAUAUGUUCACACACUUGAUUGUUUUUAAAAACCAAAUUUCAUUGAUUUCAUAAGUUUUAGUUAUUAAAAAAAAUAGUUAGUUAUUCAUCAAUCGUCUUUCGAUUAUAAACAUGAAUUUAAAUAUAUUAAAUAUACUAGAAUUAAUCCUUAUUCCCUGUGGGACGAUAACUCUCUCAUCACAAUUAUUACUUGUACAACGAACUUGUACGCUUGCGGAAUUUUGACGAUCAAGUUUUUGGCACUGUUGCUGGGGAAUAACGGUGUUAAUUUUAGUUAUUAGAUAUUUUAGAUUCGUUUUUAUUUUUAUUUUUUUAUUUUUAUUUUAUUUUUAGUUGCUGUUUUUAGGCUACAUUAAACUUUUUAGGAUACUUCAAUUUAUGCAAAAUCUUGACUAGCCAAAUCUCUUUCUGAUAGACCACGAAAUUGAAAGGAUAUUCAGAAAUCGUAGAAGAGUUCAAUGUCAAGCAAGGAGAAUGGUUGAUAACUAAAAUCAACUGUAGAAUCAAGUUCAGCUUCACGAGCCAAUACUACAGCCAAAUCAAUAGAGAGCCAUCCAGAAUGAAGCUCCUGUCUUAGUUGGAGAUUACGUCAAUCCAAUUCCCACACCAGUGCAACCUGCUGUGGUAUAUCUUUCCUUCGAACAACCUAAUUUUCACCUUAGACCAGAUGUCAUCAAUCUGUUUCAUAAUCACCAAGACAUCCGGUUCUUUGGAAAAGCCACGGAAAAUCCUCAUGAGCAUAUUUCUGCUUUUCUCAUUUUAUAUGAAGUGAUCAGUCAUGAAGGGAUAUCAACAGAUACAUUCCGAAUGAGAUUAUUUCCUCAUACCUUGAAAGAUGCUGUUAGAGAAUGGUUUCUAAGUUUACCACCAGGGAGCAUUCAAUCAUGGGGCGAUAUGGUUCAAAAAUUCACGAUGAAAUUCUUUCCACCUUCUCAAGUUAACCAAAUUAGGAAUGACGUCCACACCUUCAAGCAAAAAGAUCUCGAGAGCUAUCCUGAGGCAUGGGAGAGGUUCAAGAAUUUUUCCAAAAAAUGCCCCAGCCUUGACAUUCCCAAGCAGGCUCAGCAUUAUCUUUUCUACCACGGUCUAAAACAAGAGUUCAGAAAUAUGAUAGAUGCUUCAGCAGGAGGAUCAUUGAUGAAACUUGAUGUGGAUGAGGCAUAUGACCUGUAUGAAAAAAUAGCUAAAAAUCAAUCGAUGUGGCCAACUAAUAGGGAAGCUCCAAGGAAAACAUCAGGGUUACACAACGUGGAUACAGUGACAACACUGACCGUGCAAAUGGAAAUUCUUACAAUGAAAAUGGACAAUCUAUCUAAGUCAGUCAACAUGGUACACCAAUCGCCACCUGUUUGCAAAGGUUGUAGAGCGAAUCAUGCUAGUAUACACUGUCCUUUGGCGUCUACACAUGUUAAUCAAUUCGAAGAAGUAAGUUACGCGCAAAACUUUCAGAGACAACAAAAUAAUCCUUUCUCCAACACAUUUAAUCCGGGUUGGAGUAACCAUCCAAAUUUUCCUUGGUCCAAUAAUCAAGUACAAGAACAAGGAGAAAACAAUCAAAAUAAACCACCAAGGUUCCAAUGGUAACAACAGCAAGGGAGAAAGCCAUCGUUGGAAGAUUUGUUGGCUCAAUACAUUACUAAAACUAAGACCAAUUUUCAGAACCAACAAGCUUCGAUCAAGAAUUUGGAACAACAGAUGGGACAAAUUGUAGCCGCACUAUAAGGUAGAGCUCAAGGGACAUUGCCUAGCAAUACUGAGACAAAUCCUAAGGAGCAGGUCAAAGCAAUCACUAUACGUAGUGGCAUCCAGUUACCAGAAAUAUAUGUAAAGCGGCCAGCAACUGUCAUAGAAAAGGUACCUACCAUAGGUGAGGAACAAGUCGAUGAAUCAGACAAAGCCACAAAGGAAAAUCAAGUUGAGUCAUCAGAUAGUCCACAGGUGAAGGCAACUAUUCCUAUUAAAGCAUAUGUUCCUCCAAUCCCAUUUCCACAAAGAUUGCAAAAACAUAAGCUCGAUAAGCAAUUCCAAAAAUUUUUGGAUGUGUUCAAGAAACUGCAUAUGAACAUACCAUUUGCUGAAGCUUUAGCUCAAAUGCCCAGCUAUGACAAGUUCAUGAAAGAUAUUCUAUCAAACAAGAGGAAGCUAGAGGACAAUGAAACUCUCAUGCUUAUUGAGGAGUAUAGCGCAAUUCUCCAACAUAAGUUACCAUCGAAGUUAAAAGAUCCAGGGAGUUUUACUAUUCCUUGUAACGUUGGUAAUUUAUAUAUAGAUAAAGCAUUGUGUGAUAUAGGAGCUAGCAUUAAUUUAAUGCCUUUAUCUCUUUUUCGGAAACUAGGUUUAGGGGAAGCAAAAUCAACAACAGUUUCACUGCAAUUGGCUGACAGGUUGAUCAAGUACCCUCGUGGUAUUUGUGAAGAUAUUUUGGUGAAGGUUGACAAGUUUAUCUUCCCAGCGGACUUUAUUAUUUUGGAUAUGGAUGAAGAUAGGGAUGUCACCCUCAUAUUGGGUCGCCCAUUUUUGGCUACGGGAAGGGCUCUGAUAGAUGUGCAAAAGGGUCAGUUGAUAUUGAGAUUAAAUGAAGAAGAACUGACAAUCAACGUAUUCAGAGUUUUAAGAUUUCAGAGCGAACCGGAUUCUUGCAUGCAGAUUGAUGUAAUAAAAGAAGCGGUGUCAGAGACAUUCAAACUAGAUCACCCUUAUGAUCCACUUGAGGCAUGUUUAGUGCAUUCUCAAGAGUUACCACCCAAAAAAGAAGAAGCAGAAGAAUGUGCACAUUAUUUGGCAGGCAUACUACCAUUCUUCAAGCAACCACAUUUGGAGCUCGGUGAAAGGCCCAUAACACCUUUACCAUCUAUACAACAAGCUCCAACUCUUGAACUCAAACAACUACCCACUCAUCUUCGUUAUGCAUACUUGGGGAAAAAGAAUUCACUUCUAGUAAUUAUCUCAAACAAUCUUACAGAAGUGGAGGAGGAUCAGUUGCUGAGGGUGCUUCGAGAGCACAAGACAGCAAUAGAAUGGACUAUAUCAGAUAUAAAGGGGAUCAGCUCUUUGCUUUGCAUGCAUACUGAUGGAAGAUUAUUACAAAGCUUCAAUUGAGCAUCAACGCAGAUUAAAUCCGACUAUGCAUGAAGUGGUAAGAAAAGAAGUAUUAAAGCUUUUGGAUGCAUGGAUCAUCUAUCCCAUAUCAGAUAGUCAUUGGGUCAGUCCAGUACAGGUCAUACCGAAAAAUGGAGGGAUCACAAUGGUUCCAAAUGAAAACAAUGAGCUCAUCCCGACACGCACAGUCAUGGGUUGGAGAGUUUGUAUUAACUAUCGCAAACUCAACAACGCCACAAGGAAUGAUCAUUUUUCCCUUCCUUUCAUUGAUCAAAUGCUAGAGAGACUUGUUGGACAUUCUUAUUACUACUUCUUGGAUGGUUAUUCAGGGUACAACCAGAUUCCUAUAGCGCUAGAUGACCAAGAGAAGACGACAUUUACAUGUCCUUAUGGCACUUUUGCUUAUAGGAGGAUGUCCUUCGGUCUUUGCAACGCUCCUGCCACCUUUCAGCGUUGUAUGAUGUCUAUUUUCUCGGACAUGGUGGGAAAUAUCAUUGAGGUGUUUAUGGAUGAUUUCUCAGUAUUUGGAAAAUCAUUUAAGAAGUGCCUUGAACAUUUGGAAAAAGUGUUACAGCGGUGUGAAGACAAAAACCUUGUAUUAAAUUGGGGAAAAUGUCAUUUCAUGGUUCAAGAAGGGAUUUUGUUAGGGCAUCUGAUUUCAUCACGAGGUAUUGAGGUGGAUAAAGCUAAGAUACAAGUCAUCAAAAAACUAGCACCGCCAGUAACAAUGAAGGGAGUAAGAAGUUUCUUGGGUCACGCUGGGUUCUACCGUCGCUUCAUCAAAGACUUUUCCAAAAUCUCAAAGCCAUUAUGUAAUCUAUUGGAAAAAGUGGCUCCAUUUCACUUUUCUGAGGAGUGCUUGACUGCUAUCAACACUUUAAAGGAAAAAUUGGUCUCUACUCCAAUGUUGUCUCCUCCAGACUGGGAUUAUCCGUUUGAGCUUAUGUGUGAUGUCAGCGAUCAUGCUGUGGGAGCAGUGUUAGGUCAACGCAAGGGGAAGAUUUUUCAUGUUAUCCACUAUGACAGUAAGACUUUAGAUGAGGCUCAAAUGAAUUAUGCUACUACAGAGAAAAAGCUUUUGGCAGUGGUAUUCGUCGUUUACAAAUUCAAGUCAUAUUUGAUUGGUUCAAAAGUGAUUCUCUAUACAGAUCAUUCAGCAUUAAAAUAUCUAAUGAGCAAGAAGAAUGCAAAGCCGAGGCUUAUUUGAUGGAUACUCCUAUUGCAAGAGUUUGAUUUGGAGAUCAAAGAUAAAAAGGGAAGUGAAAAUGUUGUGGCAGAUCACCUUUCUUGCCUUGAAUCACAUGAGUCAAAUCCUAUGGUGGAGAUCAACAAAGUUUUUCCUGAUGGAAUGCUUUUUCAGAUUAUCACUACGCCAUGGUAUGCUAACUAUGUAAAUUAUUUGGCUCGCUCCAUCAUCCCGCCGGACUACUCAAGUCAUCAGAAUUAGAAAUUCUUUAGUGACUUAAACACUACUUUUGGGAUGAUCCAAUUCUUUACAAAAAGGGUCUAGAUUAGAUCAUACGCCGUUGUGUACCAGAAGUAGAGCAGCAUCAAGUAUUAGAAUCGUGUCACUCUUCACCAUAUUGGGGCCACUUUUCAGCAACCAAGACAGUAGCAAAGGUACUACAAUCUGGUUUUUAUUGGUCUACAUUGUUCAAGGACGCCCAUUAUAUGGUGAAACAUUGUGAUAAGUACCAAAGCACUGGAAAUGUCUCAAGGAGGAGCGAGAUGCCUUUGAACAGUAUUGGUUGCCACAAUGGUCAUCUACAUUGUAUUUCAUUCGAAUCACGUGCAGAUGUUUUUACAAAUGUAAAAAUAUUUUGAAGUUAAAAACUCUUUAUUUCGUACAUUAAGAAAAAUUAUUUCAAGUAAUUUGAAUGGAUAAGUGCUUUUGUUAGUGGACAUUCAUAGUGAUAGAUUACAAAUUAUAUAAAUAAUUUAUUUUCCUCCAUUUUUCAUCAUGUAAAUGUUUUAUAAAAAUUAUUUUUUAUAGGCUUAAAACUCUUUAAAUUCCCACUUAAAUACUCAAUUUAAUGAGACUACUGAUGGUAUAAUUCUCUUAUUUAGUUUUUCACUAAAAAUAGAGGUUACAAGAAGAGGAGUAUCACUUUUUUAUCCCACACUUCCGUAAAUUCGAAUUUGAUUUAUUUUUCUCUCAAAAAUCUCUUUUUUAAUUAAGAUAAGCUCAAAAGAUUAGCAAGGGUGUAAAGGAGAAAGGCUUCAACACAUCUUGUGAUGUAUAUUGGAAUUUUUGAAGCUAUGAACAAAGAGGUUUAUGAAUGGCCAUAAUCAGUUUGUACGAUACCAAGAGAUUCUUCAAAAUUAUGAAUUUGUUGUUAUUCAUCUAUGUGAAAUGUUAAAUUCUUUUCAAUCACUUUGUAUAUAUAUGCAUAUAAGUUUAUGAUCAAAUGGGUUCAUCAAGUGAUAUAAGUCCUCCUAAACUUAAAGGUCACGCCUAUGUUGACAAAUGUUUCAGAUUAAAGGAUAGUCAAGCAAGUGGAAUUCUGUGGAUUGUGGAGGAACGAAGGGAGAAAUAUUCUUCAUUUGUAUAAUUAAUUACAUCUGAAGAAUUUAUAGUCUUACUAGUUAUGCAACUUAUGUUUAAUGUCUAAAAGAUGACAGUUUAUCUAUACCUUUUAGAAGACUUCUUAGUUCUUUUUCUUGAUGUGAACAUUGAAAUUUUAGUUGGUUUAAAUAUCCAUGAAAUUAAAGUUGCUAGUGGGAUUCAAAAGCCCUAUGAAUUCUCUAUCUGUUGGCUUUGGAAUCAAGUCAAUAGAAGGUCAGUAGGAUAAAAUAUGCCCUCUUCCGUGUGUUGUGUUCAAUGUACCCAAGAGCCUUUUUUUUUUUUUUUUCAUAUAUUUGAGUUCCAUUUGAGAGCAUAAAUGAUGUUAGAAAAUUCUGAAAUUUUACUUUGUUAUACUUGAAUGAGUUUAGAAAAUUCUAUAAAAAUUUCAUAGAAUUAUGCAUCUGAAAAAUGGCCCAACUAAACUUGAUCAUUGGAUAGCGCAUUGCUAGAUUUAACUCCGUUAAUGUACCCUAAACUUCAUUUUAAUCCUAUAUUAUAAUUUCAUUAUCUAAAAAAAGAAAGUUGUCUACCUUAAAUCAUCUGUUUCCAACAAUUUUUGAAACUUGUAAUCAAAAGUAGGGGUAAACUACAAACUAGAAAGGAAAUUAAGGGGAAAAAAUUUAAAUUAACCCAAAUUUUAAAAAAAAAAAAAAGCAUGUUUUUUUGUAGCAAUUUCAAAUUUCAAGAUUUGAUUAGUUACAUUAAUGGACUCCUAACUUUUCUUUUUUCUUUUUUUUUUUGUUAAUUAUACAUUCUCUAAAAAAUUAUAUUUUAUGAAAUUUUUUCAAAAAAAAAAUAAAAUUACAUCAAAAAAUCCUUUCUAAAAAAUUAGAAGUCAAUGAAAAAUAUAUGCGGAUGUGUUAAAUAGAAUCUCAUAAUCUUUGACCAUUCUAGAAUUAUGAAAAUAUUAAGGGAUUAUGUGUAUCUAUUAAUCAACAGCAUGGAUCACUUUUAAGAGAGUAUCGUGCAGUAUCCAUGUUAUGUCUAAUUUACCUUCUAUUGAUGAGUUAAAAAACAAAUCCGGCAAGAGAAAUUGUAUGUUAAGGGACUCCUAAAUUUUUUACUUUUUUUUUUUAAAUUAUACAUUCUAUAAAAAAAUUACAACCAACGAAAAUUAUUCAAAAAUAAAUUUUCAUCAGACACAUCCUUUGUAAAAAGUAGAAGUUAAUGAAAAAUUAUAUACAAAUAUGUUAAAUAGAAUCUCAUAAUCUUUGACUCACUCUAGCAUUACAAAAAUAUUUUGUGGAUUACGUGUAUCUAUUGAUCAACGACGUGGAUCAUUUUUUAAGAGAUUACCAUGUUGUAUUUGUGUUAUGUUUAAUUUAUCUUCUAUAGAUGAAUUAACAACCAAAUUCGACAAGUGAAAUUGUGUGUUAAGACUCCUAACUUUACUUUUUUUAAUUAUACAUUUUUUCAAAAAAUUAAGUUUUGUGAAAUUUAUUUUAAAAAAAUAUACAUAAAAUAAAUCCUUUUAAAAGUACAUGUUAAUGAAAAAGAAUAUAUGCAGACGUGUUAAACAGAAUCUCGUAAUCUUCAACCCACUCUAGAAUAACGAAAAUAUUUAGUGGAUGAUGUGUGUUCAUUGAUCAAUGGCGUGAAUCGAUUUUUAAGAUAAUACCGUGCAGUAUCCGUGUUAUGUCUAAUUUACCUUCAAUAGAUAAAUAAACAAACGAAUUCAGCAAAAGAAAUUACGUGUUAAUGGACUCCUAACUUUCUUUCUUUUUUAAAUUGUACAUUCUCUAAAAAUUAAGUUUUACGAAAUUUAUUCUACAAAAAUUUAAAUCAAACAGAUAUUUUGCACAAAGUAUAAGUUAAUGGAAAAAAAUAUAUGCAGAUGUGUUAAAAAGAAUCUCAUAAUCUUUGACCCACUCAAGAAUUACAAAAGUAUUUAGUGAAUUACGUGUAAUUAUUGAUCAAUGGCGUGGAUCACUUUUUAAGAGAGUACCGUGCGGUAUCCGUGGUAUUUCUAAUUCAAAUUCUAUAGAUGAAUUAACAAACAAAAUCUACAAGAGAAAUUGUGUUAAUGGACUCCUAACUUUUCUUUUUUCUUUUUUAAUUAUACAUUCCCUAAAAAAUUAUGUUUUAUGAAAUUUAUUCUAACCGUCAUUGCAGCAAAAAAAAAAAAUUAAAAAUUAAAAAAAUAAUAAUAAUAAUAAAUAAAUUACACCUUUGAUCUUAAUAUUGAAGUCUAUACUCAAUGUAGAGUAGCAGUCUACAUAGACAAAGCUUGAUAUUUUUUAUCCAAAGACCAUAAAAUUGGAUCGAGUUUUUGCCAAACUCUGAUCAGUGAAUCCAUCAGGAAGGAUUAAGCCCAAAUCCUACUAACCAUUCCGAUCAAAACAAAACAUAGAUAGGAAGGAAAAAAAAAGGCUUAAAAAAUGUCGGAGUACAAGAUAAGGACACAAUACAACAAGAUAUGGUCACAAUGCUGCCCCUGUUGAACUUAAGUGGUGAUGAUAGACCCUCGUCUUUAAUGCACGGAAGUUUUUUCGUGUUAUUUUAAAAAAUGUGGAAUCAUCUGAACCAUUUUGUUUGCUGUUCUUGUUUCUGCAUAUUGUGAAGAACUUAUUAGUAAUGGAACUAACCAAUGGGGUUACAUAUAAUAUAACAAUGAAGGAGAUUAGUCCUCACCUUUCUUCCUAUACAAUAUCCUGUUUCCACAUAAGAACAAAAUUUAUGGGGAUUCUUUAACUUUAAGAGCGUAGGUCAAAUCUCUCUCGUUGUUUAUGUCUAUCCUGAUGGUCUAAUCAUGGAAAUUAAAGACAUAGGAUUAUAAUAAACAAAUAGGAAUAGAGAAAGAAAGGGUGUCAAAAGAGAAGAUUCAUAUGCUUGAGGAGGUCGUCGAUCCUUGGCUUCCCAGUAAACCUUUGCUACUUUUUCUAGCUCUUUCAAACUAGUGAGAAAUCGGGUUGUUUAGGUCAUCGGGUUGAUUAGGUCAAACGAGUAACAAGAGGUCCAAACAUUGUUGUUUCAUUUGAGAGAGGGAAAAAAAAAUAUUCAUGUUCAGACUCACAAAAAAUAAAAAAUUCAAAUAUGACAAAAUUGAGGCACUCGUCUUGAUUCAAUGAGGCAUCUGCCUCAGAGAAAUAGCACAAAAAUUAGUAGCCUGAGGCAUUACAGGUGCACCUCACUCUGAGGCAUGCCUCAUGGCCAUCUUCUGAAAUCAUGCUCCCAGUGGAAUCGAGUUAGAGUCUACCAAAAACAUCUUUAUGUGAUUAUUGUCAUGGCAGUAAAAGUCACAAACUUCCGUUUGAAUUUCAAAUUUAAAAGGUUCAUAUCCUUUACACUUGUUAUUUACUUAUGUUUGCUGCGCAACAAAGGUAACUAAAUAUUCAAAACAUCAAAAAAAUGCAGUAAACAAGAGUUCAGUAUUACCCUUACUAGUCAAAGUAAGGGCCACAAAAUUAUUAAAAACCACACAUUUUCAGUUUUUACAUGAGUUUUUCUUCCCGUCACAUUAGAGACUUUAGUGACCAUGAUUUAAUUGGCUUUCAGGCUCUUUUCCUCCCACUCCCGCCACCCUCUUCAUUUUCUGCCUCAUUCACGAUCUCAGAUUCUUCAUUGUUGAUUUGAGAGAAUGUGAGGUGUGUCAUUUCACAUUCUAGCCAGAAAGUUUUAGGGACGUUAAGACUUCUCUCACCUCUCCUCUUGCCCCAUCGAGGUCCAAAACCUGUAUAGUAGUAAAAUUCAUAUGGAUUUGAUGUCCAAGCUGCCUUCUUGACCCAUGGCCAGCGUUGAGAGUCAGCCAUCACCUUUUCUUGUUUCUUCUUUGCUUGAAGAGCCGAGUUGUAGUUCCACAUUUGAGAUAAUUGGAGCGUUUAUUAACACAAUAUCCGUGUUAUGUCUAAUAUGCCUUCUACAGAUAUAUUAACAAACAAAUUCGGCAAGAGAAAUUAUGUGUUAAUGGACUCCUAACUAUUCUUUUCAUUUUUUAUAUUACACAUUCUCUAAAAAGUUAAGUUUUAGGAAAUUGAUUCGAAAAAAUAUAUAUACAUAAAAUAAAUCCUUUGUAAAAAGUAGAAGUUAAUGAAAAAAAUAUAUACAUAUGUGUCAAAUAGAAUCUCGUAAAUUUUGAUCAGCUCUAAAAUUACGAAAAUAUUUAGUGAACUAAGGUGUGUAUUUAUCAACGGCAUAGAUCACUUUUUAAAAAAGUACCGUGCGAUAGCCAUGUUAUGUUUAAUUUACCUUCUAUAAAUAAAUUAACAAAUAAAUGCAGCAAGAGAGAUUGUGUUAAUGGACUCUUUAUUUUUCUUUCUUUUUUUUAGUUAUACCUAAAUUAACAAAAAAUUCGGCAAGAGAAAUUGAGCGUUAAUGGACUCUUAAUUUUUCUUUUAUGUUUUUAGUUAUACAUUCUCUAAAAAAAUUGUGUUUUACGAAAUUUGUUUUAAAAAAAUUUAUACCAAAGAAAUAUUUUGUAAAAUGUAGAAGUUGAUGAAAAAAUAUACACAGAUGCAUUAAAUAGAAUCAGGUAAUCUUUGGCCCACUCUAGAAUUAAGAAAAUAUUUAGUGAAUUACAUGUAUUUAUUGAUCAACAGCGUAGAUCACUUUUAAGAGAGUACCGUGCGAUAUCCGUGUCAUAUCUAAUUUACCUUCUAUAGAUGAGUUAACACACAAAUUCUUUUUUUUUAAUUAAUUAUACAUUCUCUAAAAAAUUAAGUUCUACGAAAUUUAUUUAAACAAAAUUUACAUCAAACAGAUCCUUCGUAAAAAGUAGAAGUUAAUGAAAAAAAUAUAUAUACAGAUGUGUUAAAUAGAAUUUCAGAAUUUUUUAUCCACUCUAGAAUCAUGAAAACAUAUAGUGGAUUAAGUGCAUCUAUUGAUCAACGGCGUGGAUCAUUUUUACGCGAGUACCGUGCAGCAUCCAUGAUAUGUCUAAUUUACCUUUUGUAGAUGAAUUAAUGAACAGAUUCUGAUAGAGAAAUUGUGUUAAUGGACUCCACACUUUUCUUUUUUUCUUUUUUAAUUAUACAUUCUCCAAAAAAUUACGUUUUAUGAAAUUGAUUCUAAAAAAUAUACAUAAAAUAAAUCCUUUGUUAAGAAAUAGAAGUUAAUGAAUAUAUAUAUAUAUAGUGUUAAGUAGAAUCUCGUAAUCUUUGCUCCACUCGAGAAUUGCUAAAAUAUUUAGCAGAAUACGUGUAUGUAUUGAUCAAUUGCGUAGAUCACUUUUUAAUAGUAUCAUGCAGUAUCUACAUUAUAUCUAAUUUACCUACUAUAGAUGAAUUAUGAACAAAUUUAGCGAGAGAAUUGUGUAUUACUGGACUCCUAACUUUUCUUCUUUUUUUUUCUUUUAGUUAUACAUUCUUUAAAAAUCUCGUUUUACGAAAUUGAUUCUAAAAGAAUAUACAUAAAAUAAAUCCUUUGUAAAAUGUAGAAAUUAAUAAUAUGAAUUACAAAAACAUUUAGUAGAUUAUGUGUAUCUAUUUAUCAACGGCGUGAAUCAUUUUUCAAGAAAUUGUCGAACUGUAUUUCUGUUAUGUCUAAUUUAUCUCGUCUAAUUAAGAAAUAAAUUUGGCAGGAGAAUUUGUGUAUUAAUGGACUCGUAAAUCUUCUUUCCUUUUUAAUUGUACAUUCUCUAACUAUAUUUUAUGAAACUUAUUUAAAAAAAAUUACAUCGAACAAAAUUUUGUAAAAAGUAGAAGUUAACGAAAAAACAUAUGAAGUAUUAAAUAGAAUCUCAUAAUCUUAGACUGAAUCUAGAAUUACGAAAUUAUUUUGUGAAUUACGUGUAUUUAUUGAUCAAUGGCGUGGUUCACUUUUUGAAAGAAUAUCAUGCAAUAUUUGUAUUAUGUCUAAUUUAUCUUUUAUAAAUGAAUUAACAGACAAAUUCGAGAGAAAAUGUGUUUUAAGGGACUCCUAACUUUAAAAAAUAAAUUAAUUAAUUAUGCAUUCUCUAAAAAUUACGUUCUACGAAAUUUAUUAAAACAAAAUUUACAUCAAACAAAUCGUUCGUAAAAAAUAGAAGUUAAUGAAAAAAAUAUAUACAAAUGUUUUAAAUAGAAUUACGUGUAUCCAUUGAUCAACGGUGUGGAUCAUUUUUUUAAGAGAGUACCAUGCGGUAUCCAUGUUAUGUCUAAUUUACCUUUUAUAAAUGAAUUAAUGAAUAGAUUCUGGAAGAGAAACUGUGUGUUAAUGGACUCUCACUUUUCUUUUUUUCUUUUUUAAUUAUACAUUCUCUAAAAAAUUACGUUGUAUGAAAUUUAUUCUGAAAAAAAAUACAUAAAAUAAAUCAUUUGUUAAGAAGUAGAAGUUAAUGAAAAAAAUAUAAACACGUUUGCUAAAUAGAAUCUCGUAAUCUUAGACUGAAUCUAGAAUUACGAAAAUAUUUAGUGAAUUACAUGUAUUUAUUGAUUAAUAGUGUGGAUCACUUUUUAAGAGAGUAUCCUGCGAUAUCCGUGUUAUGCCUAACUUACCUUCUAUAGAUGAAUUAAGAAGAAUAUAAACAGAUGUAUUAAAAUUGAAUCUUGUAAUUUUUUAUCUACUCUAGAAUUACGAAAGCAUUUAGUGGAUUACACGUAUCUAUCAAUCAACGUGGUGGAUCACUUUUUAAGAGAGUACUGUGUGGUAUCCAUGUUAUGAAUUAGCGAACAACUUUGGUUAAAAAAAAAAGUGUGUUAAUUAAGAGAUUAUAUUAAGAAAUUGUGUUAGUUCACAUAUUAGUUAGCUAGACAUUCUUCUGUAUAAAAUUAAUGAAAUAUUAUGCAGAGUUUGUUUUUCCUUGAUGGAAGUAUUGGGUCGUUAUAAAGUUUCUUUCUAAUUAUCACUCAUACAAUUUCAUAAGGAUUAUCUUCACGAGAGAGGUAGUAAAACGAGUGGACCUAACCCCAAGGAUUCUACUCCACGAGGUUUGACAAAAUGUCCCUACCAUAUUACGAUAAUACGAUAUAUAAAGACCGUCGUCAUUUCAAAAAAAAAAUAUUACUCCUUGGAUCUUAAUAUUGAAGUCUAUACUCAAUAUAAAGUAGUGGUCUACAUAGACAAGCUUUUGAUCGAGUUUGAUAUUUUUUAUCCAAAAAUUAUACAAUUGGAUCAAGUUUCUGUGACACUCUCAUCAAUGAAUCUAUCAGGAAGGAUUAAGCCCAAAUCCUACUAACCAUUCCGAUCAACACAAAACAUAGGAGAAGUUCAAAAAAAAAAAAAAAAAAGGAAAAAAAAAAAAAAAAGAAAAAAAAAAAAAAAAAAAAAAAAAGGAAAGAAAGAAAGAAAAGAAAAAGAAAAUGCCAGAGUACAAGAUAAGGACACAAUGCAACAAGAUAUGGUCAUAAUGCUGCCCCGGUUGAACUUAAGAUGGUGAUGAUAGAAAAAAUAUGCACUAAUUUGUCUGUCGUUCUUGUUUCUACAUAUCGUAAAGAACUUAUUAGUAAUGGAACUAACAAUUGGGAGUACAUAUAAUAUAACAAUGAAGGAGAUUAGUCCUCACCUUUCUCCACAUACAAUAUCAUGUUUCCACGUAAGAACAAAAUUUUGUGGGCAUUCUUUAAUUUUAAGAGCGUAGGCCAAAUCUCUCUUGAUGCUUAUAUCCAUCUUGACGGUCUAGUAAUGGCAAUUAAAGACAUGGGAUUAUAAUAAACAGAUAAAAAUCUAGAAAAGAAAGGUGUCAAAAGAGGAGAUUCAUAUAUUCGAGGAGGUAGUCGAUCCUUGGUUUCCCAGUACACCUUUGCUGCUUUUUCUAGCUCUUUCAAAGCUUUCCAGUUAUCGCUUGCCCUGAAAUCAGUGACGGAUUCGGAUUACAUCUAGGCAAGUAUAGAUCAAAUGCACUACAUGUUUUACAGAUUCCUUCUUUUCAAGAAUACAGACGUGUUGUAUCUUUCGAAAACGAGAACAACUAGUGGUCUACGAUGGAAAGCAAAGCUCUCCCACUUAAGACAAUUGAUCUCCUUCACUAAAGCAUCAUCGAUCUUUCCCUCUCAGUCAAUUUCAGAGCCAUCUUCGCCAACGACAUUUUUUAUAGGAUAUUACUUCAAAUACUCUGAUGCUCUGACCCCUCCCCGGGCCGACAUCAGCAUCCAGAGGCCAAUUGGGAUUAUCCUCCUCUACCAACAUCUAUUUCCUCUUCAAUCAUCACAUUUCUCUUCAUCCCUGUCAUCAUCCUCGUCACCACUGUUGCUAUUGGAAUCAACAUCAUUGUAAAAUUUAUCUUUCAGAAUUCUGCUGCUGGAUUGAUUCAAAAAUCCGUUCAAGCGAAUCACACACAAAAAUCUUCAACUGCUUGGGCUUCGUAGGGAUCACUUAAAGGAACUUCCUUCCAGAUUUUUCAUCGUCAUCUUGAGGAAAUUCAAUUUUCUCCCGCUGAGCUCUUCCUUUUGGUUUCAAACUAGGACUCUGACUAUAAUUCUUGUCGGGCUUUGGAUCAGAAUUCUCUGAACUGGAAGUGCACACCAAUCGUUUUCCAGUGUAUUUGGUUGUCAAAGUCAAUGGAAACAGGAGGAAAUUUGAAAGGCAACAAGAAUUUGUUGUUUCACGGAAAGAUAACAUCGACAAAGAAUGUGUUGGUCACGGACAAACAAAUCGACAUUUUAACUUGAGCUUGCUUCGUAAAAAUAGUAAAGAAAAUGCUCAAAACAACAAGAACACAAGAUUUGUCGGCCAAAGGCUUUGAAGGUGCAACGACAACUUCUAACGCCUAAUCCCCAUUGAGCAUCCCUAAGGAUAUUGCUCGAAUUCACUAUAAAGCCCCAAAAUUGGACAAAGAUCGAAUACAGUACAAAAAUAGCAGAGAGCUCAACGAAACCAUAAUUACCUCAAACUCUCUAUUACAACAAUCACUCACAAAGAAUUGUGUUCCCAUACCUUCUCUCGAACACAAUAAUCUCACAAAGAAAUCACUCAAGAUCAUCCAGUUGAUGACCAAAAUAUGAACACACAGAGAGAGUUUUCACGAAGACGGAAGAGGGAGAGUCAAAACCAACUACAACCCUAAAAGGCAUACAAGUGCCUUUUAUAUGAGAUAAGCCCAAGAGACGGAUCCAAUGGUGCAAAUCAUUCCAGGUUGUUUGGAUUGUGAUGCCAAAUCAAUCAAUUGGGCUCUGAUGAAAAGGGCCCGGCCCAAUAGCUAGUAUUAUAUUUCCAUUGCCCGAUAAUUCAAUGGUAGAGGCCCAUCUACCCGAGCCCAAACAUGAGGCCACGUGUGCUGCUCUGAGCCCUUGGAUCACCCAGCUGAUCUAGGGUGAUUUGUUCUUCAAUAUAAGGGACCUUUGGUGGUGCCCUAGUUGACCGAGCGUGAUAUUUUUCUGGUGACUCUUGAACUCUCUAGAAUGAGUCAUUUUCUCUGCCUCUUCUCUCCUUCGUCUUCUUCGUGUUUUUCUUUCCAAGAUCUCUGUAAUUUGGAACUUGAUUCAUUCUGUGUGAACAGUAAAUCUAAGUGAUUCUUUUGAAAGGAGUUAGUGGAGUCAUUGAAGGAGGUUUUCUUUGUGGCUCGUCGAAGUAGUUGCGUCCCGGUUCCUUUUGUGGGGUUUAGGUUUGAUUCUUGGUGUCUCUACUAUUGUACAGAAGGGUACAAUGUUAAUUUCUGAGCCCUGACAAUUGAUUGAACAAUAUACCUUUGGUUUGGUCCUGUUCUAGGUCGAAUUUUUUCUCUAUGUGAGAUCUGAAAAUACUUUGUGUAUUUCUUGAGUUCUAUUAUAACAGUGGUAUCAGAGCCUUCAAGGCUUCCUUCAACCGUGAUCUGGAUGUGAAAAAUUCAUUUUCACAGUCCAAUCCUUUUUUUAGAUCUGACUCUUUUUCGCUGUUUUUUUUUAAAUCACUUCAGUACUUUAUGUGUACUAACCAUUGAUCUAUUGUGGAGUUCUUGUUUCCCAAAACGCAGGUCCUGUUUUUCGCGAACUAUUGGUUCGCCCCUUGAGUAACCCAUACUGUUCGUGAGGCUUUUUUUUUCUUGGUCACUAGCUUGAGUGAUCGAUAUUGAAUGAUCACUCCUCUGGUUUGCGACUAUUUUUCCCUUUAUUAACGUUUAAUCCAUUCUUCCUAGCCAUAUAUGUUUUACAUAAUUUUUUUGAUUAUUGUUAGUCAGUGAAUUACUGGGUUAAUAUUUCUGAAACGUACUUAUUGUGAUUACUCUAAAUUGGUGAAUUACUAAGUUCUUAUUUCUGAAGUAUUACAUACGUUGAUUUAAUCUGAUACUCAUAUAAUCCUUUUCCUGCUUCCUGUUCUGAUGACCUAAAUUGUGCCUUGACCUAAGGACAUGAUCCUUACGAAAUCCUGGUGAAUUUGGGCAUUUGGAACUUGAAGUUUGUUGCAUUGAGUACAUUGCGAUUUCUUGUUAUUUUUUGAACACUGUGUGUGUUAAUGUUUUCUUGAUUCUUGAAGCUUCUUGGUACAUAAUAACCUCUGUGAUCUUGUGUAUUAUCACAUUUUAUUCUGCACCACCUCUUUUCUGUUAAACGUUGAACUUCAAAUAAUUUUCUUGUGUUGGUUAAACAUUCCAAAUGACAACAACUACGUUUGAACUUGGAGUUUUUAAUGGAAAAGGGGAUUUCCCCAUUUGGCAACAAAAAUGAAAGGAGUUCUUGUUCAACAGAAAGUUGCAAGAGCCAUUACUGGUGAUUUUCCUGAUACUAUGACUGAAGCACAAAAAACUGAAUGUGAUGAACUUGCCUAUACCUCUAUUAUAUUGCAUCUAUCUGAUCAAGUUUUGAGAAAAGUUGGGAAACAUGAUAGUGCUAGAGAUUUGUGAGAAAAACUAGAAGAACUUUAUUUAGUUAAGUCCCUACCUAAUAAACUGUUUCUCUUAGAAAGAUUUUUUAGUUUUAAGAUUGACAUCACUAAAGACUUAGAAGAUAACUUUGACAUUUUUAAUAAAUUGGUUCAAGCUAUUACCAAUGCUGGAGACAAAGUCUCUGAUGAAUACAAGGUUGUGAUUCUUCUAAAUUCAUUACCUGAAAUGUAUAACGAUGUCAAAAGUGCCAUUAAAUAUGGUAGGGAUUCUUUGACUCCUGAAGUUGUUAUUAACUCUUUAAGGAGCAAGGAUCUGGAACUUAAAACUGAGAAGCAUGGAAGAGAAUUUGAGAAUUUAUUUGUUAGAGGGAGGUCACUUAAUAGGCAAAACCAUAGUCAGGAUAAUCAGAGUUAUCAAAGAAAUAAUAAUAACAAGAAGAAAGGGAGAGAAAGACCUAGGUCAAAGUCUAGGACUGGGACUGGGAAUAGGAAAUGUUAUGGAUGUGGGAAAUCAGGUCACUUUAUUAAGGAUUGCUUUAAGAAAAAGAAUGAACAGAGGGAUAACAAAGUAGAUGAGGGAAAUGUAGUUGAAUCCCUAGAUGAUAAAACUGUGGAUGUCUAUGUUGUUACUGAACCUGUUACUGAUCAGCAUACUGUAAAUUUUUCUGAAAAUAUAGACCAGAAUCAAGAAUGGAUUCUUGACUCUGGUUGCACUUUCCAUAUGACUUCUAAAAGGUCUUGUUUAGAAAAUUUUAAGGAAAUGAAUGGAAGUGAGGUAGUAAUGGGUAAUAAUGCAGCCUGUAAAGUUUUAGGAAUUGACAGUGUGACUUUAAAAUUUGAAAAUGGAUAUAUCUUUACCCUAGAGAGAGUAAGGUAUGUUCCUGACUUAAAUAGAAAUUUAAUUUCUAUGGGUGAUCUAGAUGACAUUGGUCUCCAAGCUAAACUUGGAAAUGGUUUGUUAAAAGUUUUUAAAGGCUCUCUUGUAAUAUUCAAGGGUGCCAAAAGAAAUGGUAUAUAUGUCACUAGAGCUGAAAUAGUUUCAAGUCAUACUGCUGAGUCCUUAACUGCUGGAGUUGAUGCCACCUUAAAAUUGCACAAUAGGCUGGCACAUGUUAGUGAAAGAGGUCUGCAUAUUUUGAAUAAAAUGGGUGUUUUUGGAAAAGAUAAUGUUUCAAAAAUUCCUUUUUGUGAUUAUUGUAUACUUGGUAAACAACAUAGACUUCACUUUAAUACGGGUAAGCAUGAAACUACUUCUGUUCUGGAGUAUGUACAUGCUGAUUUGUGGGGACCCUCAUCUACUAUUACCCAAGGAGGAAACAAAUAUUUUCUGUCCUUGAUUGAUGAUUUUUCAAGAAAAGUUUGGAUUUUUCUGUUAAAACAAAAAUCAGAUACUUUUGAAAAAAUUUAAAUUUGGAAAACCUUGAUUGAAAAUCAAACUGGGAAGAAAAUCAAGGUAUUAAGAACUGAUAAUGGUCUAGAAUUUUGUAGUGUUGUUUUUGAUCAAUUAUGUAAGGAUAGUGGGAUCCUUAGGCAUAAAACAGUUCCUUAUACCCCUCAGCAAAAUGGAAUUACUGAGAGGAUGAAUAGGACUAUUCUAGACAAAGUAAGAUGCAUGAUGAUCAGUUCUGGAGUUCCUAAAGUACUGUGGGGUGAAGCUGCUAUGACUGCAGUUUAUAUCAUAAAUAGAACCCCAAGUAGUAGGGCUGAGCAAAUCUCUCGAACCGAACCCGAAGCGAACCGAACCCAACGGUUCUUGUUAAAUUGUCAAAUUAAAUACCCGAACGGGUAUCUGAAUUGAGAAUCGACGGGUACGGUUCGGUUCUCGGUUCUAGACCAAGAACCGAAGAACCGAAUCUUUCUAAUUUUUUUUAUAUUAAAUAAAUCAAAUUAUUUUAAUUUUAAUUUUUUCUAAACAAAUUAACAAAUUAACAAUUUGUAAAUCCAAAUUUUUGGCCCAAGAAUUUGUUUAAUUUCUAAUUUUUAAAUUUUUGGCCCAAUUACUCAUUUUAUUGUUUUAUUUCUUAGCCCAAAAAGAUCCAAUCCACUAAAUAACUCUAAACACCUACACUAAAGUGUAUAACGUUGUGUCGACUCUCGUACUCACUCUCUCAGCCCCGCUAAUAUUCCAAAACCUAUACAAUCGUCAGCCGACACUGUGACCUCCACCGAUCGAAGCUUUGACCAUAGCGAUCAUUUGAACAAUGUAGUUUACUAGUCUCUAACAUUCCAAAACCAUUGAAUGUAUCAUUAGUUGUAUUUAUAUAAUGUUGUUAUAAAUGUUAAAAAAUUUAAUUAUAGUACAGAACCGAACCGAACCGAACCGAACUAAACCGAACGGAACCGAACCUGAACGUUUCCAUAAUUAUAUUUGGACCCUACGGUUCCAUUUACUAAAUACCCGAAAAUUUUGGUUCGAUUCGGUUCUAACCGAUUCUCUUUAGAACCGAACCGAACCAACCUGCACCCACCCCUACCAAGUAGUGCCAUAGAUGGCAGAACACCUGAGGAAAUAUAGUCUGGAAAAAUACCAGAUUAUAGUCAUCUAAAAACCUUUGGUUGUGCAGCCUUUUCCCAUCAAAAUAGUGGUAAACUUGAACCUAGAUCCCAAAAAUGUGUUUUUAUGGGAUACCCUGAAGGAGUUAAAGGGUAUAGAUUGUGGGAUAGGAGUGUGAAGGGGUUUAGAAUGAUCACAAGUAGGAAUGUGACCUUCAAUGAGUGUGAUAUGCCUUGCAUGACUAAUAAACAUCAUAUUAGUGCUUCUAGUAGUGAGGAAGAAGAGAUGACUAGGCUGCAGGUGGAGCAUUUGUCACCUCCUGAACAUACUGAUAAUGUUCAGGAAGAGACUGGUGAAGUUUUUGAUGAAAAUAUAGAAGGUGAAGGUGAUGUUCAAGAAGUUGGUGAAGAAGAAAAUUCAUUAGAUGGUUACCAGUUAGCUAGGGAUAGGGUUAGAAGAGAAAUAAGGGAACCCAUUAAAAUGAGAGACUACCUAUCUCUAGCUUUACUGACUUGUCAAGAUCUGGCCUUUAAGGAACCAAAAACAUAUGAGGAGGCUAUGAGUUGUCAGUCUUCAAAAGACUGGCAAUUGGCUAUGGAAGAGGAAAUGAACUCUUUAAGGAAAAAUGAAACCUGGAUUUUGGUUCCUAAACCUAAAGAUAAAUCCUUAGUUGAUUGUAAAUGGAUCUAUAUAAUUAAUGAAGGAAAUAUAGCAAAUCAGCCCCUAAGAUUAAGGCCAGAUUAGUGGCAAAAGGGUUUACUCAAAAACCCGGUAUUAAUUAUAAUGAAAUUUUCUCACCUGUAGUUAAAUAUACUACCAUACGUGUUAUGCUUGCAUGAGUUGCUCAUUAUGAUCUUGAACUUGAACAAAUGGACGUAAAAACUGCCUUUUUGCAUGGAGACUUGGAUGAAAUUAUCUAUAUGAGACAACCACCUGGAUAUGUAGAUAACAAGAAACCUGAGCAUGUGUGCUUGUUAAAGAGAUCAUUGUAUGGACUUAAACAAUCGCCUAGACAAUGGUAUAAACGCUUUGAUAACUUUGUGUCAUCUGUAGGUUUUCUUAGAAGCUCUUUUGAUCAUUGUCUAUAUUUGAAAAAAGAUAAAUCUGAAUCUGUGAUUUUUUUACCUACUUCUUUAUGUGGAUGAUAUGUUGUUAAUUGGACAGCAUCUUAGUGAUAUUAAUGAUAUUAGGAGAUCUUUAUGCUCUGAAUUUGAAAUGAAAGACUUGGGACAUGCUAGAAGAAUUUUAGGUAUGGAUAUUAAGAGAAAUAGAUCCAAACAGGUUCUUUUUCUAUCACAAUCUGCCUAUGUUGAAAAAGUCAUAUCAAAAUUUUCCAUGCAUGAAUCAAAAACUGUCACUUUAGCACUUGCAAGUCAUUUUAAAUUGAGUAAAGAUCAAUGUCCAGUUGAUGAAUUUGAUGUGAAAUCCAUGCAAAAGGUCCCCUAUGCUAAUGCUGUGGGGUCUGUAAUGUACACUAUAGUGUGUACCAGACCUGAUGUAGCUCAUACGAUUAGUACCCUAAGUAGAUUUAUGGCCAAUCCUGGCUUGAACAUUGGACAGCCUUAAAAUGGUUACUUAGGUAUCUAAAAGGAACAUCUAACUUAGGUUUAUGUUUUAAUCCUAGUAAAGAAGAUGUUAUAUUAAAGGGGUUUGUAGAUUCAGAUUAUGCUGGGGACAGGGACAAUAGAAAAUCAACCACAUCUUACAUGUUUACUUUGUGUGGCACUUGUGUGAGUUGGAAAUCACAAUUACAGCCUAUUGUUGCACUUUCAACCACUGAAGCAGAAUAUGUGGCUGCUACUGAAACCAUAAAAGAAGCACUAUGGCUCAAAGGUUUGUUAUGUGAAAUUAAUAUUUUGUCACAACCUGUUGUAGUUUACUCAGAUAGUCAAAGUGCAAUUUAUCUGUGUAAAAAUCCUGUAUUUCAUGAAAGGACCAAGCAUAUAGAUGUUAGAAUGCAUUUUAUAAGAGACAUAAUUCAUAAAGAAUCUGUUGUACUUGAAAAGAUUCCAACAGAAUUUAAUCCUGCUGAUAUGGGGACCAAGGUACUGUCUCUUAAUAAGUUUAGGUCCUCUUUGAAAAUGCUGAAAAUUGAUACUGGGUAACCUUUGUUGUAAUGCAGGUACUCUAAACCUCUUGGUGCAAUGAUCUGUGGAACUUAAAGAAGAAAAUGAAUUUGUUUCAUAUCUUUGUAGUAUGCAUGUUGGUCAUUAGCAUCAAGGUGGAGAUUGUUUGGAUUGUAAUGCCAAAUCAAUCAAUUGGGCUAUGAUGAAAAGGGCCCGGCCCAAUAGCUGGUAUUAUAUUUCCAUUGCCCGAUAAUUUAAUGGUAGAGGCCCAUCUACCCGAGCCCAAACAUGAGGCCACGUGUGCUGCUCUGAGCCCUUGGAUCACCCAGCUGAUCUAGGGUGAUUUGUUCUUCAAUAUAAGGGACCUUUGGUGGUGCCCUAGUUGACCGAGCGUGAUAUUUUUCUGGUGACUCUUGAACUCUCUAGAAUGAGUCAUUUUCUCUGCCUCUUCUCUCCUUCGUCUUCUUCGUGUUUUUCUUUCCAAGAUCUCUGUAAUUUGGAACUUGAUUCAUUCUGUGUGAACAGUAAAUCUAAGUGAUUCUUUUGAAAGGAGUUAGUGGAGUCAUUGAAGGAGGUUUUCUUUGUGGCUCGUCGAAGUAGUUGCGUCCCGGUUCCUUUUGUGGGGUUUAGGUUUGAUUCUUGGUGUCUCUACUAUUGUACAGAAGGGUACAAUGUUAAUUUCUGAGCCCUGACAAUUGAUUGAACAAUAUACCUUUGGUUUGGUCCUGUUCUAGGUCGAAUUUUUUCUCUAUGUGAGAUCUGAAAAUACUUUGUGUAUUUCUUGAGUUCUAUUGUAACAUAGGUGUCAAGCAUCCAAUGAAGAGGUGAAUUUAAUCAAGUAUGAAAAUACAUUAUUAUCUAUUCUAGAACCAUCUUAUCAAUAAUGGACCGAUUUUGGACUUCAAAUCUUACUGAAUCAGUUUGAGUUGAGCUCACAAAAAUGAAGCAACCCAUCUUCAUACAGUGAUCACCAAAAUUAUUAUGGACCAAGCUACAAGAAUAUAAGGAUGAUAUAGGGGAUGACCGAACACACACACAUGGGAGGGUCGGCAUUCUUUAAUUCACGCGGACCCAUGCACAAUGUGAUGGUUGUUUAACCGAGCUGUCACCAAAAUUCGGGCAAAGUGACUUUUUCCAAUUAUUAUAUAACACCAAAAGGAACGGCUUUUUAUUCCUCACUUGGAAUAAGUCAACCUAAAAUCUUCCUGAAAACACUCUGGUCAAAUCUCAAGACAACCUGUUGAAGUCGCUCAGUAACUUUCCUUCUUUCUUCCGUCCAAGAGACGAGGGAACACGUAAAUCACUGAAAUUGGGAGCAAUUACGUGGACUCCUUUCACUGAACAGAAAUUAAGAAUGAAAUUGCAGCAAUUAUACGAAAAUGAAGCAAAAACUACAGGGCCAGACUAAAAUCAUUACGCCACACAGUAAUUUCACUUAAUGAACAGCCAGCAAGAAAGGAAGAACAAUCAAGAAUGUGAAAAACCGAAACCUAACACAUUUAAUGGAGUCCACUAAGUUUGUUAUUAGUUUCAAGAUUUACUAGUAAAUGUUAACGAGAAAUUAAACAGUCGUUGAGUAGACAAAAAAUCAAACACCUGGCAUGCAACUAUCAACGGAAUCAUAAAUGACAAAUCCUAACAUGGAAAAUUCAAGAUAAUCAAACUUCUCUUAGCAUGCAUACGCGUGUGCUCACAUUCGAUUUAUACACAGAUAAACGCACACAGGGAGGAGAGAAAAUCUACAUUUAGAAGUCAAAGAGCACAAAUAGAAACGGAGUUUUAAUUUUUCAAUUGUAUCGGGUGUCCAAAAUUAAGAAGAAUUUUAAAAGAUUAUAACGCUCUCUUAAUGUUAUAAAAACACUUAAAAUUUCUGAAAUAGAGGCUUUCUAAGAAAUAACAAAAGGAUCAUGCUGCAUGUACAAACUUUUUAUACAAACUCCCUUAUUCACUAAUCACAGUGGGGGUGGGGAUCGCAAAUCGACAUUUUUUAAAUUCAUGUGAAAUCCGUUAAUUUUGUGAGAGCUAGUACAUCAUUUUGUCAACAAGAUUUUGUACAAAUAUCUUUAUCCUACCAAAAAAGGCUCUCUGAGUGUAUUUCCCCAAAUAUGGAAAGAAUGGCAUUUUAGGAUCUUUUCUUACGAUUUUUCUUUUCUUUCUUUCUUUCUUUCCCCAUUCAUUUCUUGAAACUUGGAAUUUUAUGGCAUUUUAGGAUUUUUUUUUACGUUUUUUUUUUUUUUUUUUUUUUUUUUUCCCCUUUUUUUUUUUUUUUUGUUUCACUUUUUCAUCCAAGAUUUAUGGGGACAAAAUUGUCCAAGUACUCGUCAAUUUAUAACCAUUAUUUUUUUCACAUGUUUCAAACACAUACUCUUGCUUAGUUGUUUGAAGUCUAGUGAUACACUCAAUGUGAGAGUGUAAAAAAUUCCAGUUAUCACUUGCCCUUUAACAAUCGGUGCCGAAUACUCAAGUAAUUAACAUAUGCAAGAUUGAAAUACAUUCCAUUAUCUUUGGAACUAUAACUUGCAUGUUGUAACACUCAAAACAAUAAUACAAUCUCGACGUUGUCAUCUAUGACAUUUUUUAUCGAGUGUUGCUCAAAAUACUUAAGAUGCUCUUAUCCCAACUUGACAUCAGAAUCCAAACGCCAAUUGGGCUUCUCCUCCUCUACCAACAUCUCAUUUCCACUUCAACCAUCACCUUUCUCUUCGUCCCUUCAUCAUCCUCUAAAUUUUCCUGCCACCAACGAGGGCUGACCCAAGAUUAUAGUUCACUGGAGACGAGACAAAAUUGUGUAAAAAAUAAUUGUGAAAAUUAUGAUCCAAAAUUAUGGGGAUUUUUUUUUUAAAAUGUCAAAAAUUAAGGGUUCAAUGGUGGCAAUUGCACCCAGUUGGACCCUUAACGGGACCGCCCUGCAUUCCAGGAUUUUUGUGGAACUUCGCUUUUCUUGAACCGAGUUCUUCACUUUGGCGUUAGGUUUUUUCCAUCAAAUUUCCUUAAAAUGGCAGUGUGUACAAAUAGUUAUCUAUUUAUUCCAAUUUCAUGAUAAUAGGAAGGUAUUUUACGAAAAAGGGGUAAAUUUGUCAAAAUACACCAGUCAUUUUUUAAGCAAUUGAUUUAUAUGCAAUAAACUGUUUAGUUAAGCAAAGACAAUAUGACCGAGAUGGGUAACAUGUAAUUAACGUGAAAGUGUUUCAAUUGAUUAUUGACUAAUGUUAAAGCGUCAUAAUUUAUUAUUGAUGAUAUCUACGACCCAAGAUGGGUAAUAUGUUAUAAACAUGAAAGUGCCUUAAUUAAUUAGCGGCAACUAUUAAAAAUUGAUUUUUCAUAACUUUUAGGGUCCGUUUGAUUGUAAGAAUGAAAUUUGGAUGGAAAGAAAAUGAAUUUUAGGCAAUUGAAUUGCUUGAAACUUGUUUUAUCAGGAAUUGUCAAUUAAAUAUGUUUGAUUGGUAUAAUUUUUCACCUUAAAAAUAUUUAAAUUUUGGAUCUUUUGGUGUUCAUUUGGCAUUGUUUUCCAUAAAAAUUGUCAAUUAAAGGGAUAGAAAUUGUUAAAAUUGUAAAUAUAAUUUUUUUUCCAUUGUCGAAAAUUAAAAAAAAAAACUGAAAAACCCAAUUCCCACCCAAACCAUGAUAAUUGGUUUUUCACAAAACCAAGGAAAAUCAUUCACGUGGGGCAGGGCGGGGCGGGCGGGGAGGAAAACGAAUUGUCGGGGAAAUUUUUGCAAUCAAACAACAAAAAAUAUGAAAAAUGAAAAAUUAACCAAAUCAAACAGACUCUUAGUCUAAUUAAUGAAAUAACAAAAAAGUCACAUGGGACCUACCAUACAUCAAGGGCCACAUGGCGGGGCCGUCAUGUGGCCUGGACAAGUAGCUUUUCCAAGUCACAUUAGCUAUAAUUAAUCGACUUUUUACAUUUUUAAUCAAUAUCCGAAGUACCUAAAUAUUCGAAACAUCAAAAAAAAAAAUUGCAUUAAACCAAAGUAUAAUAUUAAAAGGGUCAAAAAGUUAUUAAAAACCACACAUUUUUAGUUCUUACACAAGGUUUCCCCCCAUCACAUCAGGGACUUUAGUGACCUGGCUUUAAUUGCGUGGGCGGAUUCAGUAGUGGGCUGCACUUGGCUGCAGCCCACUGUCUUCCAACCCGGAUACCAAAAAAAGGUUUGAAUUGUAAUUAUUCAGCCACAUUAGCCCACUAACAAAUAAAUUCAGUGGGCUAGCCCACUCUAAAAAAAAAUUAUUUAAUUUGUAGCCCACUAACCUAUAUAAAUUUAGGCCCAAAAUAAUACCCAUUUCAUUAGUAAUUACCGUGUAAUCAAAUAAUUAAUCCCCAAUUCCCAAACAUUUUCCAUUCCCGUCAUUUGCAAAAUCAACUCACAGAAGUCCCAAAAAUAAAAAAUUAAAAUCCCUAUCUUCACUUUGCCAGUUUGCCCCUACCCGUAGCCGCCGGCGUAACGGAAUUGUCAAUUGUCGACUGGCCCAACUCACUUCCGGCCCGUAAGUGACGGACUUGCACAGUCGCACUGAUUCGUCGCCUCAAGCCUGGCUACCGACGACUUGGGUUAGGUUUUAGGGUAAGUAAUUUACUAAUUAGUUUCUUAGAAUUUGAAAAUCUUUCCGGCCCGUUAGUGGCGGACUUGCACAGUUGCACUGAUUCGCCGCCUCAAGCCUGGCUACCGACGACUAGGGUUAGGUUUUAGGGUAAGUAAUUUGCUAAUUAGUUUCUUAGAAUUUGAAAAUCUUUCAAUAUCUUUUCAAUUAAUUAUACUUGGUUUGUUGUAUUGAAAAUCUUUCAAUAUCUUUUCCAUUCCCGUCAUUUGCAGAAGAAAUAAUUAAAUUUGUUCAAGAUGUUGGUCAUUGGAAACUUGGAAUAAUUUAAUUAUACUUGGUAUUUUGGGUUAUUGCCUUAUUGGAUAGUUACUACUUAUUAUGUUUCUUGUUCAAUUGUUUGUCUUUUAAUUAUGUGGGAACAAGAACAGACGAGCAGGGAACUGAAAUUUUACUCACUUGAUGGAAUGAAUGAAUGAUGGUGCUUAUAGUCGAUCAUUUGAGGCUUUCAAGCAGUCGAUAGGAAUAUUUAAGAAGAUGAUUUGAGCAUAUACCUGUGAAGCUGUGACUCCUGAAAUUUCAAGCACAGUUCCACCCUUUAUUUCUUUAUUAUGUAGAGAGACUUCUCUUGACCAUAGUUUUUUGAGUUCUCUGAUUGGCCAUUGCACUAACUGCUUCCCUUUUUUGUCGAGCAAUACGGUUCUUGGAAUUGACUGCCAAAAAUCCAAGUAUCAGGAAAUACAGUCUACAUUCAUAUUUUCAUCAAACUCUUGCCUUGUGAAAUAUUCAUAAAUGGGUGGCCACGAUUUAUAAGAUGUUAAUAUUCGAAAAAAAUCAAGAAGCAAUAAAUUGCCAAAAAUGAGGAGAGCACAGAAAAGAUUAGACAUAGAUUACCUGAACUCCAGACCAUCCUUUCUCGAUAUAAAAUGUUUUGGAAGCAUAGAACAUACCAUAAUCAUAUCUAAGCUGCUUAAUACUAUCCAUGAAAUCAACAUCAACAUUAUAUCUAUCCGUUUUCAAAUCAUAAUUUCCUAUUACAUAGUAGUCAUGAUCACUAAAACUCGCCUUUAUGACAUGUUUAGUUUUUCGACCAUUGAAAGAUGAGUGGAGCCCAGUUCUACGAUGAGUACUAACCGGAUAAUCAAGACACUCCCACAUUCCUGUUUUGAUUGACGAAUGAAGAGGACUUCGACUCUUGUUGAAAUGGAAUGAUUGCCCCCCCCCCCCCCUAAAUUGUACUCACUUGAUGGAUUUUUUUUGUUUAAUUGUAGGUGAAGUAUUUUGAUUCUUUGAAGUACUGUGCUAUUUGUUAAGAAGAGGGUCCAGAGGUUGCUGAACUAGUUGAGAAUGUUUAAGGUUGGUUCUCUGACUUUGGAUAAAAAAAUCUCAUUUCAUAGCAAACGGUAAAUUGGUUUUAUGAUUAUGGUUUUAUAAAUUUAUAUUUAUGCCUUUAUGGGAUAUUGAAGCAUUUUAAUUUUUAUACUUUUAGAUUUAAUAUGGAAGAAGAUCGACCUUCUACCAAGAAAUAACAAAUCUCUGGAUUCUCCAAUUCCUACGGUGCCUAUUCCUCCAAUUUCAUGCCCUGGAGUUGAACGGCCUUCAUCUUCCAAUCUUAAUUUUGAACCAUCUGAUUCUAUUGAAUGGACCCUGAAAAAAGAAAGCAAAUAUAUGAAUAUCCAUUUAAUGAAUACGAUCAAAUUAGGCGGGCCUAUCUAAAUGUUGGACCUUAUCAACCAAAACUUUUGGAGUAUAGAGCAAAGGAUGUAAAAAGCAAAAACGUCGAUUUCAGAAACGUUGGUAUAAUCAAUUUCCUUGGUUGGAAUAUUCGCCUUCCACACAUAAGGCAUAUUAUUUUUACUGCUUCCUUUUUCUCAAUGAUAGUACUCUACCUAAUAUUUCAUCAUUGGUUACUGUUGGAUUUGAUAGUUAGAAGAGGGUUAACCAAGGAAGUAAAUGUGCAUUUCUUAUUCAUGUUGGUACAACAUCGUCAUCAUUUCAUAAUAGAUGUAAGAGAAGAGCUUAAGAUUUAAUGAAACCAACUCAACAUAUUGACAAGGUAAUGCAUUUUGUAUCAAAUGAGGAAAAACAGGAAAAUUGUUUGCGUCUAAAGACCACUAUUAUGAGUGUUAAGUGGUUAGCUCUUCAAGGUUGUUCCUUUAGAGGCCAUGACGAAUCUCCAUCUUCACUGAAUAGUGGGAAUUUUAUUGAAUUAGUGGAUGCAUUUGCAAAAAUCAAUAUUGAAGUAGGAAAAGUUGUGUUGAGUAAUACUCCCAAAAAUACUACAUACACGUCUCCAGACAUUCAAAAAGAAAUUUUGAGCAUUAUAGCCAAUAGAGUGGGACAAGGAAUUCGUACGAAAAUUGGGGAUGCAAAGUUUAGUAUUCUUGUUGAUGAAGCACGAGAUGAAUUUUCACGAGAACAAAUGGCUAUUAUCCUGAGGUUUGUAAACAGUAAUGGAAUUUUGACAAAGUUUUUUUUCUGCAAUUAAAAGUGUCAGUGACACUACCUUAUUAAAUUUUAAGAAUCAGAUUUCUGAUGUUAUUAUUCAUUUCAACCUUCAAGUGCAAAACAUGAAAGGCCAAGGGUAUGAUGGUGCUAAUAAUAUGCGUGGUUCUUGGAAUGGACUACAGGCAUUACUUUUUAAAGAUUGUCCAUAUGCGUUUACAACUCACAUUGGUUUUUGCAGGUAAGGAUGUCUCAGUUAUUAAUUCAUUUUUUUCUCAUUUGGACAAUGUUAUUAAUAUGAUUACAUCAUCUCCUAAGCGCAUCAAUGAGUUGAAAAGUGCCCUAAGAAAAUAAAUUGAGUAUUUGUUAGAAAUUGGAGAACGAGAGUCCAGAAGUUGUGCUAAUCAGAUUGGUAAUUUGCAACGAUCCAAAAGUACUCGUUGGUAUUCUCAUUACAGCUCUGUAAAGAGUUUGAUUGAUAUGUAUACUGCAACUUGCAAGGUGCUUGAGUAUCUUAGUGAUCGUUCUCCAAGUACAAGAUCUCGGUCCGAAAUUGGUGGUGUAUACAAAACCAUAACAACAUUUGAAUUUGUAUUUAUCUUACAUUUAAUGCAUAGAAUAUUAGCAAUUGCGGAUGUUCUUUGUCAGUCCCUUCAAAAGAAAACUCAAGACAUCUUAACUGCUAUGAAAUUUGUCUAUACUACAAAAACUAUCUUUCAAAUAUUGAGAAGAGAUGGCUGGGAAGAAUUUCUUGAAGAGGUGAAAUGUUUUUGCUCCAAAAAUGAUAUACAUGUACCUGACUUUGAUGGCUCGUAUAUGGUUGGUCAUUCUCGUGGUCGUGAGUAUCCUACCACUGAACAUCAUUAUCACUUUGAUAUUUUCAAUGCAGCCAUUGACUUUCAAAUGAUGGAGUUAGAUACAAGAUUUAACGAGACAUCAAUAGAGCUCCUUUCUCUCAGUACAACUUUGGAUUCAAAAAAUUCUUUUGAAUCAUUAAAUAUGGAUAAUAUUUGCAAGCUUGCAGAGAAGUUUUAUCUUGAAGAUUUUAAAUAGUAAGAUAUUUAUUGUUUGAAAGUUGAGUUGCAACAUUAUCAAAAUGAUGUGAUUUCUGAACCUCGAUUUCAAGUACUUACACUUUCUGAUUUAUGUCGGGAAUUGGUUGCAAGUAGAUGGUCGGAGAGUUACGUCAUUUUGACUAAAUUGAUUUGUUUAGUACUGACACUAUCUGUUUUAACGGCGAUUGUGGAGCGAGCAUUUUCAUCAAUGAAACAUGUGAAGACGAAAAUUCGUAACAAAAUGGAUGAUGGUUCUCUUGCUGAUUGUUUAACACUAAACAUUGAACGAGAAUUUAGUAUGAAUUUAGAUCUAGAUUCUAUUAUAGAUGAAUUUUAUGCUGUAAAACAUCGCCGAGUAUAACUUCAACAGGUAAUUUAUAUUUUAAAUUUUUCUUAUUAUAUAUAAAUUUUAUUCGUACAUUAAAUUUUUUAAAUUUUUAGCCUAUCGUAACAGUAAUUCUUGACUCUGCCCUUAUUUAAUUGGCUUUCGAGCUCUUUUCCUCCUACUCUCAUCACCCUCCUUGUCUUCCUCAUACUCGAUCUCGAAUUUCUCUUUGUCAAUUUCAGAGAAUGUGGAUGAUAUCGUUUCACAUUCUUGCUCUACUAGAGUACUACUACUAACUCGAUUGUUCUCGCCUCUUUUCUUGCCCCAACGCGGUCCAAAACCUGAAUAGUAGUAAAAUUCAUUCGAAUUUGACGUUGAAGCUGCCUUCUCGCCCAGUGGCUUGAGCGGAGAGUCAGCCACCACUUUAUCUUGUUUCUUUGCUGCUGGAAGAGACAAGUUGCAGUUUCGCACUUGAGAUAAGUGGUGCUUGCACAAAGAGUUCCCUUCGGCCGCCUCCCUCUUGCAUUUCCAUGCUUUCCCAUCAGUCUUGACACAAUAUACAAUCUGCAUUUCCUUCUUUAACCCGGGAUUCUCAGGCCCUUCCUCCGAGUCCUCAUGGGCAGAGCUUCUCAGAUUGCCGCCAUCGCCUUCGCCAUUGGAAUUAUCCCAUUUUACAGCUUUGAUCUCUCCAGUCAGUUCAUUCUCCGCGGCAAUUUUCAGUGAUGCAGCACUAUUGAUAAUAAUCCAAAUAAACAUUUGACUCCAAAUUUUAAAAAAUCAAUAAUGCUGAUUGAAGAACCCUAAUUAUUUUCAGCGUCAAUAAAGAGCUGGAAAUUGUAAGAUAAUCCGAAUUAAACACAAAAUAAAAGGAUCACCUAUGAAAAGCUGCAUUAGGUUCUCCCAAGCUUCCAUUUCCCGCUAAAUUAUCAGUUCCAUUGACCUGCAUAGAAAUUAUUCUACGUCGAAAAAAUAGUAACAAGCAAGCUAUAAUAAACAAAUACAGUGAAAAUACACAAAAGAAUUCAAAUUCCGAAGACCAAAUACACGACAAAAACCCUUUCAUUCAUAUUUUUUAAUGAACCCGACUGGUGGGGUUUUCAGAAAACCCUAGAAGAAAAAAGAAUAAAAGCAAAAACGAAAGUAAAUUUGACAAGAAUAAAAAUGGUUUCCAACAGAUCUGUAUACAGAAUUAAAGUCCUGUCAUUACAGAUAAAACUUCACUAACCUUGAACGACGGUGGAGGAGGUGGUGGCGGAGGAUAUGAUGAUGGAGAAAAGCUCAUCACGUCCCAAGGGGAUUGAUUCAAUUUGCAAAUAUGGGUUUGAAGAACAUUUCCAGAUUUCAGUGAAGAAGCUGCAUACAUCAAUGGACAAAUUUUAGCGUUCUUCCGUAUUCUCAUGGUGGUUCGGUGGCCUUCUGGGGGAGUUUUUUGGUGGAUGGUCGGGGCAGAAACUCACAAGGGCGGAGAGGCUCUGUGAGAGUGGGCAAAGGGUAUUCUUUUUAUAUUUUUUUCUCUCUCUCUCUCUGAAUGUGUGUGUAUAUUCUCAGUUGUAUGUAUAUUAUAUAUUUAUUGCUUACAGAACAGUACAUAUCUUCAGACAACCACUUAUGGCCCACAGGGUAAUAGUGUUAAAGAGUGUGUUCUGUAAACCCACUCUAGUUAAUUUUAAAGUCCCAAAUUUUAUAGUGUUAAGUUAAUGAAAAAAAAUCUACAGAUGUAUUUAUAGUGUUAGCCGUGAAAUCCUGAAUUUUAUGUGUGGAAAUUACAGAGAUGGAGCGUUUACAAAAGCUCAAUUCAUAAUUAAGAGUUACAGGCUUUUUUUUUCAAAAAUCAUAUUAUAAUUUAAAUAUUAAAUAUUAAUAAUAUUAUUAUUAAAUUAAAUUAAUUUAUCAACUCAACUCUACUCUACCCUACCCAUCCUACCUCAACUCUCACUUCCACAAAACCUAACUUACAGUUUCAAAAGCUAUUCAGUAUUCAUUUCUACUUCAACUCCAUGGCGCAACCACUCCCAAGAUGCUUCACCCUAGCAACUCUCAUUACACUACCGAGAGACCACCACAACGGCAUCAUCGUCGCAUUGCGCUGAGGUGGCGUCACUCUUCCCUAUCGACGAUGUCAUCAUAGCAACGAUGAGUUAUCCUUCUCUCUACCUUUUCUUCACUCGCAGCAAUCUCUCUUUCCCCCGAUUUUUACAGCAGCCACGAGUACCGCAACAACAACACCGUGCUACUGUUCACAACAGCAUUGCCCUGCCAUUCACAAUAGUUCCAAGCGGUUUCAAGGGCGUUGCCGUUAGAGACGCUGAUUUUACAGCAACGGUUCCAGACGGUGCACCUUUUCAGCGAGACACCAUUGCCGCGAGACAGCACAGCGUCAUUUUGAAAAUGGAAGUAAUGCUUUCAGAUCCAACGACACUGAUUUGAACAUCGUAGCGGGGUUUAAAGCGCCGCUGUAGGGUACUGAUCUGCACACCUCUGUGUAGUGUUUGUCGCAACGAUCUCCGUGGUUUUGGGGUUGAUCGAUCUGAAAAUAGAAGCGAGGCUGAUUUGAGUGUCGCAGCAGCAUCUACAACACCACUAUGAGGCCCUGAUCUGUGCGGUGUUUACCAAGGUGGUGAUGGUUGCGGUGGUGGUGGUGGUUAAAGCUAUGGCGGUGGUGUCGAUGACGACGGUGCUGGAGAUGUCAGGGAUGCUAGUGUAGUCAUGGUGAUGCUGAUGGCGAGGACAAUCGUGGCGAGUGAAGGUGUUUGUAACCAACCAAUAAAUUGGUUAAUUUUUUUAUCAAUAAAUCAUAUCUAAUCUAAAAAUGUGAUCGUGACUCACAAUUUAUUAUGUUGUGACAGAGAUAUAACUUGUGACCAAUUAAUUUGAUAAUGAUCAUAAAGUAAACUGUUACUUAUAAAAUUUGUGAUUUGUAACCAAUAAUAAUAUAUAACCAAUAACUUGUGACCAAUAAUAAUAUGUGACUUAUAAAUUUGAAUCUUGACUUAUAAAUUUUGUGUUUUUUGACAUAUAAAUUUUUUUAUUUGUGAUCGAUGAAUUAUAAAAAAAAAUUUAUUUAUAACCGUGAAAUAAUUUGUGGCCUAUAAAAAUUUUUAUUCGUAAUCGAGAAAUAAUAUAUAUAUAUAAUUAUUUCAUAAAUAAAAAUAUAAUUAAUAUCUAAUUUUUGAAGUUUAAACCAUGUUUCUUAGUUUUGAUAUGAGUCAUACUUGAUUUCUUAUAAUGAAAUUUUUCCAUUUUAUAUUCUUAAAUUGAUUGGUGUAGUCCAUUAAGAAACAAGCAAUGGAGGCUUAGACCAUUUAAAAUGAUGAAAGCCCAUAAUAUAAGUUAUUUAAGGCUCUGUUUGAGCCAUAUUCUUCAAAAAAAAUCUUAAACGGUAAUUUUAUAUCAUCUUACUUACACAUUCUUUAAUAAAAUAAUAUUACACGUAAAUUCAAAAGUUUUCCUUAUUUUUUAACAACACAUUCUAUAUCAAUCUGCUAUUCCAAAAUACAUUUUUUUAAAAUAAUGUGACUCAAACACAAUUGAAUGCCCAAAGAUUUAAGACAUUACAUUUAAAUAAAUUUGAUUACAAGAAUUUAACGAAAAACUAGGUUGCCACAGUGGUUAUCUAUUUCACAUACGAAACCCAAGUUUGAAUCACCAUGCAAAUAUUUUUAUAAAAUAUAAAAUAUUUUGAGUCAAAACUCCUCAUUUUAUACAUUAAGGAUAACUAUAUCAAAUUAAGUGGAUUGAAUAAUUAUUCUUGUUAGUGGACAUUCAUAGAGACAGGUUACAAAUAACAUAAAUAAUUCAUUUUCAUCAAUUUUUCAUCAUGUAAUGUUUUCUAAAAAAAAAUUAUAAGAAUUAUUUUUUUAUAAGCUUAAAACUCUUUAAAUUCUUACUUAAAGACUCAAUUUAACAAGAUUAAUGAUGGUAGUACUCUUCUAUUUAGUUUUUCACUAAAAAGGGAAGUUACAAGAAGAAGAAUGCCACUUUUUUAUCGUACCUCUUCUCAAAUCUGAAUUUGCCUUUAUUUUUCUUUCAAGAAUUUCUUUUUAGUUAAGUUAAGCUCAAAAAGAAUUGCAAGGGUGUGAAAGAAAAAUACUUCAACACAUUUUGUUCCUUUGUAUGUGUAUGUGUGUGUGAGAUCAGAAGGGUACACCAAGUGAUAUAAGUCCUAUUGAGUUUAAAGCUCACACCUUCUAUAUUGAAAACUUUUUCAGAAAUAAGGAUGGCCAAGAAAGUGGAUUGCAAAAGAUCCAAAUGAAGAAUGUGCUUCAUUUGUGUAAGUAGUUAUAUUUGAAGAAUUUAUAAUUCUUACUAGUUAUGCAACUUAUGUUUGAUUUUUAAAAGAUGUUAGUUUAUCUUUACUUUUUUUAAGACUUCUUAGUUCUUUUUUCUUGAUGUGACUGUUGAAAUUUUAAUCAGUUUAAAUAUGCAUGUAAUUAAAGUUGCUAAAGAAGUUAAGAUUAAACCUUAACUUGUAAAAAAUAAAUAUCAGCUUACUCCAUGAAUUUUAUUGAUGUCAUCUCGUAUAGAAUUAUUUGAGUUUUUUGACAAAACUAAUGUGGUUUGACCGCCCUAUGAGUCCUCUCUCUGUUGGUUUUGGAAUCAAGUCAAUUGAAAGUCGAUGAGAUAAGAUAUGCCCUUUUCCAUGUAUCGUGUUCGUGUACCAGAGAACAAUUUUUUUUUUCAUAUGUUUGAUUGUCCAUUUGAGUGCCUAAAUGAUGUUAGAAAAUUUUGAAAUUUUACUAUGUUGUGCUUGAAUGAGUUUAGAAUAUACUGUAAAAUUAGAGAAAUUGGAUAAGGAUUUGAAUUCUCCUUGGUUCUCUACAUCAUCAAUCACCCACAUCCUCAACCCAGGUAUGAAAAUUUUAUUGAACAUUUUCAUGAAAUUUUAAAGUUAUGUUUUCAUAAAUUUUUAUUUUUAGUUGUGAAAAAAUAUGUAUAUUGGACUAUGAUAACAAUGGGUGAUAAAUGGCUAGAAGAAGAAGAUGCAACUUAGUCAGCAUCUUAGAAAUGGCGAUUAGAACGUAUUUGGAUUUUGAAGUUGAGGAUUCCUUAGAUCUGGUGGAUCACGUACAUAGUGUUAAUGAGCAUUAGGUAGCAACUAAGAAUGCACGCUAUCAGAUUAGCAAUCAACAAGCCAUUCGGCUUCUCUUGAAUACAUUAGCAACUCAUGAAGAGUGUAUUGGCAAGCUUUUAUUUAAAGAAAUGGGUUCAGUAAUUCCAUUGAGGAAUCCUCAUACCAUAGGUAUAAAGAUUUUUGUAAUGCUCUUUUAGAUUAUUGAGAGACCUACCUCGGGAAAGUAACCUUACAUUUUAGUUUAGAUUCAAGAGUGAUGAUAGACGAUGAUGUAAUUCAACCAUUAAGGAUUAUAAGGUAAAUCAACCAAUCGGGGAUCAUCAAGGAAAUGGUAGAAGAGGACCCCGAAGAGUAUCCAGUUGAAGAUUGAGAAAGGGAUGUAGAAGUCUUAUAGAUAGGCAAAUAAAAUAAAUAAAUAAAAAUAAUAUCAAUCAUUAUAGUUUUCUUUGCAAUUUCAAUUAAGUCCAGUGACAUGUAAACUUUAAGUUUAGGCGUUUUAGAUUAUAAAUGGAUUUGUGCACUUAAAAAAAAAAAAAAAUCAUUCUUGAGUUGGCAGCAUGCAUGUCUAAAGGAUGAAAAGCUUAUUUUCGUGUUUAAAAGAAAUGGCACAACCAAACCAGAAUGAUUUGAUAAGAGAUUUGUUGUAAGCGGUGCAAGGGCUUGGAAGGCAAGCCCUGCAAGCAAACCAUUUAGUUGCCCAACUCAAACAUUGAUUUUGGAAAUUUUCAGAAGCAUAGUGAUCCGUUAACAGCCGAGGAAUGGCUACGGAAGUUGGGACAAUUUUUCUAGCUUAUAGAUGACAAUGAUACACAAAAGUACGGUGCACGGAGUUUAUAUUCACUGAAGCAGCAAAUCAUUGGUGGGAGUCAAUGUUUCGAACUAGGACCAAAGCUAAGCAAGAGGCUUUGACUUGGAAUCAAUUUGAAGAAAUUACUAGAAGUUCUUUUCCCGAGCAUUAAGGGACUUUAAAGAACAGAUUUCUUACAGCUAAGGCAAGGAAGCAUGACUCUGGCUGAUUGUAAGAAAAAGUUCGACCAGGUAACUAAGUAUGCUCUACAUUUGGUGACUACUGAAUUUAGAUAAAUAAAGGGAUUUUAGCAAAGGCUUCAUCAGGACAUUCACAAAAUCCUCAUGUCUCACCGUUUUACUACCUAUAGCAAAAUGUUGGAAAGAGCUCAUGCUUUCUGGUAUCAAACGGCUAGUACUAAAAAGUAUGGAAUAAAGACAAGUUCAGACUAUCAUGGUAAAGGCUGCUAACAAAAUAAGUUUGUGGCUAGUAAAAGGAAGUGGAACAACUAGGAUAAGAGAAAGAAAAAUGGCAGAAUAAGAAUGUGACGACCCAACCUCUGUACACAAGUCAUCAGCUUACAUACUGUCCGCUCUAGGAGAGUUAAAGCCCAUCUUAUCCCUCAAUAAUUUCUUUAGCGUCUCAAAGAUUUGAACACAUGACCUUCCUUUAAGAGAGACUUAAAUUAUGAGACCUCCUAGGGGACACGACAACUUUGGUGGCUAUGGCUUCAGGGGCAAGAGAAAUGGUGGUGGUUGUGGCAGUUGCUUCGAUGGCGGCAGCUUCUACCCUAGUCACGACGAAGGUCCACUUGAUGAAGUCAUUGAGGUUUCAUCAUUUGCUCAUGCUUAUGAGGCAGAUGUUGUAACAAAGCUCACAAGUAAAAAAUUACCAUACUUUGACGCACCAAUUUACCUUCAAAACAAGACACAGAACGAUAAAGUUGAUGAAAUAUUUGGCCUCAUUAAUGAAUCUAAUUUGUGAUUAAAAUGAUGGAAUAAAUUGUGGCCAUGUCGUAUUCAGCAGGCGAGAAGUUCUACAUUGACCCGACUAAGUUUUUGCUGCUUUCAAGAUUUCUUCCACAGCCAAAAGGACAAGCGCAAACUGGUGGUAGAGGGGGAGAAAAAAGGUGGUGAGAGAGGUGGACGUGGCGGUGGCUACUUUCACGGAAGGGGUGCUCCAAGGAGAAGAGAUGGUUCUCGAGGCGGUGGUCGUGGUGGAGGUUUCAGGGGUAGAGGGAGAUCAUAGAAUGACUGUAUUUGUGCUUUUCUUCUUUUAGUUGUCAAUCCAAGGUGCUUCCCAAUCAAACAGAACAAAAAAAAUGACGAAUUUUUGUCUUAAUGUAAUUUUGUUAUUUUCAAUUGGGCUGCUGUAAAAUUAUAUUACUCUAGUUCGGAUUUUAUUGCAUUAUUAUAUACUUUUGUUAAAUUUAAAAAUAAUAAUAAUGAUAACUUAAAUUGAAUCCUAGCACUGAUUGGACAAAACCACGUAAAAGUAGUUUAGGAUAAACAAAAGAGUUAUGCAGACAAUCAAAGAAAACAAUUGAAAUUUGAAGUUAGUGAAAAUGUCUUUGUGAAAGUGACACCUAUGAAGGAUGUAUUAAGAUAUGGUAAGAAGGCAAGUUGAGACCGUAAUAUAUGGUACCUUUCAAAAUUCUUGAUAAGGUUGAUAACGUAGCGUAUCUGUUACCUCUACCUUCCGAACUAUCUAUUGUACAUAAUGUAUUUCACAUGUCUAUGAUAAGAAAAUAUGUGCAGGAUCCAAGUCACAUGGUAAAUUAUUAAAUAUUAGAUGUUCAAAAAGAUCGAUUUUACGAAGAAGUUCGAAUUGCUGUUUUGGAUAGAAAGGUACAACAAUUAAGGCCUAAAAAAAUUCUAUUGGUCAAGGUUCAAUGAUGACAUCACGGGAUAGAGGUGGUUACUUGGGAAACGGAAGUAAAAAUUAAAGCCAAGUAUUUGACAUUGUUUGUUUAAUUUAAGUAACUUAAAGGACGAAAUUUUUUAAGGUGUAAAUGAUGUAAAUCUCGAAUUUUAUAUUCUUAAACUGGUUGAUGUGAUUUAUUUAAGAAACGAGCUACGGUGGUUUGACCCAUUUAACGUAAUGAAAGCCUAAGACAUAAGUUAGUUAAGACUCCAAAGAUUUAAGACAUUCAGUUUAAAUAAAUUAGAUUACAAAAGUUAAAUGAAUAAUUGGAUUGUCACAAUGGUCAUCGGUACGAUAUUGCUCAUAGGAAACUUAGGUUUGAAUCACCAUAUAAAUGUUUUUAUAAAUAUUUUGGAGUUAAAAACUCCUCAUUCUACACAUUAAGAAUAAUUAUAUCAAAUUAAUUGGUUGGACUAAGUGUUUUUGUUAGUGGGCAUUAAUAGAGAUAGGUUAUAAAUCAUAUAAAUUAUUCAUUUUCCUCCAUUUUUUAUCAUAUAAAUGUUUUAUUAAAAAAACUAUAAGAAUGAAUUUUGUGUGAGCUUAAUACUCAUUAAAUUUCAGCUUAAUACUCAUUAAAUUUCUACUUAAAGACUCAACCACUGUAUGACAAUAAUUAUUUUGAGAAAAUUGAGUUUUGAAUAGUAAGUUUUUGGAUAAUAAGUGAUUAAAAAGCAGGAAAAAAAUUUGAUUUACAUGAAAAAUAUUUUAUUAUAUAAAUGUGUAAUUGAAAACGAGUAUGAGAAUUAAAGAAUUUGAAGUAAUGGUUGUCAAACAAGGUCUCAAUUUAACCAUGUUAAUGAUGAUAUAACUCUCCCAUUUAGUUUUUCACUAAAAGGGAUGUUACAAGAAGAAGAAUGUCAUUUUUUUAUCCUGCAUCUCCUCAAAUCCGAAUUUGUCUUUAUUUUAGUUAAGUUAAUCUCUAAUGAACAAUAAAGGUGUGAAAGAGAAAUGCUUUUAGACAUUUUAUUCCUUCAUAUUUCAAGAAAUUCAAAUUAGGUGGUGCUAAGUAUCUACCCAUUUUGUCCAUUAUACUCUCACACACACUAGUAAUGUAUAUUAGAAUUUUUGAAGUUAUGAACAAAGAAGUUUAUAUAUGGCCAUAACUGAUUUCCACAAACCAAAGGAAUUCUUUGGAAUCAUGAAUUUGCCUACAUUCAUCUACAUGAAAUGUUAAAUUCUUUUCUAUCACUUUAUAUAUGUAUCUUCGUGUGUGCAUGCGUGUGUGUAAUCUAAAGGGUUCUACUGAGCUUAUAGUCCACACCUUCUAUGUUGAAAAAUUUUUAAGAUUAAAUGAUGGUUGAGGAAGUGGGAUUCACGUAGAUUGUGGAGGAUCUGAUGGAGAAAUGUGCUUCAUUUGCAUAAUUAAGCAAAUUUGAAAAAUUUGUAGUUCAAACUAGUUAUACAACUUAUAUUUAAUUUCUAAAAGAUGGUAGUUUAUAUUUACCUUUUUAAAAGACUUCUUAGUUCUUUUUCUUGAUGUAAACACUAAAAUUUUAAUUGGUUUAAGUAUGUAUACAAUUAGAGUUGCUAAAGAAGUUAAGAUUAAACCUUAGACAUUUAAACAAUAAAUUGCAUGAAAUUUGUCGCACCGUCUUGGACAAAACUUUUUGAGUUUUUGGACAAAACUAGUAGGAUUUGAAAGCCCUAUAAAUCCUUUGUAUGUUGGCUUUAGAAUCAAGUCAAUUGAAGGUCGAUAGGGCAAGUUAUGUCCCUUUUCUAAUUGUGUUGUGUUUAGUGUACCCGAAAAUAGUUUUUCAUAUGUUUGAGGGCUUAAACGAUGUUAGAAAAUUUUAAAAUUUUACUAUGCUAUACUUGAAUGAGUUUUUAAAAAUAUUGUAAAGAUUUCAUAGAAUUAUGAAUUUGAAAAAUGCAACCAAGCUUGAUCAUUGGGUAGCGCAUUGCUCGAUUUAACUCCGCUAAUAUACACUAACCUUCAUUUUAGUGCUCCGUUUUAAUUUCAUUAUUUAAAAAUCAAAGUUAUCUACCUUAAAUCAUUUGUUUCCAAUAAUUUUCGAAACUUGUAAUAAAACAUAAUGGUAAACUACAAAAUAAAAAGGAAAUUAAUAAAAAUUUUAGUGGAUUACACGUAUCUAUUCACCAACGGCGUGGAUCACCUUUUAAGAGAGUACUGUGCGGUAUUCAUGUUAUGUUUAAAUUACAAUCUAAAAAUAAAUUAACAAACAAAUUCGACAAGAGAAAUUGUGUUUUAAGAGACUUCUAACUUUUCUUUUCUUUUCUUUUUUAAUUGUACAUUCUCUUAAAAAUUACGUUUUACAAAAUUUACUCAAAAGAAUUUAUAUCAAAUGAAUCCUAUGUAAAAGGUAGAAGUUAAUGAAAAUAUAUAUAUGCAGAUGUGUUAAAUAGAAUCUCGUAAUCUUUAAUCCACUCUUAAAUUAUGAAAAUAUUUAGUGGAUUACAUGUAUCUAUUGAUCAACGGCAUCGAUCAUCUUUUAAGAGAGUAACGUGCAAUAUCCGUGUUAUGUCUAUUUUACCUUCUAUUAUGACUAGCCUUUGCCCGUGCAAUGUAAGGGUUGGAUUAUUUUGAACGUAAUGCUAGUAUGUUAAAUAUAUUCGGUUAUAGUGUGUCACUUUCGUCAUUUACAUUGAUAGAUGAUAAAAGAAUCAUUUAUCAUACUCUAUUAACAUAUAUAGAUUUCUUUAUAAUUAGAAUUGAUAAUAUGUAAUUGUCUAGCUAUUUAGAAAUCAAAUGUAUAAAUAUCAAACCAUGAGCAUUUAUGGUAUGGAAUUCAAUUCUUUCUUCCACGUUGACUUUUUCUCUGGAUACAAAGGCUCCAGUUUCAAAUGCUAGCCGAACAUCUAAGCUACAUGACAAAAGUUAAUGAGAUUUGUUUUUUUUUUUUUUAAGUAUGAAGGACUCUUUUAAAAUGUUAGUUGGGUUACAAUAUUUGAAAUAGUAGCAUAAAUAUUUGUCAUGGCAUUUGAAAUAGUCACUAAAGUUUUGUUAUAUGGCAUUCAAAAUAGUCAUUGCCACUCAAAUAUGAAGAAAAACUAACAGACCAAGUCAAGAUACUUAGCAAACACCAAACAUGAUAUCUCUACGCACAAGAUAUUAAGACUAAUAACCCAACAGAUUUUUAACUAUCCUCCUAACUAUAGAUGUUAAACUGCAAGAUUUUACUUAGUCAAUUCACCAGAUAGAAAAUAAUUAAAUUAAUAUCAUUUGGUACACAAGCAAAUUUCAAUUUAUAAGUUAUCUUAGAAACUUCCAACAAAGGUUUACUUACAUGGUGAAAGAGCAAGAGAGGUAAAAUAUUGCAUUCUUCUGGUCACGCUUUAUAAGACACUGAUAUGAACAUUCUCGAGGCCCUGGCUGCAAAAUAAAAGAAAGUUAAAGCAUCAGUUAGCAUAAUUUCUAAAGUUCUUAGUUCGGCAUAGAUAAGGUUUAAAGAAUCACGCAUUGUUAAACAAUAAUAAACACGCUGAAUGCAAAUAACAUAGAAAACUAAAAAAACAAUCAGUAACCACCAAAUCUUUUUUGCCCAAAUCGCAUAUCCAAUGCUUUCAGUUAAUCAACUAAUGCAGAUUGUCUUCUCACUUCAUACUGUAGUUUCCUUCUCAAGAUCUCUCCUUCGACCCUCUGAGUUUCAAUAUCUCAGAUUAUAAGAAUCAGUGUGGUAGGGUUUUCUUUUUUCAUAGAGAAAUGAAAGCGAGAGAGAGCAAAACCCACUUUUAAGUGACAUUUUGUGAACCGGUUAAUGAAUAGUACAAACCAAACAAGUGUGAAAACUCAAGUGACAAGAAGAAUAGUGACCCCAACCCCAUCUUUUAAGAGUUUUUUAUUUUUAUUUUUAUUUUUAUUUUUAAAUUAAAUAUUAUAUUAUCUAGAAUGUAAAAAAUUGCUUAUAAGUAAAAUAACACUUCGAGUUAUUUAAAAGUAAUAAAAAAAUUUAUAAUUGUAAAAGCUACUUUUAUAUAUAUAUAUAUUCAUCAUUCUCUUAUAAUUGCAAAAGCAACUUAUAAGUACAAAUAUAUUAACUUAACAUGUUUUAAGUAUAAAUAUUUAGAUAUAUUUAAUUUAUUAAAUUAAAUAUUAAUAAAAAAAAUUACACUAUCUAGAAUGUAAAAAGUUACAUAUAAAUAAAUAAAUAAUCAUUUCAAGUUAUUUAAAAGUAAUAAAAAAUUAUAAUGAUAAAAACUACUUAUAGAUUUAAAAAAUAUUAAUUUCAACAUUUUUAAGUAAAAAUUUAGAUAUAUUUAAUUUUUUAAAUUAAAUAUUAAUAAAAAUUUACUAUAAAAAAAAAAAAAACAUAACACUCCGUGCAUGGAGUGGUUAUGCCGCAUGGAGUGUUAAAAUGUUUGUUUUUUUUAAGUAAUUUUUUAAUAAUAUUUAAUUUAAAAAAUAAAUAUAUCUAAUAUUUACUUAAAAUGUUGAAGUUUAUAUUUUUUUUAUCUAUAUAAGUAACUUUUACAAUUAUAAAUUUUUCAAUUACUUUUAAAUAACUUGAAGUGAUUUUUUUACUUAUAAGUAACUUUUUACAUUCUAGAUAGUGUAAUCUUUUUAUUACUAUUUAAUUUAAAAAAAUAUAUCUAAAUAUUUAUACUUAAAAAUUUUUAAGUUAACAUUUUUUUAUUUUUAAGUUGUUUUUGCAAUUAUAAGAAAACAAGGGAUUUGUAUUUUUUUACCUAUAAAUAGCUUUUAUAAUUAUAAGUUUUUUUUUUACUUUUAAAUAACUUGAAGUGUUUUUUUUUUUUUUUUACAUAUAAGUAAUUUUUUACAUUCGAGAUAGUAUAAUCUUUUUAUUAAUAUUUAAUUUGAAAACUAAAUAUAUCUAAAUAUUUAUACUUAAAAAAUUCUAAGUUAAUAUUUUUUUUAGUUAUAAGUGGCUUUUACAAUUAUAAGUUCAUUUUACUUUUAAAUAAUUUGAAGUGAUUUUUAGUUAUAAGUAACUUUUUACAUUUUAGAAAUAAAGAAUAACUUUUAUGUAAAAAAUUAAUUAAAAUUGUUAUUACUAAUAAAAUUAUAUGAUAUGGUCACUAGUUGAUUGCGUGAAAAAAAAAAAGAGAAGAAAUAGUUUGUUAGAUUCAAAGCAGGUAUACUGCGAGUAAAAUAAAAAAUGACGUCGUUUCUGCUCCACCAAUUAAAAAAAAAGCUAUAGUGUGACAAAAUAUUAUUUAAAAAAAUAUUGCUACUAAUAAAAUUAUAGGAUAUAGUUGAUAGUUGAUAGCGUGAAAAAAUAGAGAAAGAGUAUUGUGUGUCAAAUUCAAAGGACCAAACCAGUUCAAUGUGAAAACCAAUGUGACAAAAAUGAAAUGCUAAAAAGAUCACUUCAAGUUAUUUAAAAGUGAAAUGAACUUAUAAUUGUAAAAGUUACUUAUAAGUAAAAAAUAUUAACUUAAAAUUUUUUAAGUAUAAAUAUUUAGAUAUAUUUAGUUUUUAAAUUAAAUAUUAAUAAAAAUUUUACACUAUCUAGAAUGUAAAAGUUACUUAUAAGUAAAAAAGCACUUCAACUUAUUUAAAAAUAAUAAAAAAAACUUAUAAUCUUAAAAACUACUUGUAUAUAGGUAAAAAAAUAUUAAUCCCUCAUUUUCUUAUAAUUGCAAAAGCUACUUAUAAGUAUUAAUAAAAAGAUUACACUAUCUAAAAUGUAAAAAGUUACUUAUAAGUAAAAAAAUCACUUUAAAUCAUUUAAAAGUAAUAAAAAAAACUUAUAAUUGUAAAGGAUAAUUAUAGGUUAAAAAAAUCAUCAUUUUAAGUAAAUAUUUAAAUAUAUUUAAUUUUUUAAAAAAAUAAAAAAAUUACUUUAAAUAAAAUUUAAAAAAAUAAUAUGUGGAGUAGAAACACUUCGUGCACGGAGUGGAAAUUCUCACUCCAUGCAUAAAAGUGAGAAACACUGCGCGGAGUGUUUUUCACUCCACAUAUGUUUUGGUUUUUUUUUUUUUUUAAAUAUAUAAAAGUGAUUCCUUAUUUCUAAAAUAUAAAAAGUUACUUUUAACUAAAAAAAUUACUUCAAGUUAUUUAAAGGUAAAACGAACUUAUAAUUGUAAAAGCUACUUAUAAGUAAAAAAAAUAUUAAAUUAAAAUUUUCGAAGUAUAAAUAUUUAGAUAUAUUUAAUUUUUUAAAUUAAAUAUUAAAAAAAAGAUUACACUAUCUAGAAUGUAAAAAGUUACUUAUAAAUAAAAAAAUCACUUCAACUUAUUUAAAAGUAAUAGAAAAAUUGAUAAUUGUAAAAGCUACUUAUAGGUCAAAAAAUAUUAAUUUGUCCUUCUCUUAUAAUUGCAAAAACUACUUAUAAGUAAAAAAAUAUUAACUUAAAAUAUUAUAAGUAUAAAUAUUUAAAUAUAUUUAUUUUUUUAAAUUAAAUAUUAAUAAAAAGAUUACACUAUCUAGAAUAUAAAAAGUUACUUAUAAGUAAAAAAAAUCAUUUCAAAUUAUUUAAAAGUAAAGAAAAAAUUUAGGAUUGUAAAAUCUACUUAUAGGUAAAAUAUAUAUAUAUAUAUAUAUAUAUCAACUUAAACAUUUUUAAUUAAAUAUUUAGACGUGUAAUUUUUUUAAAUUAAAUAUUAAUAAAAAAAUUUACUACAAAUAAAAGUUAAAAAAAGAAAAAAUAUGUGCAUUACUCCGUGAACGAAGCAUUGUUAGCUCCAUGCACGAAGCAUUGCUUAAAGGUUGGUUGAUUUUUCUUUUUCUUUUUCUUUUUUUUUUUAUAUUUUUGCUUUCAUUUUUGGGCUUAUUAUGGGAUAUCAAAUGAAGUCGAAAUAUUAUAUUCUUGAUAUCAUUUUGAAGUACUCACGGCAUAGUAUUACACGUCAUUAACGGUGCGCGAAACGGCCAAUCGUAGCAAAUGUUACGAGACGUCAAAAUAGGUAUUUCCAAACUAUCAUUUCGAGAAUUUCGAUAACAAGUUAAUUUUAAAAAUUCAUCGAUGAUUGUACGGUAGUCGAAUGAAUAAAUCUUCUAUAUUCUUUCGAAGCUCAUUUGGAGAACUAUAUCAUAGAUGUAUCGAAUGAUUUAUAUGAAUAUCGAAAAUAGUUAAAUGUGUAUGUUAAAAAAUGAGCAUAACUAGUCUUUUUCUUAAGAAAAUUAAUUAUUUUAUUAAUGUUUAUUAUUUUUUCUCGACAAUUUUCUCAAAAAGUUACUUCAAUUUAUUUAAAAGUAAAAAAAAAAAACUUCUAAUUAUAUAAGCUACUUAUAAGUAAAAAAUAUUAAAUUAAAUUUUUAAGUAGAUAUGUAGAUAUAUUUAAUUGUUAAAAUAUAUUUUACACUAACACAUUUAUCUAAAUGAAAUUUGCUGAAAAAAUAAAAUAAAUUAAAAAUAAAAAAAUUUAUCUCUCCAAAACAUUGCUCCGUGCACGGAGAACAAUAAAUCUCACAUUCUCUCUUUUAAGAUAAGGAAGGAAUUUUUUAAAAUUAAAUAUUUAUUAAUAAAAAAAUUUUAAAAAAUUAUCACCACUCCGUGCACGGAGUGGAAUCACUUCAUCCAUGGAGUGUUAUCACUCUAUGUGAAAGAAGAAUUUUCUCCUUUUGAAAGUAGAGAUUCUCUCCGUGGAUGGAGAGAUUUUCUUGGUCCAUGGAGAGAUUUUUUGUUUUUUUUAUAUUAAUUUUUUUUCAAUUUUAAUUAAUUAAAUAAUAUUUAUGUAUUAUUUAUUUAAUUUUUAUAACUUUCUUCUAUUUUAUUUGCUUAAUAAAAUAAUCUUCAUACAUUUCUUAUGAUAUAAAGACAUUCAUUAAAUUUGAAUUAAAUAAUAUUUAUUUUUUUCUUUAAAUCGUUUUAAUUUAAUUUAAAAAUUUAUAAUAAUUUUUUUAUUUUUAUCUGCAAUUUUUUUUAUAUAAUCUUUAUAUUUAAUUUCGUUUCUUUAUUAUAUAAUAUAUGGUAUUGCUUUUAAUCAAGUGAAGUAGUGUGUGAAAAUGAAGAAAUAUUGUAGUGGAUAUGACAUCACAGUGAAACGACGUAUAAAAAUAGUGAAAUGGCGUAUGAAAAUAAUGCUACAGCGCCAUUGAAUAGAAUAAUUUACUGCUGUCAAAUCGACUUCAAACCGUUUCGUAGGAAAAUCUAUGUGACAAAAAUGAACAGUAAACAUCACAUUCUCUCUUUUAAGAUAAGAAGGAAAUUAACAAAUAAAUUGGGUAAGAGAAACUGUGUGUUAAUGGGCUCCUAAAUUUUAUUAUUUUUUUCUUUUUUCAAUUAUACAUUUUCUAAAAAAUUACGUAUUGUGAAAUUUAUUCUUAGAAAAAUAUACAUAAAAUAAAUCAUUUUAAAAAGUUGAAGUUAAUGAAAAAAAUAUACAGAGGUGUUAAAUAGAAUCUCGUAAUCUUUGACCUACUCUAGAAUUACAAUAAUAUUUAUUGGAUUAUGUGUAUCUAUUGAUUAUCGAAGUUUAUCACUUUUUAUGCGGUAUUUUUGCUAUGUCUAAUAUACCUUCUAUAGAUGAAUUAAUUAACAAAUUCAGCAAGAGAAAUUGUGUGUUAAUGGACUCCUAAUAUUUCUUCUUCUUUAAAAAAAAUUAUACAUUCUAUAAAAAAUUACGUUUUAUGUAAUUUAUUCUAAAAUAUUUAGUGAAUUACAUGUAUCUAUUGACCAAUGGCAUAGAUCAUUUUUCGAGGACCGUGCGACACUCAUGUUAUGUUUAAAUUACCUUUUAUAGAUGAAUUAACAAACAAACUUAGCAAAGAGAAAUUGUGCAUUUUUUUGUAUAGACUUGAGAAUCAGGCAGGACUAUUCUCUUACGUACUAUUUGUUUCAGGAGGAUAUCUAACCCUCUUACUCCUCACGACUUUUUGUCGAGUUUUCCAGGACUCAAACCCUUGACUUUUCCCUUAAGAAUGACUUAAGUUGAAUCCUAGUAUCAAUUGAGUCGAUAAGAUGGGCAUUGUCUUUUAAAUGGACAGUAUGUAUGAUAUAACGGUUUAAGCACAGAGAUCAGAUCUUUACAUAUACAUAUGAAAUUUAUUCUAAAAAAAUUUAUAUCAAACAAACCAAUUGUAAAUAGUAGAAUAAAAAAAAAAUAUAUAUAUAUAUAUAUAUAUAUACAGAUGUUUUAAAUAGAAUCUCAUAAUUUUUUACCCACUCCAAAAUUAUGAAAAUAUUUAGUGGAUACAUGCACCUAUUGAUCAAUGGUGCAGGUCACUUUUUAAGAGAGUACCGUGUGGUAUCUAUGUUAUGUGUAAUUUAUUUUCUAUAGAUGAAUUAAUAAACAACCUUCAUAAUAGAAAUUGUGUGUUAAUUAAGAUAAUAUAAUAAGAAAUUGUGUUAGUUUAUACAUUGGUUCUUUAUAAAAUUAAAGAAAUAUUAUGCGGAGUUCAUUUUUCCUAAAUUGAAGUAUUGUUUCAUUAUAAAGGUUCUUUCUCAUUUUCAGUUGUACAAUUUCUUUAGGAUUAUCUUCACAAAAAGGUCGUAAAAAGAGUGGACCUAACCCCAAGGAUUCUACUUUAUGAGGUUUGACAAAAUGUCCCUACCAUAUUUCAAUUUUUAAUAUGAUGUAUAAAGACUGUCAUCACAAAAAGUAUUACACCUUUGAUCUUAAAAUUGAAGUCUAUAAGUAGUGGUCUACAUAGACACGCUUCUGAUCGAGUUCAUAUUUUUUAUCCAAAAACCAUACAACUGCAUCGAGUUUUUGCCACUCUCGGAUCAGUGAAUCCAUCAGGAAGGAUUAAGCCCAAAUCCUACUAACCAUUCCGAUCAAAACAAAACAUAGAACAAAUUCACCAAAAAAUAAAACUUAAAAUGCCAGAGUACAAGUUAAGGACACAACGACACAAGAUAUGGUUACAAUGCUGCUGCCGUUUGAACUCAAGACGGAGAUGAUAGAGCCUCAUCUUUAAUGCACGAAGGUUUUUUUGCGUUAUAGAAAAAAUGUGCAAUCAUCUGCUGUUCUUGUUUCUGCAUAUUGUGAAGAACUUGUUAGUAAUGGAGCUAACAAAUGAGAGUAUAUAUUAUAUAACAAUUGAAGAGUUUAGUCUUCGCCUUUCUCCCUAUACAAUAUCCUGUUUCCACGUAAGAACAAAAUUUGUGGGCAUUCUUUAACUUUAAGAGCUUAGGCCAAAUCUCUCUCGAUAUUUAUAUCUAUCUUGACAGUCUAGUAAUGGAAAUUAAAGACAGGAUUAUACUAAACAGAUUACGGAUAGGAAUAGAGAAAAAAAGGUGUCAAAAGAGGAUAUUCAUAUACCCGAGGAGGUAGUCGAUCCUUGGCUUCCCAGUACACCUUUGUUGCUUUUUCUAGUUCUUUCAAAGCUUUCCAGUUAUGGCUUGCCCUGAAAUCAGUGAUGGAUUUGAAUUACAUCUAGGCAAGUAUAGAUUAAAUGCACUACAUCAUGUUUUCCAGAUUCCUUCUUUUCAAGAACUGUUACAGACCUGUUGUAUCUUUCGAAAACGAGAACAAUUAG
rnacentral:lncRNA from 1 species